ACUGGCACAUGUUGUCCAGAUUUUGGCGCAUUAGAGCAUCCUGUUGCAGCUUACCUGACCUAUGGAACUGAGAGAGUGUGUCCAAACCAGUUUUAGCCUCACUCUUUAAUCAGGUGAAACCUGAAAAUAAUUAUUGCCCUCGAUCGUACUUUGUAUCAUGAGGACUUGUGUUUUCUUUUGUCUUUCCCUGCUUCGCUUCUAUUACCUUUGAGGCUGAGUUGCUGCUGCACAGAACAGGAUCUACCAUUCACUGAGUGAUGUACUGCGUAGGGCUAUGUACCGAUUUUUGGCUAAAUAAUCAUUGAUAAAUCUGCAUGAUUGUGUUAAUAUUCAGUGGAAGGUACAAAUCCUUCACUGUCUUAGAUUCAAUGUCAAACAAAGAGCUUUCACUUAGUGCAGAGUUUGAGCUUUCAUCUCUUUAUGAAUCCAUCUUGAGUCUAUUUGGAAACUGAAAACCUUUGCAAAUUCCAAACUUUGGUAUAUGAGGGCAUUAAACGUCCUCUUACAAGCCAAUGAAGACGCUUCUGCAGCUGAUUCUUAGGCGGACUUGCAGUUUUCAAACAGUAAUAUUCAUCAAAGAGGUGUGAAUUUUUUAAAGAAAUUGGACUGUAAUGACAUCGAUGGGAUCUGCAAAAUGAGUCUAAACAUUUGGAGGAUUAAGUACAGAUUUAGCUCUCUAAGUUUAGGCAUUUGUGCGAUUUGAUCUUCUAUUUUUAAUGUUGUGCAAUUAAGUCCUCUGAACUUUUUUGAUUUGUGUGAUCAAGUGUAUUGUUUACUUGUUGUAAGUAAUGCUUUCACAUUACGAUUUCCUUUUCUCUUGUUUUUCCUAUUUGCUUUCUGCUCAUUUGGAAGCAGAUUAGCAUCACCUGUUAUUUGUGUCGCAUAAACAAUGUCACGUCAUUGAUUAAUUGAUGGUUUAGUCGAAGUGGUUGACCGAAGGAUUUGAUUGUACAAAAUAGAACUUGAAGGACCCAUAUUGCACAAAUGUAGAAAGUUAGAGGACUUGAUUUAACGAAAUAAAAAUUAGAGGAUCAAAUCGCAUAGAUGCUGAAACUUAAGGACCAUAAUAUGCACUUUGCCCAACAUUUCUACUAUGAAUUACCUAUGGCCGUGCGCGGUCCGUGUUGGGCCGAGGCAAAUUAUGUAUUUAUGUCCGGGUCUGGUUUCUAUUUUCUAUUAUUUUAUUAAAUCUAAUAUAGAGGAAACAAUCAAGUCCCUUUUUACUAACGGCUCGGCCCUGCCCGGCAAAGGCCAUGUAGGCCUUGCUGGGACCAUGCCGGUGCGCUGGUCAUUCCUAAUCCGGACAUUUGUUUAGCACGAUACAGGGUGUUACGCCCUUCCCAGUAUGAUUUACUGUUGUUCUGAAGAAGCUUUUCUGUUGCUAGCAAUGUCACAGCCAAAAUUCCCUUCCAUCUUGUGUAACUGAGAAAACUGGUAAUGAGUAACAUCUUGAGCAUGUUCUCUUUGAAAACUCAGGCACACGAUGCAUAAAUCUGGCUGUCAAACACAAAAAAAAGGUUUGAACUACAAUUCGGGCCCAAGAUGCAUAAAUCCGGCUGUCAAACACACAAAAAAAAAAAAAAAAGGUUUGAACUACAUGGAGCAUGUAAUCUAGUGUCGUAGACAUCAAUGCCGGAACAGAGCAUAUGCUUCCUCUUUCUAUGACUGAGAAGAGACUUCCUUGUCAAUAGACGGGACAUGAAAGACUCCGGUAUGUGCACAUUGGCGGCACAAAUACACCAUUUGAAUGAUCGUUAUGAAAGCCCCCAGCUUCAGAGCUACUUUAUUCUUCGGGUUUUGAGACGGCAUGCUGUAAAGACCCGAAAUGUCGGUUUGCCCUUUCCACUAUGCUUGGUCGAUAUCAUGCAAAAAUCAACCAAAGAACAGUUUAAUAUAUACGCACCAGGUUGUCAUUCAUUUUCUCGGAAGUUAACGAAGCCUUUGGAGUGUCCUGCUUGGCACCUUUUGUGUGAAAACAGAUUUUAAUAGACUCUGGCUAUGCCAGCCACGCUAAGCGGAGAAAGGUCCAUUUAUGUCAUAAUCUUUAGGACUGGAGAUGGGUUUCACUUAGUUGUAUGAAAAUCAUUUGAAAAGUUUAUUGAUCUUCGCUCAUCCAAGGAAUUUGCCGGGCAUCAUCAGGAUUGAGAAAAGAUGGGACAUCCCUUGACUGAACUAUUUGCUCAUUGCAGUUCAGUCCAUCAACAAAUGCAACCGGAGGAGGUGAGCAAUCCUUCGACGCAGCAACAGUUUCGGCUCUAGCAGAAUGUAUGUUGCGAUGGGGCGAGCGAUCGAACAAUAAUAUAGACAGAGAAGAAUAUAAAUCGGACACCAGAUUUACAUGGUUAAGUCGUAAAGACCUACGUCCACUGGGAGAGCAACAACGAAUUUCACUAUAAAUCAAGCGAUACAAGGAGAUUACAUAUUCAAGUCAUUCAAACACUCUCUCGGUGUUUCCCAAAUCCUAAUUUAACCCCAAACCCAAGUGUUUAUAAAUAAACAAACUCACUUGGAGAUAAACUCACGGCACAAAAUUAUCAUGCAUUUAAGCUUGAACGAAAACGCUCUACGUACGUCAAACAAGAACAGCGUCUUCAUGUACGUAUCCUCUUUGUAGGGCUUCUGCAAGAGGUGCGGACGUCCGAAAAGCUUCUCUGACGUGCGGCUCCACUCUACGUAGGGUUCUCUUACGUAGGUCUUCGUGCAUGCCAAAAAAGGAAAUACGUGUGUGCCCAAGAAAAGUCAAAUUCUUGACUUGGGCCCACCUAUUUUGUCUACGUGCAGGGACUUCUUCAUUGGGCGUGGAGUGUGCAUGUGUGUCCAAGGUCAAACUUUUGACCUUGGGCCCACCACUUUAACAAAUCUUCACGUAGAGGGACUUCACGCGGCUUUCCUUUUAUGUUUCGUUCAUCCAACUCCAUCAAGAAGACUAAUUUGUAUACCCAUCUCCCUUUAUUUCAAAUUAAUUUAUUUUCAAAAUUGAGCAAUUCGCUUCGAGCUUAAACUCAAGACAAUUUUUUAACAAUCUCCACAUUGGCUUGACGUUUAAGCCAUAGUGCAAUUGCUUUGUAAAAAUUCAAAUUCUACUAAUACUUUCACAUAGUCCCCAAUGGGCUCAAUCGCCACAGAUAUUAUCCAAGUUCAAGCCUUACUUGAACUUCGCCAUACCCGAGGACCUCAUCAUACCAACUCCAUAUGCACCUUUAACUGCUUCGCAAGGAUUUUCUAAUACAACCUCCUCAACUGCAGAUAAAGUAAAAACAUUGUUACAUCAAUAUCUAUCAGGAGAUUGAAUACAUACCUUAUCAAUAUCAGCAAUUAUAGCAAUCAUUGGCUCUAUAGGCUCCACCUCGCUAUGAGCACCAUCUGUGUCGAUUACUUUGCUAGUACCUAUACUCGCUACCUCAGGAGUUUUUGGUUGUAACUCCACCUCAAGCUGAAUAUCGUCCAGAUCCGUAUUAACACUAUCAUAAACACUCCUAGCUAGAAGUACUGAAAACUCAUCAAGGAUAACUUCUCUGCUGUUAACAGGUGAAUUUAUAUCCGGGCACCACAACUGAUCGCUCCACUCACCUUGUGGAUAGCCAUGGAAUAUGCACAUUGCCCUCCAAUCAAACUUACCAUCACUCACUUAAAAAUAACACGGGCAACCAAACAUUCUAAAAAUAGAAUAACUAGCAACGUCACCUAACCACACUCUUUAAGAGUUCGCCAUUCAAUAGCAGAUGAUGGGGAUCUAUUCAUCAAGCAGUUCAUCGUACUAAGCAUAUCAAUUAGGAUUCUCCUAGCAAUACCUGCAUCAGAGAUAAUUUUUCGGGCCAUCUCUAGUAAUGUUAUUUUUGUCAAUUAUGCAAAUUGUUGUGAUUUACCGGCACUAGUGCGAUGUUUCACUAUGCCCUCUUUCAUGCAGAAUUUAUUUGCUAGCUCCGAGUAGAACUCCAUGCUAUUAUCAGUCCGCACAUGCUUGAUCGACUUACUAGUCUCCGUCUCGAUCAAAGCUCUUGAUUGCAAGAUCCUGACACCAACAUCAAACUUGUGCAUCGGCAUAAACCUCCAGGUCUUCUUCGAGCAGUCCAUAGACUCUUGAAUAGAUGCAUCCAACGUCUCUGGGGCGAAACCUGUCAUUGUCUCACCUUGAAGUUUAUACAGGCCAUCGUACUUGAUUCCUUUCAUUAUCACCGGGAUACCUCGAACAACCUUCAGAACUCCACCUUUUGAAGAAUACCUGCAACCAGCUAUAUUUAGGGCACCCAAGGAAAUUAAGUUCUUUUUCAAUUCUGGAACAUGCCUCACUCUAGUCAAUGUCCUCACGAUACCAUCAUGCAUUUUGAUUUUAACGUCACCAACACCCACAACAUCGCACUCAGCGUUGUUCCCUAACCGGACUUUACCACUACCAGUGCACUGAUAAGUGAUAAAUCAAUUUCUAUUUGGUGUGACAUGAAAAGAACAACCAGAAUCCAUAAUCCAUCCAUCAAACGAUGAAUCAUUAGUGACAGACAAGACAUAAUCGGCAAUAUCUGCUACAGCUGCAACAUUAUCUACAGAAUCAACCAUAAUUUCAUCACCCUUCUCAUUCCUCAACUUAAGGCAAUCCUUCUAAGAUAACCUCUCUUGCCACAGCUCCAACAGACAACAUUAGCAGUCCUAGAUUGACUACGUCUGUUCAUAUUAGUACUAUUAUUACCCACACGUGUUACAGAUCUUCCUCUAUUUUCACCGACUAAAGCAGUAGAUACAGAUUCGCCAGAUUCUCUUCUACGAAUAUCUUCGCUCAGAAUCAAAUUUCGAACCCCGUCAAACGUCAAAUUUGUUGACCUAGAGGAAUUACUAAUAGCAGUAAUAGUAGUAUUCUAACUAUUAGGCAAUGAGGAUAGCAGAAUCAAAGCACGUACCUCAUUUUCAAAAUUAAUUUCAACUGAACUCGAUUGACUAACAAUCACAUUGAAUUCAUUGAUAUGAUCUGCAACUGACACACCUUCGCUCAUCUUCAAAUUAAACAGGCGUCGCAUCAAGCAGACUUUGUUGAUCGCAGUGGGCUUCUCAUACACAUCUGACAGGGCUUGCAUCAAAUCAGCAGUGGUUUUCUCCUUCAAGAUGUUAAACGCGACGUUACGAGCCAACGUCAGCCAAAUAACACCCAAAGCUCGUCUAUCUAGCAAAUCUCAAUCAGCUUGCUUCAUCGUCUCUGGUUUCUCCCUAGAUAAAGGCAAUUGCAGAUUCAUCUGGUAAAGAUAAUCUUCAAUCUGCAUCUUCCAAAAACUAAAAUCCUUCCCAUCAAAUUUGUUUGUAAGAAGGCAAAAGUGAAGGAAGAAUGGAUGAAGUCCAGAGAGGAAAAAUGGAAAUCGAUGUGAGGAGAUUUUACUGUAUUAUCAAUAAUGUAUUUUGAAUGUACAAUUAUGUAGAGAUAUAAUACAAGCUCUAUUUUGUAUAAGGAAGUAAAUGAUUUGGACUAUCAAUCUAGAUCUAGGUAUAAUAUUUAAUUUACAUAUAUAUGAAGAUCGUGAUCAAUCAAGAUAAUCAUGAUCAAUUAAGAUCAAAACGUAUCGGGAAUCCGCAUAUCUUCCAACACUCCCUCUCAAGCUGGUGGCUUAUAGAUGUCCAAGACGCCUAGCUUGUUUAAUAGAUAUGCAUGUUAUCUCUGACAUAGGGGCUUGGUGAACAAGUCUGCUAGUUGCUCCGUUGUCCCAAUUCCUCUUGUCUCAAUUACUCCUUCCUGGAUCUUUUCCCAUGUGAAGUGAUAAUCCACUUCUAUAUGCUUGGUUCUUUCAUGCACUAUAGGAUUAGAUGCAAGUUUAAGAGCCGCAUCAUUAUCACAAUAUAACUUCGUGGGUCCUUGCACUUCUACUUUAAGAUCCUUGAGCAAUCCUCGUAUCCAAACUACUUGACAAAUGGCCUUGGCCAUAGCUCGAUAUUCUGCUUCGACUGAGGACAGAGACACGGUGGCUUGUUUCUUGGUUUUACAAGAUAGAAGAGAUCCUCCCAAUUUAAUACAAUAUCCAGUGACAGAUCUUCGACUAAUCGGACAUAUUGCAUAGUCUACAUCACAAUAUGCUGUCAUCCUCAUGUCACAUUCCUUAGAAAGAAGUAUCCUAAGCCCUAGACAUUUCUUCAGAUAUUUUACGACCUUUAAAGCUGCAUCCAAAUGAGAACACUUCAACUAAUGCAUAAACUAGCUAAGUGUCUGAACCGCAUAUGAGAUAUAAGGUCUAGUCAUUGUCAGGUAUAUAAGUUUCCCAACAAGUCUUUGAUAGCCUGACGGAUCACUAAGUAGGGGAUCAUCACUUCGAGAUAUUCCCUUAUCAUAAUCUGCGGUGGUCAACUUAGUGUUUUGCUCUAUAGGAAUUAUAACUGGCUUGCAUCCUGACAGACCUGCUUCUGAUAUGAUUUCUAGAAUGAACUUCCGCUAACUAAGGGAAAUUCCCUUGUCAGAUCGGGCAACUUCGAUUCCAAGGGAAUAUUUUGGUGCUCCUAAGUCUUUAAUAUGGAAGGUAGCAUGCAAAUAUUCAUUGAAAUUCUCUAUAGAGGCUCUAUCAUUUCCCAUAACAAGUAUGUCAUCGACAUAAAUCAUCAAAUAGAUAGAUGACAUACCUUUAGUUUUUAAGAACAAAGCAUAAUCGUGCUUGGAUUGCUUGAAGCCUGCUGUUGUAAGAGCGUUGGCAAAUUUAGCAUACCAUUGUCUGGACGCCUAUUUUAAGCCAUAAAGGGAUUUAUGGAGACGACACACCUUAUUCUCCCCCUGUCUCCGUAUGUCUUGAGGGAUAUCCAUGUAGAUCUCUUUAUCUAGAUCGCCGUGGAGAAAGGCAUUAUGGACAUCCAUUUGGUGUAAGUGUCAGUCAUUAAUGGUGGCAACAACUAAGAAUGAACGGGCUGUAACAUCUUUGGCAACUGGUGAGAACGUCUCGUGGUAGUCAAAACCUUCUCUUUGGGUGAACCCCUUAGCUACCAAUCUUGCCUUGUACCGUUCAAUGGAGCCAUUAGCCCGAUACUUGAUCUUGUAAACCCAUUUGUAUCCAAUUGGUUUACGAUGAGCUGGUAAUGGAACAAGAUCCCAUGUAUGAUUAUCAGUAAGUUCCUUCAAUUCUGCCUUCAUGACCUCUUGCCAUUUUGGGUUACUGGAAGCUUCUUCAUAACUAGACGGUUCCUUAUCUUUGGACAAACGACUAAUACAACAUAUAUGCUCCUGAGACAAUUUAUCAAAGGAAACAUAUGAAGAGACUAGAUACUGAAUACCUGGAGAGUUGUGAGUACCACAGAUAUAAUCUUUCAUCCAGGUUGGUGGUCUUGUAGCUCAUCCAGACCUCCUAGGAUGCUCAGCUUCAGUGGUAGGCUAUGAUGUCUCUGGUAAUGAAGUUGUUGUAGUGUCAUCAACUUAUGCAUCAGCAGUGGGUUCCUCCAAGGUAUCUCCCUAAAUAUGUUCUGAAGAAUUCGAAUUUCCAUUAGAAUCUUGUAGAGCUGGAACUGAAGGAAGAAUAGGAUUCCUUGGCUGUACUACUGGUAUGUAGGAGAGAUCCCGGUAUGGUGCUUCAUCAUAGAGAAAAUUAUGAUGGCUGGAAGCUAUCUCUGGAUCUCCAUGUGAAGACUCCCUUUCAGAAAAUGGAAAAAUAUUCUCAUGGAAAAUUACAUCACGACUUACUAUAAAUUCUCCUGUGGAAAUCUCAAGCACUCGAUACCCUUUCUGGAGAUUGGGAUAUCCCAUAAAGACGCAUCGCCGUGCACGUGGGCUCAUUUUAUCUCGAGGCCCCAUGAUUGCAGCAUAGCAGAGACAUUCGAAGAUCCUGAGAUGAUUUAAUUCCGGUUUCUUCCCAAAUAGCAGCUCGAAUGGUGUCCGCCCAUUGAGAAUCCGAGUAGGCAUUCUAUUAAUAAGAUAAGCUGCUGUGGUGACACAAUCACCCCAAUAUGUUUCCGGAAUUGAUGCUUGGAAUUUCAAGGCAUGAGCAACUUCCAGUAGAUGGCGAUGCUUUCUUUCAACUACUCCAUUUUGUUGUGGUGAAUAAAUGUAGGAACUUUCGUGUUGAAUACCAUGAGAAUUGAAUAACAGGGAGCAUUCAUGACUGAAAAAUUCUCUCCCGUUAUCAGUACGAACCCGCUGAAUGGAUUUCCUGAAUUGGUUCUUAGAUAGCAGAAUGAAAUUUUUCAGGUGAGAAUAGACCUGAUUUUUUGAUUGCAUUAGGAAGAUCCAUGUUGCCCGAGAAUAGUCAUCUACUAUCGUAAGAAAAUAACGAGAGCCAUCAUAAUUGACUAUAUGAUAAGGUCCCCAAAUGUCCACAUGAAUUAGUGCAAAUAUUUGACUAGUCCGUGAGGUACUAGAAGAAAAUGGUGUAUGUGAUUGCUUCGCAAUGGGACAUAUAGGACAUUCAGGAUAUGAAAAUGAAGCACUGUCACCCAAUCUCAUAUGCAUAGUAAAAUUUCUAUCAUUGGUAGUUGAAUUACACAAUGAUUUCUUAUUCAAGGGAUUGCAUGGAAAAUUGAAAUUACUUGGAAAACUCGUCCAGAAAUAGAGUCAUUCAGAAAGAUUACCCAAGCCCAUCAGUCUCCCAGUCGAAAUGGCCUAAAAUAAACAUGUGUCAUCGUUGAAUAUUACCCGGCAUAAGUUCUCUUUGCAGACUUUAGACACAGAUAUGAGGUUAAAUUGGAAUUCUGGGACAUAUAGCACAUUCUGGAGAAUAAUCUGAGAACUGAGAUUCACUAUUCCUGUCACUUUGACAUGAGUAACAUUUCCAUUGGGUAAUUGUACGGAGACAGGAAAAUUCAAGCUUUCAUUUAUAUUUGAAAAAAAAUCCCUUGUCGCAUAUAAUAUGGUCACUUGCCCCAGAGUCUAUAAUCCAUGCCUUUAUGGAAAUGGAAUUAAUUAGGCAAUGUGAAAUACCUGAGAAACGUCCCCCUUUGUUGGAUAUAUCCAUCUUCUGUAGUGUCUGCAUGAGUUGUUGAUACUGACCAUAUGAAAUAGGCUAGUCAAUUUUUGGACCAGUUGGUCCAGUGACUUGAUAAGCUGUGGAAAUUUUUUUCUCCUUUUCUUCCGGCUUCCCGUGUAAUUUCCAGCAAUUGUCAAUGGUAUGGUUAGUACGCUUGCAAUAAUCACAAAAAAAAUUUACCCUUUCCUUUAAAUUUUUUUGCGAAAUUUUUUGAUGUCAUGGUGAAGAUCUGGCCGUUUGCUCCUUUGAUCGCGAUCUGUUGUCCACCGUCCAAUCCAGGCGCAAUUUCGAUUCCUUGAUGACCGUCGGAUCUUCGCGUGUAAUCUGGGCCGUCCGAUCUUCGCGAGUAAUCUGGGCCACUCGAUCCUUGCAUGUAAUCCUAGCCAUUUGUCCCGUCCCUUUUAAGCCCGCGUGAAUCGAUCUCGCCGAACCCGAAGGGGCUCUUCUUUUCCUUUUCACAAGCUAGGGUUAGGGUUCUCCCUUCACCGCGGGCAGCUAGAGCGAUGCUCUCACUGUUCUUCGUGAUUGUGAGUCGCUGACUCUCCUCCUGCAUCGCCAAUCGAAAAAUACGCCCGAUCGGUGGCAUGGGAUCCAUGGCAAGGAUCUGUAAUCGAAAUGUGAGGCACGAUUCAUUUAAAAUCAGCAGGAAUCACGUGGUUUUUUCUAUCUCUUUGAUCCUUUUAUACUGCUUGAGGGUAGAUUCUGGCCCUUCAAGCUUUUCUUCUACUGCUUUGAGUUGAUUCCAGAGAGACGAUAGACUGUUGAAGCAGGCCGUGACCGUCGAGUUUCCCUGUUUGAGUUUGCUGAUUUCCUACAUGAGAUUAAAAACUUUUGCUCGAUUCAUUUUAUCGUACAUUUCUCGUAUGUUUUCCCACAUGGUUUUGGCAUCCUUUGUGGGUGGAAGCCCAACCGCAACUUCUAGGGAUAUGCAAUUCCCGAUCCACGUUCGGACGAGUUGAUUGCACUUCCGCCAAUGUCGGGCUAGGCGUUCAUUGGAGGGGAUUGGAAUUGUUCCAUCGAGAAAUCCGUCUGUCUUUUGUCACCAGUGCCUGCCGGAGCUCCUGUGACCACUUCGAAUAGGUCUUUGGUCCGGUUAGUUGCUGGUUUAUCAAUUGAAGCUUCGGUCCGCCGGCGGUGGAGACAAAUAGAGGAUCACCUAUUUUUGGUCGCCCGAUGAACGCCACCGCUGGAACGGGUAGAAAACCGGGUGCGAAAUUCAAAUAGGGAUUCGUCCCUUGACCUGAUUCGCUCAACCCAACUGGAUAGCCUGCAUUGACAUAUCCCGGGUAGGGAUUAUGCCCCGUACCCGAUUUGCUCGAACUGCCUGUCUGCUCCAUCGCGAUGGUUGGGCUUCCUCCAUUCGUGGCUGGCAGGCCUCCAUUGUGAUUCUGGUGGCCCACGAAAAAAGGCGAUGAGGAACUUGGGCUUGGCCUAAAAUAGAGUGGAUAUGGAAUCCACUGGUAUGGUUGACCCGUCGUGGGUUGCCCCAAUUGGAAUUGAGCCUGCGUGGGCCGCCACUGCUGGGGUUGGGUUUGAGCUAAUUGUUGGUCGGAUACUAGUAUUACUGCAGGGAGAUUCUGGAUCUGUGGAACUUGAGGACUACUUUCUUUGGUGGUCCUGUCGUUAGCAGCCAGACUGGAGUCUUACGGAGAAGCCAUAGUAAGUUAAUUUAAAUUUCUUCCUUCGAGAGUAUGCCUAAUGCCAAAAGAUCAAUCCUUUUGCAGGUUGAGAAUUUUCUUCGGCAGUGGUUUGGAGCGGAAGCAAGUAAGAGAUCAAGGUGCUCUGAUACCAUGUAAGAAGGCAAAAGUGAAGGAAGAAUGGACAAAGUCCAGAGAGGAAAAAUGGAAAUCGAUGUGAGGAGAUUUUACUGUAUUAUCACCAAUGUAUUCUGAAUGUACAAUUCUGUAGAGAUAUAAUACAAGCUCUAUUUUGUAUAAGGAAGUAAAUGAUCUGGACUAUCAAUCUAGAUCUAGAUCAAAUAUUUAAUUUACAUAUACAUGAAGAUCAUGAUCAAUCAAGAUAAUCAUGAUCAAUUAAGAUCAAACCGUAUCGGGCAAUCCGCAUAUCUUCCAACACUGUCGAUUCUCACUUUUACUUAUUCUGUCGCCAUCGAUUUGCUUCAACUUAGUCAAGCCUAACUCUGAUACCACUUGUUGCAAUGGGGCGAGCGAUCGAACAAUAAUAUAGACAGAGAAGAAAAUAAAUCGGACACCAGAUUUACGUGGUUCAGUCGUAAAGACCUACGUUCACGGGGAGAGCAGUAGUGAAUUUCACUAUAGAUCAAGCGAUACAAGGAGAUUACACACUCAAGUCACUCAAACACUCUUUCGGUGUUUCCCAAACCCCAAUUUAACCCUAAACCCAGGUGUUUAUAAAUAAACAAUUUACUCGGAGAUAAACUCACGGCACAAAAUUACCAUGCAUUCAAGCUCGAACGAAAAUGCUCUAUGUACGUCAAAUAAGAACAGCGUCUUCAUGUACGUAUCCUCUUCGUAGGGCUUCUGCAAGCGGCGUGGACGUUCGAAAAGCUUCUCUGACGUGCGGCUCCUCUCUACGUAGGGUUCUUUUACGUAGGUCUUCGUGCAUGCCGAAAAAGGAAAUACUAGUGUGCCCAAGAAAAGUCAAAUUCUUGACUUGGGCCCACCUAUUUUGUCUACGUUCAGGGACUUCUUCAUUGGGCGUCGAGUGUGCGUGUGUGCCCAAGGUCAAACUUUUGACCUUGGGCCCACCACUUUAACAAAUCUUCACGCAGGGGGACUCUACGCGGCUUUCCUUUUCUGUUUCGUUCGUCCAACUCCAUCAAGAAGACUAAUUUGUAUACCCAUCUCCCUUUAUUUCAAAUUAAUUUAUUUUUAAAAUUCAGCAAUUCGCUUCGAGCUUAAACUCAAGACAAUUUUUUAACAAUGUACAAACCAGUCCGAUUAAUCUGAUGCAGGCUGUACAAUUCCAACCUCAAAAUUAGUAGACGAUGCCACUUCACGCGAUGCUGCAAUCUAAUCCACAGCAUCUGGUCAGUCGUAGACAAAUUCCACAAGCGAACCAAAGUUUUGGGGCUCAGUCGACUCUAUACUCAGGGCAACUGAUUCCCGUGAGCUCUCAGAUUCCAGCCGAUUUCCAGCCAUUGCAUCUUGUCCCAGGCUUUACUACAGGGCCGAUGAAUGCUCUGGCUCAAUCCUUUCAUACUGCUGGUUUAGACUAUCCUCAAGUGCCAUUUCAUCUGCAUAACGUGCCUCCGAUGCCUUAAGGGAUAAUAGUUCAAUUGCUACCAUCUUUUCCACCAUCUCCUUGGACAACAGGGUUGUUUGACUGCAUGGAUGACCCUUUAAUUGGUACAGUCGCCUUUGCUUUUCCUGGGCAAGUUUAUACUAAAAUGGACGAGUAACACACGGAGAAUCUCCAAGUAUUUCUUGCGUGUUUGCAGUGGUUGUGGCCUGUUGCUUUCCCUGCGUAAUAUUCAGCCGGAUAGCGAAGACUGUUGACCGAGGGAGCACAUCUUAGUAAGGAUGCUUUUACUGACUUUUCAAUUCUUGAUUCUACUAGUGUAGCAGAUAACGGAGAUUGGAAAAUUCAAUGUCCUUUCAACAUUCUGAGGGAGAGAGCAAUCAGAAUGAGAUAUUUUAUGCACUUCAGCAUAUGAGAAGAAAGGGUAUCAUUGAACUAAUGCGGUUGAGAAUGAUGUUUGCUUUGCAGCAUGUGGAACGAGCGGGCUACUUACGGUGGGAUCCAGUUUCUCAUCGGUUGCCCAUGCUUGUUGUCCUGCACUUGCCGAACCAAGCUCCAGAACCAAUUCAACCUCAUCGAGUCCCCUGUUCCUGACUGGAUCACUCACUUCAUUUGCGAAUGCUGUGCUCUUUCUGAGGGAUACAGAGAGCUUAAGGACAGAGGACUUGACCCUUCCAUAGGCAAAACUGAUGUCGACUAUAGCCAUUUGAGCUCCAAACGAGCACUUAAUAAGCCAACUUAUUGCAAAUAUGGCACUAAAAUACUGUUGUUAUGGUGCCUCCAAUGCAUCAGCACGCCAUGAGAGCUUGACGAGGAACAUCACAUCGGAUCCAUCAGUGACUCAGAUCAUCCUCUUAUGUAGUCACCAAUGAGUCCAAGAAAGCGAAUGCCAAUGGAACUAUGAAGUUUCAAUUUGCAGAUAUGAAUAACAAAUUUCUUUCUAAAAGUUUCCAUCGAUUUGAGGAACAAAUUGAAAUAAAAUUGUCAAAGAAUAUCUUACAAUAGUCCAACAACUGAUUUGCUUAUGUGCUGUAUCAUUGUUGCAUCUGGAAACAUUACUUUCUUUUCCACCAGUUAGACCGUUUCAGACUCAUAUCUAGGAUCAUGGCACUGUGCACAAUUCUGUGACAUCCAUCAAAUCCAUAACAUCAGCUGUUUUCAGCGGCAUGAUUUUUUGGAGGUGUUCGGUUCACUAGUCAUUUCUUUGGAUUAAGCUUUCCAAACUAUGUGCUUUCUUGAUUCAACCAAUGGAAAUUACACCGAGAAAGAAGGCUCCCAUCUAGAUGUGAGAGGAUGACCACUGUGAGGUGAUCGCAGCCACCACAAGAGAUACGCGAUGUGAGAUGGAUGGCCUCUCGUCGACUGCAAUACGGUGGUUGCCAUCUCUCUCUUGCACACGCACGCGGCUCUCAGCCUAUUUGGCACCAUAUUAACUGGAUAAGAGCCACGUGAGCCAAUGAAAUUAAUGUAACACAUGUACGCUGAUUGUCCAGCUACUAUUUCAACGUGCUCCUCAGCACUAUGUAUAGAGCUUUUCAACCGGAAGGCCGACUGCAAACACAUUUUACAAAAAAAUUUGUCACCUUGUCUGGUUUCUCAAGUACUCAUUUUGGGGAUUGGCUUACUGUUGACACCUAAAUUUUGGCGACCCGUUUAGUCAUUUAUUGCAUUAAAAAAAUUAAAGGUUAAUUUUAUUCCUUAAAAAAAAAUAGUUAAUUGCAUAGCAUAUAGUUUUAGGUGCAUUUAUUUUUUAUUUGCAUUUACAUUUGGCUAGUGACGGAUGGAUUCGAAUUGAUGGUUCGGAAACUUUAAGUUGAUGAGUAAGGUUAAGCCUACGAAGAAAGCAAAUCGGUCCAAGCCCGUAUCCUCGGAGAUAUUUUAAUGAUUUAUCUUUGUGAGAUUUCAAUUCAAAAGCAAAUAUUACAUUUGGAAAAAAAAUAUUGCGUUUCGAAAAGAAAUCAUCGUGGAUAUGGAUUUGGAAAAUUAAAAAAAACCUAAUCCGUGCGCUAUAAAUACGUAAACAAUAAAUACGUAAACAUACGUAGGGUUAAGGGGACCAAAAAACAUUGAAUACACGGCCCCAUUAAGGGGGUUUCUCUCGAGUUUUAGGUAAGAAAAUUCUCGAGCAAAAAAGAGAAAGGAAAGGGGGAAAGAAAAGAAGUGACGUGAGAAAAAAAAAAGGAAAAGAAAAGCCCCCCACGCGACUGUUCAUCUUCCUCGCGGGGGGGGGGGGGGUUUUCCUUUUUUUUUUCAACCUCUACAAACCUUGUGUUCACCCUUUCCUUUCUCUUUUUUGCUCGAGAAUUUUCUUACCUAAAACUCGAGAGAAACCCCCUUAAUGGGGUCUCUCUAUUGUUUGCCUAUGUCCCUUUAACCUCACGUAUGUUUACGUGAUUAUUGUUUACGUCUAUAUAGCGCACGGAUAUAGGUUUAAUUUUAUUUUCCAUAUCCAUAUUCACGAUGAUCNNNNNNNNNNNNNNNNNNNNNNNNNNNNNNNNNNNNNNNNNNNNNNNNNNNNNNNNNNNNNNNNNNNNNNNNNNNNNNNNNNNNNNNNNNNNNNNNNNNNCCCCCCCCCCCCCCCCCCCGACAUUUCGCCGCCGCAUCUCCGUUCGCGAACCCCGGCGCCUGUCGACCCUACAGAUCGGUCCCGUCGCCUGCAACUCCCAGAUCCGGCGACGAUCUGACGCUUCUGCUGCCCCGCCGUCGCCGAUUUGCCGCAUCAACCCCGAUCCGCCGCACCGGAGUUGCUCCCCUACGUCGUUGCUCCAGAUCGACCCGCAUCUUCCCAGAGCCCUCGCCAGAACGCAUCGAAGCCCCUGCCUCGCCCCUUGCCGUCGCGAUCCAGCCCCGACGCCGGCAGAUCUGAGAUCUCCUGCAGCAGCCGCGACCCGAGCGCUCCGGCUCGCCUCCACCUGACGUCGCGUCGCUGUCCCUGCCGCGAUCCGACGCCUUCGCCGCGCCCCUGCGCCGUCAACGCCCGACUCCUCCGCAACCGGUAACCCGGAGCUCCACCGAUCUACACCAACAGCCCGCCAGUAGCCCCUGCUGCCGAUCUACAGCACUCCAGCUCGCGCCGCCCCACGGAGGACACCGAUCUCGCCACACCGGAGUUGCCCCGACGCCGUCGCUCCAGAUCUGCCAUCGUCCGCGAGCCCCGACGAUCCGCGCCGAACCGCCUGUUGCCCGCUGGUCACGGCGUCGCUGUCCUGACGCCGUCUCGUGCUGAUUCCGAACCCCUCUGGUGCCGCGCCACCGUCACGCCAUCCUCCGGAGCCUCGCCGGAACCCUAGCCGGCGAUCUCCCCUCGCCGGACCGGCCACCAGAUUUAUUUUUCUUUUUCUUUUUCAGAAAAAAAAGAAAAGAAAAAAGAGAAAAGCAAAAGAAAAUUUAGGUAUUUUCUUUAUCUUAUUUUUUUUUAAUUAUUUUUGCUAUUUUAUUUUAUCUUUUUAGUGUAAUUAUUCCUUUAAUAUGAAAUUGAAAUUCCAUGAUAUGAAAUUGCCUUGAAAUUAGUGAUUGUCAGUCCGAUUUUCAAGCUCGAAAUCCGACUCGCAAUUAUUAAAGGUAAGUUUGGGAAGAGUGGGGCAUGAAAAAGCAGUGCCUGGUAAAAGCAAGGCCAAUGCCUAAAGAAAAAAAUCAAACACUUGAUGAAGUGAGUCGUAUCCCAACAAGGUGGUACAAAAAAAAAAAACUCAAAUGUUGAGAUGUUACAAUCAGUGGAGUUGUGAUGUGAAGAAAAUCUUCGAUCAUGAAAAGGAAAAUUGUUGGAAAUGUCAAGAUGAUCACCAACUUUAACCCGUAAACACUUUUUGAGCCAAAUGAUCCUUUCGUUUCUCAACCCAUGAACCCAACUUACGUUACGUCCCUUACAAAGUCUCUUCAGAUUAGGGCAUUUGAAUUAACGUAAAAGUUCAUAUGUUUGAAAGCAUUACUUGAAGAAGUGCGAGUAAGACAAUUUCUACCUCAUUUCUCAUGUUUCUUGGCUUGUAAACCCCAGGAUGAUGGUGAAAUAUCAUUCAUUUUUUAAUAACCUUGACUCGAAGAGUCUCCUUUACUAAGCCGUUGACCAAGCCAGCAUUACGGUCCCUGUUAAAGACCUCUCAGAUUGGUAAGUUCGUACCACUUACGAGAUUGCUCGAAUCCUUGUUUGGCAUGAUGAUGAAAGAUAGAGGGAUUGUCAAAAAUCCUGCAUCAAAGGUCAGGAUGAAACAACCCAUUUUAAUGAGGAUGAGUGAAAAGUCAUUUCAGACCAAGAGGUCCCCCAUUUGGCACAUCUAUGACACUCAUGUGUUCAGAUUGGAACAUUCUUUGUGAAAUCCUUCCCAAUGAAAAUUAUCAUGAACCUCCAUUAAAUUGAUGCAUGUUUAUGAUUACUAAUGCAUGGUGUCUCUCCUACGACCAUGUUUUGCAGGAGACAUAUCCCCGAAGAUUGGAGAUGUUACCAGGUAAGUAUAUCUCUAUCCAUACCUUGAAUAUUUGUCAUCGCACAGGUAUUCCCUUUUAAACAUACCGACACUCGAUUGAGUUGUCCCCCAAAAAUUUCUCUCCAGAUUCAAUCUGAUUAAGGCGACUGAAGAAUGGUUCGGGUCCUAGCCAAGCAAAACCUCGUUUAGGCGACCGUAGAAUGGUACGGGUCCUAGAAAGUGAAUCACCGUUUAGGCGAUCGUAGAAUGGUACGGGUCCUAGACAAAACCUAUUUCCCUAUUCAGGCGACCGUAGAAUGGUACGGGUCUUGGAAGGUAAAUCCCCGUUUAAAGCUGUCGCGAUCAAAUUUUUCGGUUUUGGACCACCUAGGGUUUGGCUAAUUUUAAAUUAAAUCGCGAAUCAAAUCUCGGGCUUGAGAUUGGAUUGUCGAUUUUUAUAAGAGAUUGCGAGUCGGAUUUCGAGCGCGAAAAUCGGACUGUCAAUCUCUAGCUUGAGGGACUAUUUCAUGUUGGGAUAUCAAUAAUAUAUUAAGGAACAAUUCCACUAAAACAGAAUAUUAAAAAAAGGUAAAAUAAAAGAAAAGAAAAACCACCUAAUCAGAUUUUCUUUUUGUUUUUUCUGUUUUUCUUCUCCCUUCCUUUCCCCGCACAGCUGUGGAUCUCCAAGGGGAGCUGGCUGAUCGGUCCAGCUUUUUUGGUCCGGCAAGGGCGGCUGCAGCACAGGCAAGUGGGGAUGGAUGUGCACCAACAAUGGACUCCCGCGUGAGGAAUUAUGAUACUUCUCUGCAAGACCAAGGAAGCAACGAAGCUCACGGUGUGGUAACUCUCACUUGUGAAAUCCACACCUCGAUAAAAUUCGCACGCUUGAUGAAAGUCAACAAAUCUGCAAAAAAGAAAAUCGUGGAUUGGAGUAGCACUAGAUUUGCUGGGCUUGGUAGUGACCAAAAGCCCACUAAGACUUCACUGUGGAGGCACUUGUGAAUUUGCUGGAUGUUGCUGAUGGUCACACCAAAAUCACGAUCUUCGCCGGUCAACCUGCAAAUAAUUCACCGAAGAGUUCAAAGAAUUCGAGUCAGGUUUGAUGACAUGUCUACUGGAGCCAUACACGAUGAAACACAGCGCUGCAAACGCUGCGAGGGGUGAAAGACAAAAGCUCCGUUGGAGUGGGUGACGCUCGAUGGCUUCGGGGCACAACAAAAUUAUCGAUGUUGGCUCGAGCUGUCGCGGGAUGAGGCAGCGGGCUCGAUCGUCGUCGCAGAUAGUAACAAGGAUGUCGUAGGACGGCGUCACGAGGAUCUCCUGGGUUUGUCGUGGGUGCGGCGCGGAGAAAAACCUGGCUGCCUUUCUUUCUCGUGGCUUUUGUGUUGAGAUCGUAGCCUCCUUUUGAGAGUGGACGUCCACUUAAAUUGUCAGAUCGUACUCACGAGGAUGACCCGUUUCAUCACCCUCUUCAGUCUUCAAGAGCGCUCACGACCUCUCUCUGUACAUCUUGCCGUUCUCUCCAUAUUGUGUAGCCAUGUAUACAAUGUCAUGUGUGGCUCCCCCUGUUCGGCCGAGAGAGCUCCUUCUUUUUUCUCUUUCUCACGUGUGUCUCUCUAUGCUCUCAGAAUUGUGGUCGUCUGUAUUGAUUGUGUGUCCUCCUCCCAAAACCCUACGUGAAAACCUUUUUAUAGGCUGAAGAUUAGGGUUUUAUUUUCCUUUUCAAAUCAGCAUCCGCGAAGAUUUCUUUUUCGCACGCAAUAUCACUUUUCUUUUAUUUUCCACAUCUCCUGAUUUUAUCACCUAAAGAUAAGAUUGCAACCCGAUUUUCUUAAAUUCCAAAAAUCCACCGUAAUAUUAUUUCAAAUCUCAAUUUAGGUAAUUCUUGUCAUUAAAAGAAAAUGAGCUCAGGCCAAUUUACUUGUUUCGUGGGCUUAGUCUGGCCUGCCAAAUUAAAGCUUAGAACCACUAAUCCGAAUCCAUUCACCACCAAUCCAAUAAAAUGCAAAAAAUGUAAAUGCACCUGAAUCUAUAUGUAAUGCAAUUAAUUUUUUUUUAGGGAUAAAAUUAACCCAUAAUUUUCUAUGCAUUAAAUAAACGGGCCGCCAAAAUUUAGGUGUCAACAGUUGCCCCUCUUUGAAGGUGAGCUCGAAAAGGUUGCAUUCAAAGACAAAUUGAGACCUAAAUUUUGACCACGCAUGCACUGAAUGAUUUUUUUUUUUUUUUUUUGGAAAAUGAAUUCCAUUUUUUAAUACAAUUUAUAUGAUGCAUGGAAAUGCUAAUGCAAAUGAACCUACCUGGAAUAACUUACCUUCAAGGAGGAUAUAGUAGUUCGAGGUAGUUGGUGUUACAUGUCUAGGACCCGUACCAUUUUACGGUCGCCCAGUAUGGCAGAAAGUAGCUGCUUUCUCAGGACCCAUACCAUUCUACGGUCGCCCAGUAUGGCAGAAAGUAGUUGCUUUCUUAGGACCCGUACCAUUCUACGGUCGCCCAGUACGGCAGAAAAUUUUUGUAAGGAACUGCUUUCCCAGGACCCGUACUAUUCUACGGUCGCCUAGUACGGCAGAAAGAUUUUGUCUAGGACCCGUACCAUUCUACAGUCGCCUAAACAGGGAUUCAUUUUGCAGGACCCGUACCAUUCUACGGUCGCCUGAAUGAGGAAAUUACUUUUCCAGGACCCGUACCAUUCUACGGUCGCCUAGACUAAGGUUUUGCUUGGCUAGGACCCAAACCAUUCUUCGGUCGCCCAACCUUGCGACAGAAAUCAUUCGACCAGGACCCGAACCAUUGUGAUAAAAUACUAAAUGAAAAUACCCUAACCUAAAAUUUGGUGACCCUUUUAAUUAUUAGUUGCAUUAAAAAAUUAGGGAUUAAUUUUAACCCCUAAAAAAAUAUUAGUUAAUUAAUUAAUUGCAUAGCAUAUAGUUUUAGGUGCAUCUAUUUUAAUUUGCAUUUACAUUGGGCCGGUGACAAAUGGGUUCAAAUUGAUGGUUCAGAAUAUUAAUUUGACAAUUGGACUAAGCCCACGAAGGGAGUAAAUAAGCCCAAGUCCGUAUCUUCGGAAAGAUUUUACGGAUUGAUUUGUGUGAGAUUUCAAAUUUUGGAAGAAUCCUUUUGCAAUCCUAAAUCGUAUCAAAAGCAAAUAUUGCAUUUGGAAAAAGGAAUUAUCGUGGAUACGGAUUUGGAAAAAUUAAAACCCUAAUCGUGGCCUAUAAAUAGAUUAAAUGCGUAGGGUUUGAAGGGGGCACACAUAUUGAAUACACGGCCAUCGAGAGAAAAGCUCUUUCGUUGGGGGACUCCUCUAGGGUUCGAAGAAGAGAGAAUAAAAAGAGAGAAAAAAGGUUUUAGGGUGUGGUCCUUCGUUCCUUGGAGAGCGACACAAAAGAAAAGCUGCUGAGGGAAGGGAAAAGUCAGUAGGUCAGAGAGAAAACAGAGAAGAGGCAGAGAGGGAUACGUGUAGCAACAGGAGAGAGAAAAACCAAAAGAAGAAAACGGAAGCAGAAGAGGAACAGGUCGUCUCCUUCGCUGCUGCUGCUUGGCCUCCCGCGUACGCAAGCUCCUCGGCCGCCACCGCAGCCCCCGACGACUGUCGCUGUUGCGUUGCUCGCCGUGUCCGAGAACCACCGCGCAGUUUCUUCCUAGCUGGUCUAGCCCAGUUUUGACGCCCCUGCCUGGCUGAGUCCGUGCCGCGCUACAUCAGUGCCUGCCCCAUCAACGGCAACUCAAUCUAAUGAACUCUAGACGUCCUGAACGAGAAUCAAAGCCGUCCUCGCCUCAAGCACGCAUCUUGACUACCCCUGCGGAAGUUCCUGCUGAUCCAUGGCGCUGCACUAGUGAUUCAGUAAUCCUGUCCACCUCAGCCCCUGCCUUAACAGAUUAGUGGCUCCAGAGAACACCGGCAGUCGCUUUGGCGUGUCGCAGUCCGCUGGUGAGUUGCCCGGAGGAUUCCAGUUUGCUGCAACGCUUCUUGCAACAAGUUCCCAGCAACUCUGGUGAACAUCCAGCGAACACCGUCAUCACCGAGCUUCAACACCAAGAAUCUACCGUCUCCCAGCCUACACCGCACGACGAUCUACCGUUACCGUUGCUGAUCUUUCACCUUGUUGUGGAGCUGUUUCUCUGUUUUGCAGGUUAUCAAUCAUUAACAAACCACUCCGAGGCUCCCACUGUCGCUGCCAUGCCUCAAUAUCAUGGGCCGAGCACUGCCCUCGCCGUAAAUCCCUAAGCCGUGACCAAGUUGUUAUCCCAUGGCGUCCCCAUCCAGACGUGAAGCCGCUGCUCACCUUAGCUCAAUGCCACACCCAUAUCCUCCCGGUGGCAGUAGACGUCUCGUCCCUACCGUUUGCCGCCUCGGCCUGCCCCAGCGUUGAAGUUCCAGCGAACGCACGGAUUAGCUCUUGCAGUUUUCGGGCACGAAGCUUAUCAUCCCAACGCCACGAGCAACCCCGACGACGCUCAAUUCUGACGGCCACGUGUCUUAGCCUUUCAAUGCCGCGAGUAGUCCAACAACGCCGCUGCUGCCCCAAGCGCCAACACUGACCCACGAUCGUCAAUCCGCGUCAACGACGAAGCCAGCUGCUAUUAACACCCAACUUGCCUUUAUCGUGGGUUGCAACGUGAUUCUUUAAUCAUUUCUUUUAAAUGUUUUUUCAUGCAGGUUGAGUUUUCACGUGGGGAUAACAUAAUUCAUAUAGUUGAGUAGUGAAGAGAAGAGGCACGUGGAACACCACCUGGUGGGAUACGCUGUUUUUAGUUGAGGCCAAACGAAAGUCAUCCUUGACCAUUGACUUCAGCUCGCGUCCUCUGCCAAACGUCCGCGAAAUCUCUAUCCGCAAGCUCCAUCUCCGCGAGCUCGCUGACACCGUGAGCCAUGUAAUCGCCGCCGUUCGUGAGUCUUUUGCCGCCGAGAAUCAUCUAAUCUAGGUAGUUUAUUUUAUUUUUAUUAUCGUUUUAUUUUUCUUUUAGUGGAAUUAUUCUUUAAUGUUUGAUUGAGAUUACAACAUGAAAGUGCCCCUCAAGCUAGGGGUUGACAGUCCGAUUUUCGCGUCCAAAAUCCGACUCGCAAUCCCUUACAAAAAUCGACAAUCCAAUCUCAAGCCCGAGAUUUGAUUUGCGAUUUAAUUUAAAAUUGACCAACCCGAUCUCAUGCGCGAGAUAUGGUUCGUCAAUUUUUGGAUAUCAAUCUUAUCUUAUUUGAUUUGCUAUCGUCAAGUUGGUUGAGUCAAUUUUAUUUUCGUAAAAGAAAAAAUCCAAAAAAUACUUGAGUUAGGAAUAGAUUUGCUUUAAGAAUAUUCCUAGUCUUAGGUUUAAAAAUCGCAAUCUUAUUUCGAAUUUUUAAAUAAAAAAUCCAAAAAAAGAAAGUGCAAUCAUUUAGGUUGUUAGUUUUGCAUGUUAGUUUUAAUUUCAAAUUUCUUAAAGAAAAACACAAAAAAAAUCAUUGUGCAUAUUAGAUUAGAAUUGCAUGUUUCAUUCUAAAUUUAGAUCAUUUUGCAUUUUAGAUUUAGAUAAUGUCUUAGUUUAAAUUAGGAUUUAAUAUGACUUAAUCCCUAGUUUAAAUUAGAUAGAAUCUUAAUCUAGCUAGAUCAUUUCAAAUUUCAUAAAAUUUGUCUUAGGAUAAAUUAGUUGCAAUUUCUAGGAUAGAUUGCAUUUUUUAAAAUAAAAAAUGUCAUUUGCAUGUCAUAUAGAAUUAGUUUCAUGAAAUGUAUGUCAUUUUAGUGACUAUUGUUAGGUUCAUUUCUAAUUAGAAAUUGUCCGUCAUUAGAUUAGGUCAUUUAAUAAAUAUCACGUGACAUAUAGCUCGCAUAUUAAAUUGCAAUGUUGCAUGUCAUUUUAGUUAAAAUAAUUUUGUAUGUCAUCGCAUUGCAUUGCAUGUCAUUAGAAUUAAGUCAUUUAGAUUGCAUCUAAUUAUUGCAUUUCUUCAUGUCAUAUAGUUUAGGUCAUGCUGCCAUGUCAUAUUAGAUUAUUAGAAUGCAUUGCAUGAUUUUCAUUAAGAAAAACAAAAACAUAAAAUUGAGUAAUUGCUUGUUAAUUAGAAACCAUAUCUAGGGUUGUUGAUGUGUAUUUCAAUUUAACACUGCAGAUGCUUUCGUUGCUUUGAGGUAAGUCCUGCAUUAUUUAAUUGUUUUCUUGGGUGUUAAAUUGGUGGUUUGCGCACCUGCAUGAACACCUCACCUGUUAGGAAAAUAGAUUUAAAAUCAAUCCAAAUUGCUUGCCAAACAUUUUUUCAAAAAAAUAAAAAGAAAGGUACCGAAAGGGCGUUAGAGAAAUCUAACGUAACCAAGUCCCCGUACCCUUAGUCUCUGGUUCGUAGGAGUAAAGUAAAUCUCCCGUUACUUUACUAGGGUUUCUAAUCGACCCACCAAAAAUAGAUUAGUGGCGACUCCUAGUUAAAAAUCAAUUGCAUGUUAACAAUUCAAACCUAAGUCGCGAAUUGGUAUGAGCUUGGGAGGGCCCGAGUUAAGUCUAGGCUUAACAAUCCAUUAGCCAAACCUUAGGUGGUUCACCCCCGAAAAAUUGGUCGCGACAGCUUGGCGACUCCGCUGGGGAAUUGAGUUAAAACUCUUAGUGGACUUAUGCUAAUUUUCUUUUUGAAAAAAAUGUUUUUGUUUGGCAGCGAGGAUCCCAGGUACGUCCCUAACAUUUAAGAUGUUAAACGUUUUUGCAGGAUGGGAGGUAUAAGGGGAAGUGUUUGCUAACCUUUAUUUUGCAGGGAGGUGUAGGAAUGUAUGGUUUAUUUUCAUGAACGAAGUGUUGUUUGAUUUAAACUGAUGUGCAUGCUUUGCAUUUAUCACUACACUUUGCACACACAACCUGCCAUCGGACCUGGGCCGCAUUAGGAUCAUCUAGGAUGGUAUUGAGAUGUUUGCCACUUCGACCGCAUGCUCGCGGUACGAGUCACCCAUCUCAAUCCCGAAGUUUCUUUCAUGGUGUCAAGAGUACCCACCUCAGUCCGCAUGCUCGCAACCCGGGUCGGCUCUUUGACUAAGCCGGAGUCAUGAGGACCCGACAUAGUCCACAAGCUCGUGGCUAGUCUGAUCAUCCUUGUGGCUCCACCUUGAUAAGCCUUAUAGAUUAGAAAUCGAGCCACUUACCAUGCGCAUGUCUAUGUGAUUGCCAUUGAUUCUUUCCCUAUUACAUGCAAUUUAUUUUGUCAUAUUCUUGGGUCGGUCCAUGACAAUCUAGGUCAAUCAUUGAUUUGAUUCAUUUGUCAAUUGGAAAUGAAAUGAGAAAUUGCUAGGGAAUGAUGCAUUUUAAAAAAACUUUGGAGAAUUUGUUUUUACAUCAUGUCUAGAAAAUUUGGUUUUACUAGGAUAUCCAUUUUUAGGAAAUUCCCUUCUUGCAUAGACUUUUCAUGAAAUAAAUGAAAAAAAAAAUAGAAAAAAAAAUAGAAAAAUCGAUUAGAUCAUUGUCAUGGAUUGACUCUCCAUUUACACCUCAUGCUUACAUGUUCCCGUUUAUUUCCUUUAGGUGAUUAUGGAACAAUCCCGCUCACCUAUCUGUUCACGAUCGAGAGCUAAAAUGAUGAAUCAAAAAGAGCUAAUCUCGUCAAGCAAAAAUGCUGCAAUCUAUCUUUAGUGAGAAAUUGCGACUCCAAGAAGAGAGCCAAGAGGACUUUCGAACCAUCCUAUUUUUCCUGAGGUAGCUGAAUUUGAUGCCACUAUGAAGAGACUAGUGAUAUAUCUAGAAGGAAUAAUCUCUGACCUAGAGGAUUUGCAUCACAAGAUCAAGGAGGGUGAAGAACUCAAGCGCACAUGAUUCAUGAUCCUAAGUAGUUUGCUUUCCUUAUUUAAUUAGGGGCAUGUUCAAUUGCACCUUCCCCUGUGUGGGAAUUCUUAUUGCUUUUUAGGGAUUGGUAAAAAUUUCUUCUGUUUUGCUUUAGUGCUUGAGCAUCACAUUCCAAUAAAUGUAAUUUGAUUGAUGAAUAUCAAUAGAAUUACAAGUUUUAAUUUGAGGACAUGAUGGGGUACACCAAACUAGCCCGGUGACGAUAUCCAACAAUGAAAAGAAAAUAUCAUCCAAGGAGAAAUUCUGAGGACUGGGCUUCUUCAUGCUUCCUCAUCCAAAAAAGAAUAAAUAAAAAAAUCAUUUUUCAAACCAUUUCCAAAAAACACGCCUUAGAUUAGCCGUGUUUAAUUUUCUGACUCAUUUACUUUAUGUUUCAGAGCAUUACUUUCUUGACCUGAUAAGAAAGCAUCUGAAAAAGGCACAUCAGGUUGCAGUCGGUUCAACUCUUACUCAACAAAUUUCUAAAAAGUUAAUGUCGUCACAUCUCAAUACUACUUGAAAUAUCCAUCUUGAAGAGUCAAACAAAGUGUGUUCCGUUUCCGUGCUUGACGGAAUUUUCAUUCUUGCCCAGGGCAAGUUAAAAGAGGAUCCAUCUUUGGUGAAAGAGGUACAUCUCGUCUUUGAACAUAAAUAAUUUUGGGAGAUGACCCAUUGUUCUUUUCCUUGCAGAUGACGAAUUGGAGGCACUACAGAUUCUAGUAGUGACAUGACUGUGACAAAAUUUUGACCCGAGCCAAAAUGGUUGUGCAAUUUGAAUUUAUUUUGAUGUUGCAUAGUAUCCUAUUCAUACACGUUGUUUUGUGCAGGGGCAAAAGCAAGAUUUCAUCAAAUCAAAGAUCGGAUUUUCAUCUUUGAUUGAUCAAUUUGUAUGUCCGUUCCUUUUCGAUAGGGGCAAUCCAAUGACACCCAUUGCUGAGACAGUCCCUUCGUGGGACAAUUCCUUGAUUGAAUGUUUGAAAUCAUGUUUUUCAUACUUAUGAGAGCAUGUUUUGUCUGUUUGAAGUCACAAAAGCUUUUCAUGCUUAAUGUUGUUGGACUCUUUUGAAAAGAGAAUUUUUACAUUGAUUUAGCUCACCAAUUUCAUGUGAAGAUUUGUCAAGAUAGACAACUCAAUGGAGUGACUUCAAUGCUUAAGAAUGCUUAAUGAGACAUAUUAGGAUGAUGAAAGGCAAGCCUUAUCCUAUACACAGUCCCAUACUUAUACACUUGAUACACUUGUGAGAUGAGUGUAGGAAGUUCCAUAUUUGCAAGGUAAAGAGUUUUCUCGCAAAAGGUACGAUAACCAAAAUGAUGAUGGGGCAAUUCAUUUCUCUAUCCUAAACAUAAUAGGUGAUCCAUUGCUUAACCACUUUGAGCCUUAUACACUUGUGAAGAUUUUUUUCAAAUUACCCCUAUCAAGAACCACCCCACAUCGGGGCAAAUUGGAGGUAAGAUGGCACCAUAAGGUGAAGGAAAUGGAUUGAAAUGUUCUUGCUCUCACUUGCAUCAAUCUUCUAGUCAUGCUAUUACAUUGAAUUCAUGUGGUAAUUUAAGUGCCUUAGAAUGAUGAAGAGCAGUUCUUUCUCUAUCGUACACACUUUUAUCCAUUGCAUAGCCCAUUUGAACCUAUGAAUUCAUUUCACAUUAAACCUUAGGUGGUUCACCCCUGAAAAAUUGGUCGCGACAGCUUGGCGACUCCGCUGGGGAAAAUCGGACAUUGCAUGGCGAUCCGCCGCACCGGAGUUGCUCCCCUACGUCGUUGCUCCAGAUCGACCCGCAUCUGCCCAGAGCCCUCGCCAGAACGCAUCGAAGCCCCUGCCUCGCCCCUUGCCGUCGCGAUCUAGCCCCGACGCCGGCAGAUCUGAGAUCUCCUGCAGCAGCCGCGACCCGAGCGCUCCGGCUCGCCUCCACCUGACGUCGCGUCGCUGUCCCUGCCGCGAUCCGACGCCUUCGCCGCGCCCCUGCGCCGUCAACGCCUGACUCCUCCGCAACCGGUAACCCCGAGCUCCACCGAUCUGCACCAACAGCCCGCCAGUAGCCCCUGCUGCCGAUCUAUAGCACUCCAGCUCGCGCCGCCCCACGGAGGACACCGAUCUUGCCACACCGGAGUUGCCUCGACGCCGUCGCUCCAGAUCUGCCAUCGUCCGUGAGCCCCGACGACCCGCGCCGAACCGCCUGUUGCCCGCUGGUCACGGUAUCACUGUCCUGACGCCGUCUCGUGCUGAUUCCGAACCCCUCUGGUGCCGCGCCACCGUCACGCCAUCCUCUGGAGCCUCGCCGAAACCCUAGCCGGCAAUCUCCCCUCGCCGGACCGGCCACCAGAUUUAUUUUUCUUUUUCUUUUUCAGAAAAAAAAAGAAAAGAAAAAAGAGAAAAGCAAAAGAAAAUUUAGGUAUUUUCUUUAUCUUAUUUUUGUUUUAUUAUUUUUGCUAUUUUAUUUUAUCUUUUUAGUGUAAUUAUUCCUUUAAUGUGAAAUUGAAAUUCCAUGAUAUGAAAUUGCCUUGAAAUUAGUGAUUGUCAGUCCGAUUUUCAAGCUCGAAAUCCGACUCGCAAUUACUUAAAAAAUUGCCAAUCCGAUCUCCCGCUCGAGAUUCGAUUCGUGAUUUAUGUGAAAUUGGCCAAUCCGAUCUCAUGCUUGAGAUAUGGUUCGUCAAUUUGGGUAUCAAUAUGGCUUGAUUUGCUGUGGUGUUACUUAAAUUAGUUUUCUUUAAAAAAAAAUCAAAAAAUGUAGUUUUAGGGUUUGCAUGUUCAUAAUAUGAAUUUUAUUUCGAAUUUUCAAAAAUAAAAAAAUCAAAUCAAUUAAUUUAGGUUGCUAGUUCUUUUUUUAAUUUGGAUUGCACGUUUAAUUAUUUGGCAAUUAUUAAUUUCGAAAUUUAAAAAAGGGAAAAAAGGAAAAACACAAAAAAAGUCAUUAUGCAUAUGUCAUGUAGAAUUAGGGCAUUCUGUGCACGUCAUUACAUGUUAAGAUUGCAUAUUAUAGGUUUAGAUAAUUUCUCCUAAAUAGAUUGCAUGCUUAUUAGGAAAAUAAAAAUCAUGUGCACGUCAUAUAGAAUUAGUUUCAUACAAUGCACGUCAUUUAGUGAUUUUUAUUAGAUGCAUUUAAUUAGAAAUUGCCCGUCAUUAGAAUUAAGUUAUUAGAUUAAUUUAGAUUGCAUAUUUAAGUGUUGCAUUUCUUUAAUUUCGAAUCUCAUGGAAAAUACAAAAAAAAUUAUUUUUUAGAAUAAAUCCAUCUCAUACUUCAGGAUAGACUACAUGCUUAUUUAUGUCAUAUUGCUUAGGUCAUAUAGCUAAGUUAUGUUGCCAUGUCAUAUCAUUUCAUGUUAAAUUAGUGGCAUGCAUUGCAUAUUGCAUGAUUUUCAUUAAUUAAGUGAAAACAAAACAAAAAUUGCGUGUUAAUUAGAAAUCAUAUUUAGGACUGCUGAUGUGAAUUCUAAACUAACAACGCAUAUGCUUUUUUUGCUAUGAGGUAAGUCCUGCAAUUUAUUCAUUUGCUUUUUUGAGUGUUAAAUUGGUGGUUUGCGCACCUGCAUGGUCACCUCACAUGUUAGAAUUUAAAAUCAAUUCAAGCUGCCUGCAAAAACAUUUUUGAAAUUAAAAGAAUGGUACCGAAAGGGCAUUAGAGAAAUCUAGUGUAACCAAGUCCCCGUACCCAUAAUCUCUGGUUCGUAGAAGUAAAGUAAAUCUCCCAUUACUUUACUUGGGUUUCUAAUUGACUCACCAAAAAUAGAUUAGUGGCGACUUCUGAUUAAAAAUCAAUUGCAUGUUAAAAAACUUGAACCCUAAGUCGCGAAUUGGUAUGGGCUUGGGAGAGCCCGAGUUAAGUUUAGGCUUAACAAUCCAUUAGCCAAACCCUAGGUGGUUUACACCCCGAAAAAUUGGGUCGCGACACUUAUGUCAUAGAUAGUAUCAUAGUAUGUCUCCUUCCGAUGGAAUAGGUUCAUACCCAAUCCAACGAGGGCAAGGAGUAUUGCUCAAGUGAGAGGGAUUGGACAAGGUACUGCUCUCGACGGACUUUUAAGAUAGCAAAUGGUGCAGGGAAAUGCUGCGACAAUGCAGAAUGUGCAGUAUCAGGUUGCUAUGAAGCCUCCAAUGAAUUAGCAACCCAAGAGAGCUUGAUGAGGAACAUUCCAUCGGACUAUCAGUGUCUUCAUUCAUUGUCUAAUUUAAUUACCAAUGAAUCAGAAAUAAUAGACGUAGGGAGUUUCAAUUUGCAAAUAUGAUGCGGAAGUAUUUGACUUAACUCCAUCAACAAAUCAGCACCUUUGAUUUUCAUUCAAGUCAAAGCAGAGUUUGUUCAUAAUGUGCUUCAAUGGGUCAAGAAUGAUGUUAUCGAUAUCGAUUAGGAGACUAUCAACCGGGUUAACUAUUAGGGAGUCACCAUUCUUCCCUUCAAAUUAUCGACUCACCAUAUUAGUUGCUGAUUUCAAAGUUAAUUAACAACAUAUCGAUGGGAAGCUAUAUGGGGAGAUUUCCAUGGAUAUUUAUUAUAUCCUAAGUGACUGCUAACAUGUAAAUCUGAUUGGUACAAACUCACGAUUUUUUUUAUAACGUAAAAUUUCUUUUAAUUUUCUAAUUUUUUUUAAAGAUUUUCUUUUUUCCUCUCUUCACCGGCUGGCAGCAAAGGACAAUUGAGAAGAAAUAUAAAAAAAAUAAAAAUAAAAUGACUUAUUUCUAGAAAUUUCUUUCGAAAACAAGAAACUAUUUUUUUCUUACUUAUUAUUUAUGUUACAAAUACAUUCCCUGGCUACUUUCUAUUCUAGAGAAUAAAAAAAUUAGUUAACAUUACUAAAUGGAUUUCUAUUUAUUUUUAUUUUUUUUGUUAACAAAAGAACGAAAGAACAACAAAUUAGCUAGUUGCCAUGUAGGACCUUAUUUGCAAGGACCCGACGGUCUCACUACUGACCUAACCUUUCCACGCAAUGAAACUUUCCAUGAAAAACACACCAAAAGAGUCCGCGGCGGCCUUACUACUUACCUAGCCUUUCUACGCAAUGAAACUUUCUACUGACCUGAUUUUUCCUCGCAAUUAAACUUUCUACUGACCUGAUUUUUCCACGCAAUUAAACUUUCCAUGAAAAACACACCAAAAAACACACCAAAAGUGUCCCCGGCGGUCUUACUAUUGACCUUUCUACGCAAUGAAACUUUCCAUGAAAAGCACACCAAAAGAGUACGAGUCCCAUUGGCUGCUUUUUUAUGAUAGGUAAAGGGCUCUACUCAUUGCGUAUAUUUUAGCCACGACUUUGGUCUUUCACUAAAUUAAAAAAAAAAAAUUUAUCAAUUCAAUCCUAUAUUUGUUGUAUGGAUUUCAAUAAAAUUCUAAAAUUUUCAAUUUUACCAAAAUAAUCUCAAACAUUUUCGUGGAAUUUUAGUAUAAUCUUUCUAACCAACUUUUGCCUGAAAAUGCUAAUGUGGCGGGCCAAUUAUCGUUAUCUAUCCUACGUGCCAUGGCCAAAGAGUUUACAUGGACAAAUUUAUUCAAAAGGACUUCAUUUUGAGUAGUAACUUUAGAGAAUUAUUAUUUACUUUCUUUUUUCUUUCUUUCCUUUUCCAUCCUACCGUUCAUGUUCUUCUUUGGGUGCUAAUCCAAUGCCCCCAUCCCAUGGCUACAGCAUUUACAAGAGCCAGUGGAGUUUUUCUGUUCUUCAUCUUCGUUUUCAGUAAAGAUAGAUGAUUGAUUUGUCAAUACUACUAGUAAUAAACAGUCAUUGAUGUUGUAAUGGCUGGCUUUUGACUUAGUCAAUAUUGACUAAUAAAGAAAAAAAAAUGGGCUCCCCCAUUAAAGAAAAGGAGUACCCGUUCAAAAGAAGCAAAUACAGGAAAAAAAAAAAAGAGAAAAGGAGAGAAACAAAGGUGAAAAAGUAGGAAGGGAAAGGAAAAGAAAGAAGAGUACAUUCCACGGCGCCUCGUCAAAUCAUAUUAACUUUAUCUCGCAACGCCCAAUUAAUCUAAUUAAAGAAAUUUUCAAAAUAGAGCCAUAAUUUUGGAUCUUUGUGAAUUUUAAGCCGGUAGGUAAAAUCUGUGAUUUGUUAACUUGAGAAAUUAUGGGGCAUUAAUAGUUUAGGGUAUUGUAAAAUUAUAGGAUUUUACAUAACUCGAUUCAAGCUUAUAAUUUACCCGAAAUGAAUUUUCAAAAUUAUGCACGUGAACUGUAACAUUAGCAAAUUUCCUAGUUUACUAAUGAUUAUGGCCCAUCUUUAGCUAUCUUUAGAGUUGGCAAAGCUUAGGGAAUCUAAUUAUCUCGAAAGGUCUUUCGCUUGACAGAAGAUUUGCUAGAAUCAUGGUUCAAGGAAGAGAUUUGUGGUGCAAAAAAAUUAUGACAUGCAAGCUAGGCAUAGCGGAUAAUUUUGAAUAACUACUACAACAAGCCUUUCAUUGUUGUGAAAAGGUCGAUUGGUUGACGGACAAGCGUAGUUUAGAGUCAUUAGUUAAAGUAGUGUUUUGCGUUGUCUUGACAUCAAUUCUCAUUUAAUUGAUAGAAUUACUAAAUUGUUGACUCAAAUAGCUACAUUAUUUGGCUUUGAGCAUUCCUAACUAAGUGGUGCUGAUCUCUUUUAUAGUUUUAUAAAAUCCAUGUCUUAAAAUAAUAGUAAUUUGAUAUUAUAUAUGUGUGUUUGUGUGUGUGUGUAUAAAUAUAUGUAUGUAUUGAACUAAGAAGAACAUAUUUGUUGCAUAAAACUAGAUCAAGUGUUAAUUAUUUUUUAUAAGAUGGUCUGAUAAACUUUUCUUAAAAGGUCAUGUGUAUUAUUUCGUAAAUAUACUUAUAAGAUAAAUUUUGAAAAGAUUAGAGAAAUACUUUACAAAAAGGGAUUUUGAUUGAUGAAUUGAGUUGUGAAAGAUUAUAUAUUUUGGUUUAUGAUAUAGAGGUUGGAUAGGUUUCAUGGAUUUUGGAGGUUUAUAUUAUGAAUUUGUGUUGAUGCUCACCAUCUCUGGAGGCCCACCUCAGGGGUUUGUAAGUAUGUAUACUAGUUUUAGGAUAUCUUUGUGAGUUGGCUACUAGCAAUAUAAGUAGAGACCUAUCCAAGGAGAGAAUCUUAGUCGCCUUUAUCACAAGGCAUUGAGCGUGAUGGACCAUUGACGUAUGAUUUGAUGAGAUUGAUUAGUGGACUGAACCAUCAAUACUUAUUUUGAUAUUAUUGAUGAAAUUGGUAUUCUCUGUUACGAAUAUAGUUAUGUUGAAGUAAUAUAGUUCAUUUUCAUCUUGUAAAUUUGUUAUAUGUUGGAUUUAGUGUAAAUGAGUUACCUUUUUGUGUCCUAAACAUUCAUAGUGGAUGCCUGAUUUGUUUAGAAGAGAUUUGUCCUACUCAUUGGCCUAUAGUUUCUUAUUCCAUUUAUCUUACUUCUAUUUUUAGGUUCUUUAGGUAGCCGUAAAUAGGACAAGAGUGUUUACAUUUCAGGAGGAUAUUAUGAUGGUGGGAUUUUUUUUAUAUGAGUUGUUUAUGUCUGCAUUGAACUCAUGAGUUUAUUUGUUAGUUGGAGAUAUAUAUGCUUUUUUACGGAUUAUGGAAACUCUAAUCUUGUAACAAAAUGACACUUUAUCAAAUAUAUGGAUGUAUAUAUUCCAAUAUCAAGUUGAGUUAUAGUUACACUUGAAGCUUCAUUAAUUGGAUGAAAUGAUGGCCGUGAGUUAUAGUUACAUUUGAAGCUACAUUAUUUGGAUGAAAUGACGGCCGUGUCAUCCCCUAUACCUGUUGGAGUUGGGUGUGUGACAAAUGUUAUAAGUUGAGAUUGGUAUUUUAGAUCUUAAUUGUGUGAAGUAUGGAAUUUUCCUUUCAAUGUGCCUCUGCCACUGCUUCAAUUUUCACAUGAGGCUCCCCUUUAUCUCUGCGCCACAACCACAGCUUGAAUUGUUACAAAGAGCAACUCCCUCAAUAUGCCAAAUUGUGGCAAAAUCGGGUGGGAAUUCGUUCGAUUAUGAUGAAUCUUCACCAUUUGCUUUGGUUUUUGCGCCUCCAUGCAGAUUGGCACCGGCCGCAGCAAAAUGGGCUUGGCCGGGAUCACUGGGAAUUUAUGAGAGUGGUUCGCUUGUGGCCAGCUUCGGCACUAUUCACCGGAAAUUUCAGCAUUAUUGGGUUGAUUAUUGAGACGCGCUUGUUAGCACUGCCAUUAGAUCUACCGAACUAGAAUGCUUUUUCGUAAUCCAUGGAGGAGCACCGGCAGGCACGCCACUAGCUCCGCUUUAACUCUAGAAAAAUCAGCUUUCUUACGAUGAUUUACCAUGUUUCCCAAAGAGAUUCGGGAUUAACAGUAGUACUUCAGCUUGACUUUAGAAAAAAUAGCUUUCUUGCAACGAUUUACCAUGUUUCCUGAGAGGUUCAGGAUGAGCAAAAGUGCGAAAGAAGAAAGAAAAGAACACAUCAGAAAAUUCACAAAAAUAUUUAAAAUCUCGUUAUUUCAAUUCAAUUUGUCCAAGUCAUAUGACUAAUCGUGUUACUAAAGAUGAUUAGAGAUGACUGGAUUGGUAUGUCAACAUUUUCGGGUAAAAUUAGCCGAAAAGAAUAUGUUGGAGUAUAUAUAAAAAAAAAAUUAAACUGAAAAAGUCUAAGAUUAUAUCAGAAUUCGUUAAUUUAGGACUAAAUUGGUAAUUUUCCCCCUCUGAUCUAAUCUUUCCUUCCCUCGCUUUUUCCUUGCUCUUUCCUAAAUCCCAAUGAUUAAAACAGGUUCAUCUUCGAGAGUCUACUAUCCGUGUGAACUUCUUUUAAUGGAUUCAAUUGCGAUCCUCUCAGACAUUAAAGGGUAAGAUGAAGAACUGAAACCACCACUUCUCUUAUUAUUCAUCUUCAUCUCCGUCUUGCUCGAAGCACUCAUAGUCUCAGUCUAGGUUGCACCGACACGUGACAUGGACACUCGACACGACACGAUACGAAACGUCGACACAUUAUUUCUUAAAAAUAGAAAAUUUCGACACGUUCGGACACAUUGUAUAUUAAAUGAAUAUUUUUAUUUUUAAUUAAUUUGAUUCAAAUUUAUAAAUAAAUAAAUAAUUAAAAAAAGAACCUACAAUGAAUUUACACUAAUCAUUCAACAUACAUUACUUUUAUUUUUCGAAAUUACUUUUUAGUUUCAUUUAAUAAUUUUUCCGAUUAAAUAAAAAGCCCCCUUGGGAUCCCCCGUACUUUUAUUUUUCGAAAUUACUUUUUAAUUUUAUUUAACAAUUUUUCCGAUUAAAUAAAAAGUCUCCCUGGGUCCCCCCCAACAGGCUAUCCUUCCCCCCUCCCUCCAACAAGCCAAGUCCCUUUUUUAUUCUUUGCUCUCGGUUCUCAUCACAAUCGUUCGCCACUUCACCUCCAACCCUUCCUCCCUCGCAGCUGCAACCUUGUCGCCGAUCCAUCACAGCAUCACAGAGUGGCGGCUCUCGCCUUAGUCUCUGCUCUUUCUCUGGCUGUCUCUUGCCGUCGCGGGAUCGCUAUCGCUCGCGGCCUCGUCUCUGCUCCCUUUCCCUCGCCUCCACCCUCCAUUGUCUUUUGGACAUGCGUGUCGAAACGUGUCGACAAAAGUUGACCAUGUGUCGACAAAUCCGACACGUGUCGGACACGACAUAGAAGCACGUGUAACAUGUCUGUGCUACAUAAGUCUUAGUCAUCCGCGACAAUGUUGGUGCAUACUUGCUGGUUAAUAGUAUCGCCGUCAACUGUGACUCCCUCGGCAACUCCUCCGUGUCCAAGCGGACUUGGAUCGAGGACACCGAGGAUGGUUCGACCCACUUUCCAAUCGAUGAAACUCAUUCCUCUAUCGUUGCAAGUGCAAACCGUUAAUCUCCCUCCGUCCACAACCGCAUCCCACACGACGCUGCUCGUCUCUCCUGCUCCGAAUUCGUCUACACCUUCCGCGUCACCAUGGGGCCCAAAUUCGUUCUUCUCCACUUCUUCCCUUCGGAUUACCUCAACUUUGGUCAUGCCAAUUCAUUCUUCUCGGUCAAGGCUGAUGGCUACACUCAGCUCCGCAACUUCAGCGCUUUCCUCUUUUCCGAUCACACCGGCUUCGCGAUCUUCCGCAAAGAGUCCGACUUAACCUCGUAGCUGACCAGAUAUUGAACGUCACGUUUGCUCCCACUCCUGGUAACCCAGACGUGUAUGCUUUUGUGAAUGGAAUUGAAGUUAUUUCCAAAUUGCUACGAUUUUGCGAUGUCACUAAGUGCAAAACGUCUUAAAUUUACCAACUUUUAUGACCGUUUGUCAUGGAAAAGAAGAAAUUGUCAUAAGUUGAGAUUUUCUUUACAGAGAGUAAUGACGUCAUGACAAGAGCAAAACGUCCAAAAUUAGGAUUUUUUUUCAAAUACAAUUAUUUACAAAGGGUUAUGUUUGUUUUCCCCAAAUAAGGAUAAAAUGUCGUAAUCUUGUAUUUUUUUAUUCAGCUACAUCGCUCUGCGAAAGUAACCAUGAACAAAAUGUUGCAAAUUUUAAACUUAUUAAUUACAAUUAUUUUGUAAAAUUUCAACGUUCCAUUGUAACCAAAAACUUAACAUUGUGAAUUUAAAUCCUUUCAAACUAUGAUGGCUUAUAAAGGUUUGCAACAAUCAUUGUAACUAACAAUAUAACCUCAUAAAACUUUAUUAAAUUUGAUUUUUACUGUGUCAUGAUGUCAAUAUUCUACGGGUCUGGCACCCAUUUGCUAGUGCUUAACGCAUCGUAAAUUUCAUUUUAGUACGUCGGACGUGCAUUUUUUAGUAUCAGAUAUCUAACUUUCGACAGUUGGGAUCCUUCCAUCUUAAUUUAAUGACUGACAUUUAUAGGGUACGGUAUAAGAUUAAAAUCUAAGAAGUCUCUAACUAAGCAUCGAUGGAUUUAUCCAGUACACGAUGCAUCAAUAAAGAGUUUGGUUAUAUUUCUGUUACAUAAAUAAUUUUCCUCCGUGAAAGGACAAAAGUUGAAAAAGGAAGGACGCCAUAUGCAAAACACGGUUUGGUGGUGGUCUCUUGAGCAUGGGACGCGUGGGACGCGGCAGUCGUACGCCGACCUGACCUGACCUUCCUAAGGCAAUUGAACUUUCCCGGAAAGCGCACCGGAAGGGCACAAAUCCCGUCCGCUGAUUUUCUUGUGAUAGGCGAGGGCUCUAUUCCCAUGCAGAUAUCUUAGCGACGACUUUGGUCUUUCACUAAUCUCUUCCGCUCUUCUUCCUAAUUCCCCAUAGUCAAAACUGGUUCAUCUCCGAGACCCCGCUCUCCUUGUGCUUUUCAUCGAUUCGUCUGUGACCCCCUGUCGUCGAGCAGCGAGAUGACGAACAUGAAACCACCACUUCUAUUAUUCAUCUUCAUCUCCGUCUGGCUCGAAGCACUCCCGGUCUCAGUCACUGGCGACAACGUUGGUGCUUACCAUCCGACCCAUGAUAUCACCGUUGACUGUGGCUCCAACACCAGCUCCCUUGUGCGUGGACGGAAUUGGAUUGGAGACGCCGCUGACCGUUCGGCCUACUCUCCAAUUGAGAAAACUCACUCCUCUAUCACUGCAAAGGCAAGCAGUUCAUCUCCCGGCGUCCCUGGCACCGCCCCAUACCUCACGGCUCGCCUCUCCCGCUCCGAGUUCGCCUACACGUUCCGUGUCACCGCAGGGCCCAAAUUCGUUCGCCUGCACUUCGUCCCUUCUGAUUACCCCAACUUCCGUCGUGCUGAUUCCUUCUUCUCAGUCGAGGCCGCUGGCUACACCCUGCUCCGCAACUUCAGCGCUUCCCUCUUUGCUGAUUACACCCGCUCCGCGAGCUUCUUCUCUAAAGAGUUCUGCUUAAGUGUCGGAGAGGACCAGAUAUUGAACAUAACGUUCACUCCCACUCCUGGUAAUUCAGACGCGUAUGCUUUCGUGAAUGGAAUCGAAGUCGUUUCCAUGCCCGAAAGUCUCUACUACAACACCGUCGUCGACUCAACCGAGGGAAUCAAGUUGGCAGGUCAGCUGGGGCUAUACACCUUGGAUACCACUUCAGUUCUCGAAGCGGUGAAGCGCUUGAACGUGGGAGGACAGUUUGUCGAUCCAGUUCAUGACACGGGAAUGUACAGGACCUGGGAAGCAGAUGACGAGUACGUGACUUCCUCGUACAUCGGAGGUUUGCCAGUUAACACAACUAUCCAACUCAAUUACGGUAAGCAAGUUUCAGAUUACACAGCUCCAGAUCCCGUAUACACUACUGCAAGGACCAUGGGAACGGACAAAAGAAUCAAUCUGAGCUACAACCUCACGUGGUCCGUCGAGGUGGAGACGAACUUCUAUUACUUGGUCCGGUUACACUUUUGCGAAUGCCAGAAAGAGAUAAAGGAGCACUUAGACAGGGCUUUCAAGAUUUUUCUAGAUUCACAAUUGGUCGAGGGCCAUGCGGAUGUCAUUAGUUGGAGCGGGAAGGGCGUGCCCGUCUAUAGAGAUUUUGCAGUAGCCCUCCUGGAUCACAGCCAAAAGAAAAGAACCAACCUCUCCGUCGCGUUGGGCGCACUUCCAGAUGGUUGUACUCUUUACUCUGAUGCCAUCUUGAAUGGCCUCGAGAUUUUCAAGAUCAGCGAUCCAGACGGGAAUCUCGUAGGGCUGAACCCGGAUCCAAUUCCACGGGCAAGCAAAGCAUCGUCGAGCCUCAGCAAAGCAGCAAAAAUUGCCAUCGUUGCUGGUGGAACUUCGGGCUUCACCGUGCUCUCUCUCCUGGCUUUCUUUCUUUACCGGCGAAAAAACAGAGAGAAGGAUUCGACCUCAAGCGACGGCACCUCAUGGUGGGGCCCGGUCUCCCGCUCGGCGACCAAGUCAAUGAAGACCCAGGGGUCGUCCCUGCCGUUGGAUCUGUGCCGCUACUUCUCGCUGGCGGAGAUCAGAGCGACCACGAACAACUUCGACAAGGUGUUUAUUAUCGGCGUGGGCGGGUUCGGCAACGUGUACAAGGGCUACGUCGAUGGCGGGGCCACUCCAGUGGCGAUCAAGCGGCUGAACCAGGGAUCGCAGCAGGGCCUCCAUGAGUUCAGGACCGAGAUCGAGAUGCUCUCGCAGCUCCGGCACCUCCACCUGGUCUCCCUGAUUGGGUUCUGCGAGGACGCGGGAGAGAUGAUCCUCGUGUACGACUACAUGGCACGCGGGACCCUCAGCGACCAUCUCUACAACACCGAUAAUCCCCCACUCCCCUGGAAGCAGCGGCUCGAGAUCUGCAUAGGCGCCGCGUGGGGGCUCCACUACCUCCACAGCGGUGCCAAGCACACCAUCAUACAUCGUGACGUGAAGACGACCAACAUCCUGCUCAACGAGAAGUGGGUUGCCAAGGUGUCCGACUUUGGGCUCUCGAAGGUCGGACCCACGAGCGAGUCUAAGACGCACGUCAGCACGGCCGUGAAGGGCACCUUCGGGUACCUGGACCCGGAGUACUACAGGCACCAGCGGCUGACUGACAAGUCCGACGUCUAUUCCUUUGGCGUGGUGCUGUUCGAGGUGCUGUGCGCAAGGCCUGCCGUGAACCGGAUGGCCCCAAUGGAGCAGAUCAGCCUGGCUGAGUGGGCGCAGAGUUGCUGCAAGAGCGGGGCCGUCGAGGAGAUCGUGGACCCGCACCUGAAGGGGUCUAUCACCCCCGAGUGCCUCAACAAGUUCUGCGAGAUCGCCAUGAGCUGCUUGCAGGACAAGGGGGCCAAACGGUCAUCCAUGAACGACGUUGUGUGGGGCCUCAAUUUCGCACUGCAGCUACAGGUGAGCACAGAGCUGGAAGCGACGGAUCAUGUGGGUGUGUCAGUGCAUGAUAGCGAUGACAGCGACCAUGACGCAGCUUCGAUCAGAGGCAGCGGCAGCGAUGAGGAGAUCAACACUAGUGAUAGCGAUAGUGGUCGUUGGAAGAGCAGUAGGGAAACUGCGACGUCGACCAGAGCUGGAAGCAAUGAUGUUUGUGAUGAGACUAUGACUAGUUAUGACUAAGAGAAGUUGCCUUGAGAAAAUAUUAGGUGCUCAAGUGUGACGCUCAAAAUUACGUGUUUCUUAUUUUAUUACUCUCUUUUAACAUACGAAAGCGUAAUUAAACAUUUACUAUUAUUCUUUUAACAAUUAAAGGCCUUACAAGUAUAAUCAACAUAUUGAUGCAUCUUUUAUUUAUACCACAUUUGAGUUCAUAAUCUUAUUAUAUUACGAGCAAAAAACAAAAAUCUGGAUAGAGGUGGGGAGACCUAUCUUCGUACUAUACUAUACUUCCAAAAGUCUGCCUAUAUAAAUGUAGUCACGAGUCGAUAACUUCUCCGUUUGUUGUGUCUUCAUCAUCAAGUCACGCCCCAAACCCCGAGCGCGUGCCCAUCCCUAUUUGGUCGAUAAGAAUUUACGACUUCCCAGGACAAGUUGCCGACCCUUUCCAUUUUAUUGCACAUGCGGAAGUGAAAAGAAAUUCCCUGACAAUAAUCAUCUCGGGAUAGAAAAUCACGAUAAUAGAUUCACAAACAAACAAGCUUUUAUAUAUACAUUGAGUCAUGUACAAAGGUCUAUGGCCAAAAGACUACAAAAGACUGGCCUUCCAAAAAGAAGUGGUCCCAACUGACCUACGCUUCCAAUCACCUUCUCUCAACUCUAGCUCUUCCACUCGAUGACCCUGAAAAUGUUGUCCCACAACGGGGUGAGAUAUCAUCUCAACGAGUCUAAGCGCUAAACUCCAAUUAGGAAGGAAAUAUGCCCAUAAGUGUCCUAAUCACACAAUCACACAAUCAAUGAGACUUACCUCAUCUUAGAUCCACCCUGCAGGUCAGUACAAUUUAUAUCACAGACAACAUGAGAGCAUGAGCAACAAUAAGCUUCAAUAACUGAAAUGCCACACUCAAUUAAUCAUGCGUUCCUAGUUUAGAUCUCGGCAUAUAGCACGGCCUACUCUCAGUUCGGCGGUCUUCUGGCAUUGCUAGGCUUCGUCUCACCCCAUUGGGCACGGCACGUCUCUUUAUCAAACGGCUUUCCAAAGGAGCAUAGGGUACAGAAUCAACUGCGACCGGCUUCCCGUUGUCCAUGGGGUAUCCCAAAUAAGGAUAACGUCCAGCUCAAUAGCUCGGGACGAUUUCUCUUAACCAACACACAAUCACUCAAAUAUGGCCUAGGGCACCGUGCAUUGCACUCAAAUGCUUCAAUUAAAAUGGUAAGCCUGGCCUUUUUUUUUUUUUUCAUAUUAGAAAUUCACACGGAAUUACUCAUGUGUGGGUACACGGUCAAUUUGACCUCGAAAAAUUGAUAUUCUUCCUUUUUGAAAUUUCACUAUUUCAAAUAGUACAAAAAACUAUUUUCGGUGCCAAAACCUAACACCCGAGAUUUUCUAAAUAAAUAUUAGAAAUUCACAAUUCCAACAAUCUAAUCAGCACUCAAUUUGCAUAAUUUAACACUCAAUUGCAGAAAUUAACCACACCAUUGCAAUUAGCAUGAAAUUCCGGUCACCAGUUAUCUUGACCUAAUUUCCGGAAAAAUAAUUAAUAAUUAAAUAAUUACUGAAAUUAAUUAAAUAAAUCAAUUUAAAUUCUAAAAAUACUAACCUAGGCCAAAAUCAUUAAAUUAAUAACCAAUACGGACUCGGAGAAAUUCCCGAACCCUUCUAGGUAAAUAGUACAAUCUAUUUAGGCCUUAGCUAAACUAUGCUAACCACCUAACAUGCUCAAUUACAUAAUUACAUUUCUAAUUUAAUAUGACUAACCACCUAAUUCCUAAUAAAAUAAAUCUAAACACCCCUUAAACGUCAUUAACCUACUAAGCAGAGUUUAGAGUAUAAACUCACUGGUGUAUCGCGAAAACCGGUUCACUGCAACAAUGACGCAAUGGCGGACGAAAUCUUAAUUUUCAACGGUGUCGGCGAACUUGGACCGGGCCUAAAACAAGCCCAACACAACUCAGCAAGGCUGAGUUUCGAUCUUGGGCUUCUGCAGGGCUGCUGGUUGCGGGCUUGGGCCUUCUUCGCGGGCCCAAAAUGGACUGAACUUCAAAUGGGCUAAAACCAACUGAAUUUGGGCUUGAGCUUGGGCUUCAAAAUUUGCUGGAGAUGGGCUUAAAAUCACUAGGCUGAAGAAUUCGAUGGAUCCAUGGGAUUCAAAGGCUGGACUGAAAUGUCUCUGCAGAUGGGCUGAAUUGAGCGGGCUUCUAAAAACUUGCGUGGGCUAAAUCCAAGGAGCAACAAAGAAAGAGAAGCAGCAGCUUUGACGGGCUGGGCUUCUUCGGCUGAGUGGCCGAGUGGAUUGCUGGGCUGAGACGCACGCGCAAGAGGAGAAACGGACGAAGCAGCUGCUGGCGGUUGACUGGGAAGGUCGCUCGUGGAUUGAAAAUUGUUGGGCCGAAUCUCAGCCAAAUGAUGGACAAAUUUGCGGGCGAAGGAGAGGAGCUUGGUGGUGGACGCCUGGCAGCUGUUGUUGGAUGAAGACAUGGUGUGAAAGGCACGAGCUUCUUCGGUCGAGAGCUAGACGAACGGAUUGCUCGCUUCGUAGGCAAGCUGGUGGAGGCGGCGUGCGGAUCGUGGGUGGACGACAAAGCAACGCCAAAGAAGGGAAAUGAUGGGGUCAACAAAAAGGAAUCUUGAGGGAUGAGGGUUGACCGAACAAGCAGCACAUGGUGGACCUGUGUGGCAGCUUAAGGGUGGGGGAAAUUGGAGAUGGGAUGAACGAAGUAAAGGAGAAGAAAAAUGAGUAGCUGAUGGCCUGUGUUGAUCCGUGAGGGAGCGAGAGAGAGAGAGAGAGAGAAAAGAAGUGGCGUGCGGUCUUCAGCUGGGACAAGAGACACACGAAGAUGGAGGUGGAGGCGGUGGUCUUGGCGUGCGGGAGAAGCAGCCGGUGGAGGGUCCCAAAGUAAAGCAACUCAAUCCAUUACAUUAAGGCCCUGUUUGGUAACCAUCCAAACAUGGCCAAAUUCUGAUUCUUUGUUCCCGGAAUCAGUUUCGGCCUAGAAUCGCGUUUGGUAAAAUUUUUGUUCCCGGGAACAGAUUGGGAAUAGAAUCAAGAACAAAAAAAAAGUUGAUUCUUGUUCCGGGAACGAAUUUGAGAAUCAAAAUCAAGAAAUUUUUUUCUUCCCUUCGGCCAUCUCGCGACUGCCGUCCACCACCGCCCGCCACUGUCUGCCGUCCACCGCCACUGCCGCCGGCCACCGGAGGCAAGCCUAGCCACUGGCGAGGCUCAGCCUCCCCAGAUCUGGCGAGGCCGAGCCUCGCCGGUGGCCAGGCGGGCCUCGCCGGGGCUGGGCAGGGGCUGGGCAUGCCUCGUGACGCCUAGCCCCAUCGGUGACCAGGCGAGGCUCGCCCAACCCCGCCGGUGGCCUGGUAGGCCUCGCCCAACCCCGACGAGGCUAGCCUGGCUGGCCUGGCCACCGGCGGGGCUAGGCGAGCCUCGCCCAGCUGCCGAUAAGGCUCGGCCGCUGAGGGCCGGUGACACUCCGGUGAGGUUGCCCGGCGACCAGCUAGAAGAAGAAGAAGAUGAUGAGAAAAAGAAAAGAAAAAAGAAAAAAAAAGGAAAAAAAGGAAAAAGAAAAGAAAAAAAAUGAAAAAAUGAAAAAAAAACAAAAGAAAAAAAGGAAAACAAGUAAAAAAUUAUUUAAAAAUUAAAAGAAAUUGAUUUGGAACAGAAUUAAUGAACACGAUACUAAACGCAAUUCUAUUCUAGAAUUAGAAAUUUUGGACAGUUACCAAACGGCUUAAAAUGCUUAUAAUCAGUUCCCAGGAACAGAAUAAAAAAGAAUCAGUUCUAAUCAGAAUCUACUCCCGAGAACAGAAUUGUUACCAAACGCGCCGUAAUUGCAUGUCCCCUAUUUCUUUCCACUUGAUAAUUUCAUGAAUUAACAAAUUGUAAAGCCAAAAUUGCUGCCCCUUUGUAAAGUUCCGAAUUUCACUUAAAUUUUCUUGAAUUUCUUCAUCGAUUCUCCAAAUCGAGGUCUAAUUUCAUCGAAGAAAAAGCCCGUACAAAUUUAUGCAAGUCCUCAACACUCAAAGGCUCGGCUUGGAAGUUCCAAUUUCCAUCAAAUGAGUCCAUCCGAAUUUCCGUUAAUUUUCCGCGACGUCUGAAUCAAAUUUCCGUAAAAAUCUCAGAAUCUUUGAAAAUUUCUCGGUGGGUGAGUCGAUGUUCCUCAAAUAGCUCGUAACACCACAGAACUUUCAAUUUUUAAAAUCGGGUUCAAAUUCACGGUUAUUUUCAAUCCAGCGCGCUUUUAGCGUGACCUAGUCUAUCGGGUAGGUUUUAGGAAUUUUUAGUGCAAUUGACCCGUGAUCGAUUUACCUCAAGUCACAAUGUACAUCUUCGACACAUUGAUGAAUCUCGAUUAUCGUGAAAAUCUCAAGGUUUCAAAUACGGACAUAGGGUACUCAAAACGAUAGAAAAUCAAUUUAGUGCCGAUCGAUAAGAAUUUUGCAAUCAGGUGGAAUCACCCACAUUUUGAUCACUUAUCUCAGUCGAAUCAACUUAUCUCUGAUCUCUGAUUGAUUUUUAAGUGUGUUGUAAUGACUCUUGCAAAUUAACAUGGUCAAGCAAUCGAUUCCUGGUCGAAUUCUCAAGUCUUUUGCGUUAAAAUCCCUUAAUAAUUUUCCCAGAUAGCCUAGUUAUCUCUUGAGUAAUCGGCUCAGAGAAUAGCACUAUAGACGCGUCGAUGAAAGACUCGAUUUAUUCAAUUGAAAUUAGAUUUGAAAAAUCAGGAUGUCACAUCCUGGUACUAGGAAAUGAACUGAAAAUGAACUCACUCUAGGAAACCUCUUACAUCCACCCACAUAAUAGAACUACACUUGAUAUAUAUUAUUCCAUAUUCUGAUUCAAACAUAUUUCAUAAAGACCUUCAUAAUUCAUAGAGACUUUAUAGCAUAAAGGUUGAAAUGUGUUCAUUCUACAUGUUUGAAAAAUAAAAGGAAUGAGCCAAAACAUAGUAAAUGAAAUUUCUAGUUUUAAGUCAAAAGAAUUCUCUUACCACUUCAUCUGAUGUAUACAAAGUGAAUGCAUCAUCAUCGGAUAAGUGUGAUAAAAAUAUAAGUAAACUUUACCUUUUCCAUUUUCAUUUACCAAAUAAAUUGUUAACCAAUAAUACAUCCAUUCAGACUUAGGGUUUCUCUUUUUUUUUUUUUUUGGUAUGGCCUCUCUCGCACGUCACUCUCUUUUACUUUUUCCUUUGUGUUCUUUUUUUUACCCAAAAGAAAGAACCCCCCAUUCUUUUUGCACGCAACAUCUUUUAUGAGCCCAAAAAUUGUAUCUUCGCGAUAUAUAUAUUUUUUCCUUUUUAUUUGUGCACGAUCCCCCUAGAUAUAUCAUUGAAAUAUACACAUUUCGCGCAAUAUUCUCUUUUUGUAUUUUUUCAAAUAUUUCAUUCGAAAAUUUCCUUUUCGCCUAAAAUAUAUCCCCCAAUAUAUAUUACCUGAAAAUAUGAAAAAUCUGAACGGAAUAUGUGAAAAAUCUUUCCCUUACCAGUGAUCUAAAAAAAAAAGAAACAAAAAAAAUAACAUAAUAUUCCUAAACCAUAUGCCAUGUGAUUUUUAUUUUAUUUUUUAUUUUGGUAACAAAUUAACCCAAAAAUUAUGCAAAAAUUUAUGUGUCAACAACACUCUUUGAGACAUCCCAACUGGACAUCCCGCAAACUACCAUCAUGGGGCAUCGUCACGCACCACUAUAUGAGUGACAUAAUCACAUUAAUAUUAUUUAAAGCCAUAUAUACACACACACACACACACACACACACACACACACACACACACACACACAUAUAUACUUACAAGCAUAUCACACAUAUCUCAACUCAAUUUAAUACAUUAAAAAAAUAAUCGUAUAUGAAAUAACAUAUAGUCAUACUCUGGUCAUUAAAGUUUGGAGAUCCAAAUGAGUACAUUUUGAAUUUGGACAUUAGUGGGAUCCGAACGAAUAAAUAUAUUUUGGACAUAAAAUUUGAACAUGUAAAUGGGUACAUUUUAAGUUAGAAUAACAAGUAUAUUCUAGUCAUAAAGUCUGAAUAAUCAAAAAGGUAAAUUCUGGCUUAAUAGAAGCUUCUAGAAUAAAAGAACAAAUUCAAUAAUGAACGGAUUUACAAGUGAAUAGAAUCAACAAAUAAAUAGAUUCAACAAAGAAUAGAUUUAUAUUUAGUAAAGUUUGUUUGAAUCAAUGGAUAGAUUUAUUAACAAACAAAUUCACAUGUUGGUAGAUUCAGCAAGAAAUAGAUUCAUACUCAGUAAAGUCUAUCUAAACCAAUAAACAAAUUUAUCAACGAACAUAUUCACAAGUUGGCAAAUUUCACAAGGAAUAGAUUCAUACUCAUUUAAAGUUUGUUUGAACUAAUAAACAUAUUUAUGAAUGAACAUAUUCAUCAGUUGGCAGAUUCAACAAGUGAACAUAUUCACAAAUGAACAGAUUUAACCAAAUGAAUAGAUUCACAAAAGGCAGAUUUACAAAUGGAUAGAAUAGGAACUUCUAGUAGAAACAAGUAGGAUGAAUAGAUUCUUACUAGUAAAAUUCUAGCAGAACAAAAUAGAGCUGUCACAACCUAAAUUUCGGGUGGGUUUGGCUAAUGGACUACUAAGUAUAACUUAGUUUGGGCUCUUCCAAACCCAUACUAAUUCGCGACUUAGGUUCAAAUUCUUAAUAUGCAAAUGAUAUUUCAGUUAAGAGUCGCCACUAAUCUAUUUUUGGUGGGCCGAUUAGAAACCUAAGCAAAGUAACGGGAUAUUUACUUUACUCCUACGAAUAAGAGAUUUAUGAGUUCGGGGAUUCGUUAUGCUAGCUUUCUCUAACGCCCUUUCGGUACAUUUCUCUUUUAUUUCGAAAAAUGCUUGGCAAGCAAUUUCCCUAACAUGUGAGGCGGUCAUGCGGGUGCGUAAACCACCGAUUUAACAUCCAAGAAAGCAAUGAAUAAAUUGCAGGACUUACCUCAUAGCAACGAAAGCUUCUGCGUUGUUAGAUCAGAAUUCACAUCAACAACCCUAGAUUUUCUAGUUAACACGCAAAUUCUUCUUUUUUUUUACUUAAUUAAUGAGAAUCAUGCUUUAUGCAAUGCAUGCCACUAAUUUAACAUGAAAUGAUAUGACAUGGCAACAUGAUUUAGCUAUAUGACCUAAGCGAUAUGACAUAAAUAAGCAUGUAAUCUAUCCUGAAGCAUGAGAUGGAUUUAUUCUAAAAAGUAAUUUUUUGUAUUUUCCAUGAGAUUCGAAAUUAAAGAAAUGCAACACUUAAAUAUGCAAUCUAAAUUAAUCUAAUGACCUAAUUCUAAUGACAAGCAAUUUCUAAUUAAAUGAACCUAACAAAAAUCACUAAAUGACGUGAAUUGUAUGAACCUAAUUCUAUAUGACGUGCACAUGAUUUUUAUUUUCCUAAUAAGCAUGCAAUCUAUCAUAAUAUGCAAUGACGUGCAAAGAAUGCUCUAGUUCUAUUUUUUUUUUAUGAAAUUCGAAAUUAAAAUUGCCAAAUAAUUAAACGUGUAAUUCAAAUUUAAAACUAACAUCCUAAAUGAAUGCAUUUUUUUGGAUUUUUAUUUUUAAAAAUUUGGAAUAAAAUCUCUAUUCUAAAUAUGCAAAAUAACCCUAAAACAAGAAAUAUUUUCAAAUGCAUCUAACCUAACUCAAAUAUAUUUUUGGGUUUUUCCUUUAUGGAAGCAAUCAAAUAAAGGCAUCAAAAACAGCAUGGCAACAAAUCAAGCAAGAUAUCAUCCAUGUCCAUUUAAUUUUGGGAAAUAAAUUGACGAAUCGUAUCUUACACAUGAGAUCGGAUUAGCCAAUUUUUAAAUAAAUCGCGAAUCGAAUCUCGAGCGUGAGAUCGGAUUGGCGAUUUUCUAUGCAAUUGCGAGUCGUAUUUCGAGCGUGAAAUCGGACUGUCAAUCAUAUGCACGUUGUGAAAUUGGGAAAAUUUCACAACUUAGAAGGCUACUCGAGUUGCGAUUAUCACGGCAUAUCAGGGAUUUCAAUCAUGUGCAUCAUUCGAAGAUUUGAAUUUAAUCACAAUAUCAUUGAAUUAAGUAAGGAAAUUACCAAAUUAAAUUUGGGUAAUAUCUUUACCUAUUUUGUAAUAUCGUUCCCGAAGUUGGACUUGUCGGAUGAUGGGGCUCGCAGUGAAUUCUACAAAAGAAAAGUCAAGCGCGAUGAUGGUAGAUUCACGGUGAUAUCCGGCUGAGGAGGGACUACUUCGCGGUGGUUGCGGCAGCUUGCUAAAUUGGACUGAAAUCAUCGCAACGAACUACUCAACAAAUCUGGGAAAAUCAAUGGAGCGGGCUGGACUUGCGCCAGGUGAUGUCUGCGAUUAAUGGAGAUCGUGACUGUGUGUGGCAGUGCAUUAAACAUAUAAUAACCACGUCAGGAAAGUGAAGCCAUGAGAAAACCAGAAAACUCUUCUUCUCUUAUUUUUAGGUGCUCACAUGGGCAUGAUAUGUGUCCCUUGUACGUGACUAUAGAGAAAGAAAAGUGGAAUUUUUAUUGAGAAUUGAAAACUCCCUUGAUAGCUUGAUGAUCCCCUCGGUUUACGCCUGAAGUUGGUCUCAGUGCGGCAGCAGCUUUGUCGAUGAGGAAUCCGCAGUGAUGGUGUCACGUAUGGACCGACGGUGGGACUCUCAGUACAGGCUGCUUGGUGAAGCCUGCCGGUUCAAUAAUUCUCGGCUAGGGAAGGAGCAACUCACUGGGUGGACUUCUCGAUGGAGGUGGUGACCACGCACAAGCAUGGGCUGACGGUGAGGAGGAUGCUCAGAUGUUCACCGAGAUAGUCUCACAGCGAACCUGCAAAAUAAAGAACGAUUUUGUUGCGGGAAGGCACCAUACUGGUCUCAGCUCGACAACGGUAGCGAUGUCAUGGCUCACGGCACGAUAGAAAAACUUAGUGCUGCUUAUUCGAGAACCUGCAAAACAGAAAGAGAUUCGCUGUAGUGAAAGGGAAGAGCUCAGCCAAGAGGGGGCCGUCGUGGUGCAGGUACAGCGUGGAUGUCUAGCAGCAACAAUUAUGGCUAGUGGAUCUCGGAGGCGGUGAUGGAGCGAUCUCGGAAUUGGGACCCAAAGAGCAGAAAGAACUUCGGUUUCUAUUCUCUAUUGGAUCCUCCAAUCUAUCUAUUCUCUCAACGUGUGGCCAUAUGUUCAAUGUGUGUGGCCCUCUUAAAACCCUACGCGAACAACGUUUUUAUAGGCCAAGGAUUAGGGUUUGAAUUUCUUUUUCAAAUCAACUUCCGUGAAGAUUGCUUUCUUAUUCUUGCAACUUUUCUUUCUGCCCACACCAAUGGAUACGUGAAGACUAAACCCCACUUUCCCUUUUUCGUUGAUUUCCUUUGUACGAAGCUGAUCCUCCUCCUUGCAUGAUGGUCAACAGAAUUGUCUAAGGAUUUUGAGAAUAUUGACUCAAUUUCAUGGGUGCUCAAGAUGGUCUCUCCUGUGGCCAAAUCUUUGUCCGCACGCUUUCAUCUUUUUUCUUGGAAGAUAUCAUUUUCUGUCCUUACGCAGAUUGAAUAUUCUCCGACCAAAUAAUUGCCCACAAAUUGGUCGAACAUUAGGCUAAAAAUUCAAGAUUGUUAUAGAAUCCUCUCAAAUUCCGAGUCUUGCAAAGAUGAGAUCGCAAUCCACUGUGAUAUCGUUGAAUAUUGAAAUAAUAAUACAAAUCUUUUCCGAAAUGCACCCAUCUCCCAACUUGUCAAAUUAAAGCUUAUUUGUCACCGGUCCAUGCAAAUGCGAUAAAAUAAAUAAAUAAAAAAACACUUAAAAAUAUAUGCUGUGAUUUAAUAUUUUUGUUUAGGGGUUAAAGUUCGGUCCCUAAUUUUUUAAUGAAUAAACGGGUCGCCAAAACUUAGGUGUCAACAAGAGUGAAUAUGCAAGAGGUUAUCAAGACAAAUACAACAGAACAAACUGCUUUUGACUAUGCAUAACGAAACAAAAUGAAGAAGAAUGAAUGUGUAAUGGGUUAUCGAGAUAAAUAUGGUAGAACGACCAAAUUUUAACUACCCAGAAUGUAGUAGAAAGAAGCAGAACGAACAUGUAAUGACUCGUCAAGAUAAAGAUGGCAGAACGACCAAAUUCUGACUACCUAGAACGAAGUAGGAAGAAGCAAAAUGAAUCAUCAAGAUAAAUAUAACAGAACGACCAGAUUCUGAUUAUCUAAAAUGAAGCAGAAAGAAACAUAAUGAACAUACAAUGGAUUAUCAAGAUAAAUGUAGUAGAACAAUUAGAUUUUGACUACUUAGAAUGAAGUAGAAAGAAACAGAACAAACCUUUGGAAACUGAAUGAUGUACCGUGUAGGGCUAUGUAGCGAUUUUUGGCUAAAUAAUCAUUGAUAAGUUUGCAUGAUUGUGUUAAUAUUCGGUAGAAGGUACAAAUCCUUCACUAUCUUAGAUUCAAUGGCAAUCAAAAAGCUUUAACUUAGUGCAGAGUUUCAGCUUUCAUCUCUUUAUGAAUCCAUCUUGAGGCUAUUUGGAAAUUGAAAACCUUUGCAAAUUGCAGACUUUGGUAUAUGAGGGCAUUAAAUGCCCUCUUACAAGCUACUGAAGACGCUUCUGUAGCUUAUUCUUAGGCAGACUUGCAGUUUUCAAACAGUAAUAUUUAUCGAAGUUGUGUGAAUUUUUUAAAGAAAUUGGACUGUAAUGACGUGGAUGGGAUCUGCAAAAUGAGUCUAAACAUUUGGAGGAUUAAGUACAAAUUUGGUUCUCUAAGUUUAGGCAUUUGUGUGAUUUGAUCUUCUAUUUUUUAUGUUGUGCAAUUAAGUCCUCUUAACUUUUUUGAUUUGUGCAAUCAGAUGUACUGUUUACUUGUUGUAAGUAAUGCUGUCACACUAUGAUUUCCUUUUUACUUGUUUUUCCUGUUUGCUUUCUGCUCAUUUGGAAGCAAAUUAGCAUCACCUUUUAUUUUUGUCGCUUAAACAAUGUCACGUCAUUGAUUAAUUCGUUGGUUUAGUCGAAGUGGUUGACCGAAGGAUUUGAUUACAUAAAUUCAAAAAGUUGAAGGAUUAGAUUGUACAAAAUAAAACUUGAAGGACCCAAUUUGCACAAAUGUGGAAAGUUAGAGGACUUGAUUUAACGAAAUAAAAAUUAGAGGAUCAAAUCGCAUAAAUGCUGGAACUUAAGGACCAUAAUAUGCACUUUACCCAACAUUUUUACUAUGAAUUACCUGUGGCGGUGCCUCGUCCGUGUCAGGCCGAGGCAAAUUAUGUCCGAGUCUGGUUUGUAUUUUCUAUUCUUUUAUUAAAUCUAAUAUCUUCUCAAUAGAGGCAACAAUCAAGACCCUUUUCGCUAAUCGGCCCUGCCCGGGACAGGCCGUGUAGGCCUUGCUGGGACCAUGCCGGUGCGCUGGUCAUUCCUAAUCCGGACAUUUGUUUAGCACGAUACAAGGUGUCAUGCCCUCCCCAAUGUGAUUUACUGCGGUUCUGAAAAAGCUUUUCUGUUCCUGGCAAUGUCACAGCCAAAAUUCCCUUCCAUCUUGUGUAACUGAGAAAACUGGUAAUGAGUAACAUCGUGAACAUGUUCUCUUUGAAAACUCGGGCACACGAUGCACAAAUCCGGCUGUCAAACACAAAAAAAAGGGGGUUUGACCUACAAUUUAGGCACACGAUGCAUAAAUCCGGCAGUGAAAACACAAAAAAAAAAAGGUCUGAACUACAUGGAGCAUGUAAUCUGGUGCCGCAGACAUCAAUGCCAGAACAUGUGACCGAGAAGAGACUUCCUUGUCAAUAGAUGGGACAUGAAAGCCUCCGGUAUGUGCACAUUGGCGGCACGAAUACACCAUUUGAAUGAUUGUUAUGAAAGCCCCCAGCUUCAGAGCUACUUUAUUCUUCCGGUUUUGAGACGGCAUGCUGUAAAGACCCAAAAUGUCGGUUUGCCCUUUCCACUAUGCUUGGCCGAUAUCAUGCAAAAAAUCAACCAAAGAACAGUUUAAUAUAUACGCACCAGGUUGUCAUUCAUUUUCUCGGAAGUUAACGAAGCCUUUGGAGUGUCUUGCUUGGCACCUUUUGUGUGAAAACAGAUUUUAAUAGACUCUGGCUAUGCCAGCCACGCUAAGCGGAGAAAGGUCCGUUUAUGUCAUAAUCUUUAGGACUGGAGAUGGGUUUCACUUAGUUGUAUGAAAACCAUUUGAAAAUUUGUUGAUCUUUGGCUCAUCCAAGGAAUUUUCCGUGCAUCAUCAGGAUUGAGAAAAGAUGGGACGUCCCUUGACUGAACUAUUUGCUCCUUGCAGUUCAGUCUACUAACAAAUGCAACCGGAGGAGGUGAGCGAUCCUUCGACUCAGCAACAGUUUCGGCUCCAGCAGAAUGUACAAACCAGUCCAAUUAAUCUGAUGCAGGCUGUACAAUUCCAGCCCCACGAUUAGUAGACGAUGCCGCUUCACGCGAUGCCGCAAUCUAAUCCACAGCAUCUGGUUGGUCCUGGACAAAUUCCACAAGCGAACCAAAGUUUUGGGGCUCAGUCGACUCUAUACUUAGGGCAACCGAUUCCCGUGAGUUUUCAGGUUCCAACCGGUUUCCAGCCAUUGCAUCCUGUCCCAGGCUUUACUACAGGGCCGAUGAAUGCUCCGGCUCAACCCUUUCAUACUGCUGGUUUAGACUAUCCUCAAGUGCCAUUUCAUCCGCAUAACGUGCCUCCGAUGCCUUAAGGGAUAAUAGUUCAAUUGCCACCAUCUGCUCCACCAUCUCCUUGGACAACGGGGUUGUUUGACUGCAUGGAUGACAUUUUAAUUGGUACAGUGGCCUUUUGCUUUUCCUGGGCAAGUUUAUAAUAAAAUGGACGAGUAACACCUGGAGAAUCUCCAAGUAUUUCUUGCGCGUUUGCAGUGGUUGUGGCCUGUUGCUUCCCCUGCGUAACAUUCGGCCAGAUAGCAGAGAUUGUUGACCGAGGAGUACAUGUUAGUAAGGAUGCUUUUACUAACUUUUAAAUCCUUGAUUCUACUAGUGUAGCAGAUAACGGAGAUCGGAAAAUUCAAUGUGCUUUCAACAUUCUAAGGGAGAGAGCAAUCGGAAUGACAUAUUUUAUGCACUUCAGCAUAUGAGAAGAAAGGGUCUCAUUGAACUAAUGCGGUUGAGAAUGAUGUUUGCUUUGCAGCAUGUGGAACGAGUGGGCUACUGUAUGGUGGGAUCCAGUUUCUCAUCGGUUGCCCGUGCUUGUUGUCCUGCACUUGCCAAACCAAGCUCCGGAACCAAUUCAACCUCAUUGAGUCCCCUGCUCCUGACUGGAUCACUCACUUCUUUUGCGAAUGUUGUGCUCUUUCUGAGGGAUACAGAGAGCCUAAGAACAGAGGACUUGACCCUUCCAUAGGCAAAACUAAUGUCGACUAUAGCCAUUUGAGCUCCAAACGAGCACUUAAUAAGCCAACUUAUUGCAAAUAUGGCACUAAAAUACUGUCGUUAUGGUGCCUCCAAUGCAUCAGCACGCCAUGAGAGCUUGACGAGGAACAUCACAUCGGAUCCAUCAAUGACUCAGAUCAUCCUCUUAUGUAGUCACCAAUGAGUCCAAGAAAGCGAAUGCCAAUGGAACUAUGAAGUUUCAAUUUGCAGAUAUGAAUAACAAAUUUCUUUCUAAAAGUUUCCAUCGAUUUGAGGAACAAAUUGAAAUAAAAUUGUCGAAGAAUAUCUUACAAUAGUCCAACAACUGAUUUGCUUCUGUGCUGUAUCGUUGUUGCAUCUUGAAACAUUACUUUCUUUUCCACCAGUUAGUUUCGGACUCAUAUCUAGGAUCAUGCCACUGUUCACAAUUCUGUGACAUCCAUCAAAUCCAUAACAUCAGCUGUUUUCAGUGGCAUGAUUUUUUUGAGGUGCUCGGUUCACUAGUCGUUUCUUUGGAUUAAGCUUUCCAAACUAUGUGCUUUCUUAAUUCAACCAAUGGAAAUUACACCGAGAAAGAAGGCUCCCAUCUAGAUGUGAGAGGAUGACCACUGUGAGGUGAUCGCAGCCACCACAAGAGAUACGCGAUGUGAGAUGGAUGGCCUCACGUCGACUGCAACACGGUGGUUGCCAUCUCUCUCUUGCACACGCACGCGGCUCUCAGCCUAUUUGGCACCAUAUUAGCUGCAUAAGAGCCACGUGACCCAGUGAAAAUUAAUGUAACACAUGUACGUUGAUUGUCCAGCUACUAUUCCAACGUGCUCCUUAGCACUAUGUAUAGAGCUUUUCAACCGGAAGGCCGACUGCAAACACAUUUUACAAAAAAAAUUGUCACCUUGUCUGGUUUCUCAAGUACUCAUUUUGGAGUUUGGCCCACGUCUAGAGUAGGUCGAGUCGUCAUAGCAUGUCUCCUUUUGAUAGAUCUACGGUUUGCGGAUGGAAUAGGUGUGACAGCCUGAAUUUUCAUAACUUGUUUUCGAUUAAAUAAAUCGGGUCUUUCAUCGAAACGCUAAUAGUGCUAUUCUCUGAGCUGAUCACUCAUGAGAUAACUGGACUAUCUGGGGAAACAAGUAGGGAAUCUAAAUGCAAUUGCACUUGAGAAUUCGACCAAGAAUCGACUGCUCAACCGUGUUGAUCUGCAAGGGUCAUUACGGCACCGUCAGAGAUCGAUUAGAAAUCAAAGAUAGGUCGAUUCGACUGAGAUAUGUGAUCAAAUUGUGGGUGAUUCCACUUGAUUGAAAAAUUCUCAUCGAUCGGCACUAAAUUGAUUUUCUGUCAUUUUGGUACCCGGUGCCCGUAAUUGAAACCUUGAGAUUUUCACGACAACUGAGAGUUGCUAAUGGGUCGAAGAUGUACUUUGUGACUCGAGAUAAAUCGAUCACAGGUCAAUUGUACCAAAAAUUCCUAAAAGUUAUCCGGUAGACUAGAUCACGCUAAAAGCGCGCCGGAUUGAAAAUAACCGCAAAUUUGAACCCGAUUUCAGAAAUUGAAAGUUCUGAGGUGUCACAAGCUAUUUUAGGAACGUCGACUCUCUCUCCGAAGAAUUUUCAGAGAUUCUGAGAUUUUUUGCGGAAAAUUGAUACGGACGUUGCGGAAAAUCAGCGGAAAUUCAGAUGGGCUAAAUCGAUGGAAAUUGAGACUUCUAAGCCAAGCCUGUGAGUGUCAGGAAUUUAUAGAAAAUCGUUCGGGAUUUUUCUUCAUCAAGAUUGGACCUCAAUUUGGGAAAUUGAGUGAAGGAAUUUAUCCUAAAAAUUAGUGAAAUUCGGAUCAAUAAUGGGGAUGGAAUUUUGCACUUAAAUUGAGUUAUUUUGGUGGAUAAUUGAUUGGAAAGUAAUAGGGAACAUCCAAUUAAUGGAAUGGCUAAGGUUUGUCAAAAUUGGGCCCCUCCUUGGCUUCCUUCACACGCCUCUCCACCGCCUCUCUCCCUUCGUGCGAUGAGCGAAGACCGAUUGCAUCUGUCCUUUUCUUUCUUUCGUUUUGUCGAAGCUCCCUUCCCACGCUCUCUGCCAUUCCCACCAUCUCUUGUUCUCCACGUCCGCGAGCCCUGCUUCCUUCUGCCGAGUGUUGGCCAGCAAGUUCUAGCGCCCACAGUCAAUGGAAGACACGAGCAAGCUGCCCGUGUGUUGACUCCAACAAGUGGCCGAAGCUGCUUCAGCGAUCUUUCCCCCUGCAGCCACCACUUGUCCGUGUGCCAUCUUUGUUCGGUCAACUUCAACAAUCCACCGAAGCUGCUCCAUCCACGUCCACACGCCCCUGCAGCUCACCGAAACCCCAAGUUCCGGUUAACGGUGCUUCCUCCUCCAUCGGUUUGUUGACCGUAAACCCCCCACUCAUCCAUUUCAGCAUCACCGCAGCUCUCCACCCAAUCUCUCUCUCGCGUUGUUACUUCUUCGUUCAGUUCACUUCCGCACGUCCUCCACCGGCGAUUUCUUUCAGCUGCCGUGUCCGAAGUUCCUCGCCAAAGAAAACUGAGCAAUCUUCCUCCGAACCGAAGCCUCAUGAAGCAGCUGCUCCUUCAUCAUUGAUCUUCACCGAGUCAGGCCCAACAUCACCGUGGCUCAGCCCAUAUCAACGGCCCAGCAAGUUACCAUUCUUCUGCAACCCAUCUUCAUGUAAAGCCAGCCCAUUUGAAGUCCAUCAGUAGCCCAACAGAACAGUCUAAUUAAUUGGGUCUUCAGCCCAAUUCAGCAAGGCCCAAUUCUAGCAAGUUCAAUUGGUUUUAGCAGCCCAUUUUGGGCCCAAGAAGAAGGCCCAAGCCGCGACCAGCAGCCCGCAGAAGCCCAAGACCUAAACUCAGCCUUGCUGAGUUGUGUUGGGCCCGUUUUAGGCCCGGUCCGAGAGUCCGCCGACGCCGCCGAAAAUUAAGGUUUCGGCCGCCGUCGCGUCGUUGUCGCGGUGAACCGGUUUUCGCGAUACACCGGUGAGUUUAUACUCUAAACUCUGCUUAGUAGGUUAAUGACGUUUAAGGGGUGUUAGAUUUAUUUUAUUAGGAAUUAGGUGGGUAGUUAGAUUAAAUUAGAAAUUGAAUUAUUUAAUUGAGCAUGUUAGGUGGUUAGCAUGGUUUAGCUAAGGCCUAAAUAAAUUGUACUAUUUAUCUAGAAGGGUUCGGGAAUUUUCCGGGUCCGUAUUGGUUAUUAAUUUAAUGAUUUUGGCCUAGGUUAUUAUUUGUAGAAUUUAAAUUGAUUUAUUUAAUUAAUUUCAGUAAUUAAUUAAUUAUUAAUUAUUUUUCCAGAAAUUAGACCGGGAUAGCCAGUGACCGGAAUAUCGUGCUGAUUGCAAUGGUGUGGUCAAUUUCUGCAAUUGAGUGCUGAUUGGAUUUUUGGUAUUUAAUUCCAAAAUUGUGAAUUUCCAAUAUUUAUUCAGAAAAUCCCAGGUGUCGGGUUUUGAUACCGAAAAUGGUUUUUAGUACUAUAUGAAAUAGUGGGAUUUCAAAAAGGAGGAAUAUCAAUUUUUCUGGAUCAAGUUUACCGUGUACCCACACACAAGUAAUUUCAUGUGAAUUUCUAAUACGAAGAAAAAGGCCAGGCUCACCAUUUUAAUUGAAGCAUUUGAGUGCAAUGCACGGUGUCCUGGGCCAUAUUUGAGUGAUCGUGUGAUGGUUAUGAGAAAUCGUCCCGGGCUAUUGAGCUGGACGUUAUCCCUAUGUGGGAUACCCCCUGGACAACGGGAAGCCGGUCGCAGUUGAUUCUGGACCCUAUGCUCCUUCGGGAAAGCCGUCUGAUAAAGAGACGUUGCCGUGCUCAAUGGGGUGAGACGAUGCCUGGCAAUGCCAGAAGACCGCCGAACUGAGAGUAGGCCGUGCUAUAUGCCGAGAUCAAAUCUAAGAACGCAUGAUUAAUUGAGUGUGGCAUUUCAAUUACUGGAGCUUAUUUGUUGCUCAUGCUCUCGUGUUGUCUAUGAGAUAAAUUGUACUGACCUGCAGGGUGGAUCUGAGACGAGGUAAGUCUCCUUGAUUGUGUGAUUGCGGGCUUAGGACGCUUCUUGGCGUAUUUCCCUCCUAAUUGGGGUUUAGAGCUUAGACUCGCUGAGAUGAUAUCUCACCCCGUUGUGGGACAACAUUUUCAGGGUCGUCGAGUGGAGGACCUGGAGCUGAGAGGAGGUGAUCGGAAGCGUAGGUCAGUUAGGACCGCUUCUUUUUGGAAGGCCAGUCUUUUGUAGUCUUUGUCCAUAGACCUGUGUUCAUGACUCAGUGUAUAUAUAAAAGCAUGUUUGUUUGUGAAUCUAUUAUCCUGCCUUUCUAUCCCGAGAUGAUUACUGUCAGGGGAUUUCUUUUCGCUUCCGCAUGUGCAAUAAAAUGGAAAGGGUCGGCGACUCGUCCUGGGAAGUCGCAAAAUUUUUAUCGACCAGAUAGGGAUGGGCACGCGCUCAGGGUCCGGGGCGUGACAUACCCUUUUUAUGGUAUCAGAGCGAAGUUUGUAAUUGGAGUGAUACGGUGCGAUGGGUUCUUGGGAUAGUUAGUAGGAAUGGCUUUUAUAUUAUGCUGAUGCAUGUGACUGAUAGCUGUCUGGUAAAUUGAUUGUGAAAUCACUCAGUUUCUAAUUCAGUAUGGAAUUGGAAACAGGUGUUGUAGAUCGUCUACAGUAUGAGUGAUCAGGAGCCGAGAACUCCUAGGCAGAGGACCUUAUCCUCAGUGACUCGGGCUAGAACGCCUACAAGAGGCAGUACCCGAGGCGGUCAAGGUAGAGCGCAAGCUGAGGCUAGCGCGAGUGGUGUAGCACCACCACCAGUCCCGCCGGUUGAUGCCGGGGUAGCAGCCCCUGGUGAUCCUAGAUUCGAAGGGAUCAUGCAGGUGCUCCAGACUAUUGGUAAUCUGAUGGGGCAGCAGGCCUAGAACCAAGCUGCCGCAGCCGCUGCCGCACAAGCUGAAGUUCCAGAAGGAAAUGUAGUUGCAAACAGACCGAUUCAUAAGCUCGUUGAGCAUUUCCUAAAGUUGCAACCACCAAAGUUCACCGGGACAGGAGAUCCCGAGGCUGCGACCCGUUGGAUCGAAGGACUGGAAAAAGCAUUUGAGCUACUGAAGUGCUCUGAAGAAGAGAAGGUUACCCUUGCCGUGUAUCAGAUGCAGGAAGUUGCAAGUACUUGGUGGAAAGCCACCAGGAGAGAAGUAUUCCCAGAAGGCGUAGUCCUAGAGUGGAACGUCUUCAUUAGAGCAUUCAAUAACAAGUACUUCUCCAGCUGUGCCAAGCAAUUAAAGAUGGCGGAAUUUCUGCACCUCCGUCAAGGUCCAAUGACUGUGGACCAGUACGAGGCAAAGUUUGCUGAGCUUUCACAGUAUGCUCCUAGGUUGAUCCAGGAUCCCGAGGAGAAGGCAAUGAGAUUUAUAGAUGGCCUCCGACCAGAACUGAAAGAUCCACUGGUGCCAUUUGAUAUAAAGAACUACAAUGAGCUGUAUGGACGAGCUCAGCUGAUUGAGAAAAAUCUGAAUGAACGAGCUGCCGCAUCUGGAUCGCGGUUUAAUUCGAACCAAGAUAGAAAUCGGUUUGGGAAAAGACCGAUGACUGGAGGAAGAUACCCUGUUCCGCUCAAUAGGAAGGGUGGAGUAAGAAAAUCAACAUGGAGACAGAAUGGUGCCUGUCGCUUCUGCGGAAAGCGACAUGGGUCAGCCCCGUGCCCCUCUAGGCCGGGUGCUUGUUUUGAGUGUGGCCAACAGGGUCACAUGGCUAAAAAUUGUCCCAGAAGACCGAUGGGACCGCCACAGUUGCCGCCACCGCCACAGAUGAAUCAGAACCGGGGACUACCGCCACCGAUUGUACAGCAGGGUGGACUACUUAGGCCUCCAACUCAAGGAAGAACUUAUGCGAUCACAAGAGGACAGGCGGAGGAUGCGCCUAAUGUGAUUACAGGUACUAUUUCACUGAACAACCAUGCUGCUUAUGCUUUAUUUGACCCUGGUGCAACUCAUUCAUUUAUAGCUGAGCGGUAUGUUAAGUUGGUAGGAUUAAUUCCUGAGUUGUUGAAAUCAGUGAUUAGUAUAUCGACACCAUUAAAGGAUAAUGUGUUAGCUACAGUGGGUUGUCUUGGUUGCAUGUUAGCGAUUGGUGAGCGAGAGGGGAAGAUUGACUUGAUAGUCCUAGCCAUGUAUAACUUUGACCUAAUAAUUGGCAUGGACUGGCUCACCAAACAACGAGCUAAGCUAGACUGUUAUCGCAAGACGAUCCAGUUUAACCCGUUAGAGGGUGAAAGUUUCGAGUUUAUUGGGAGCCGAGGAGGACCCUCGAUUUCCCUAAUCUCGUCACUAGAGGCAACCCGGUUGUUAGAUGAGGGUUGUCAAGGUUAUCUGGCGACUGUCGUGGACACGACAGUUGAGGAGCUGAAAAUCGAAGACAUUGCAGUGGUUCAGGAAUUUCCAGAUGUAUUCCCGAAAGAAUUGCCAAGUCUACCGCCAGAAAGAGAAAUAGAGUUUGUGAUUGAGUUAGCCCCCGGGACAGAGCCAAUCUCUAAGGCUCCUUACCGGAUGGCUUUAUCGGAAUUGAAAGAACUAAAGGUGCAGAUGCAGGAAUUAUUGGAUAAGGGAUUCAUACGUCCCAGUGCAUCACCUUGGGGAGCACCAGUUCUGUUCGUGAAAAAGAAAGAUGGUUCAUUGCGCCUGUGCAUUGACUAUCGACAACUCAAUCAAGUGACGAUCAAGAACAAGUAUCCACUUCCGAGGAUUGAUGACUUGUUUGAUCAAUUGCAAGGAGCGUCGAUAUUUUCGAAAAUCGACCUGAGGACAGGAUAUCAUUAGUUGAGAAUCAGAAAAGAAGACAUUCCAAAGUUAGCAUUUCGUACUCGGUACGGCCAUUAUGAAUUCACGGUCAUGCCAUUUGGAUUGAUGAACGCCCCAGCUGCUUUUAUGGAUUUGAUGAACCGAGUUUUCAAGGAAUACUUGGAUCAGUUCGUGAUCGUGUUCAUUGAUGACAUUCUGGUGUACUCUAGAAGUCCAGAGGAGCAUGAAGGACAUUUGAGAUUGGUAUUGCAGACUCUAAGGACUCAUGAGUUGUAUGCUAAAUUCAGCAAGUGCGAGUUUUGGUUGACUCGUGUUGCUUUCUUGGGUCACGUGAUUUCAGGAGAAGGAAUCUCCGUGGACCCAAGCAAGAUAGAAGCAGUGAUCAAUUGGCCAAGACCGACAACAGUAACAGAAAUCAGAAGUUUUCUGGGUUUGGCAGGGUAUUACAGACGAUUUGUGGAAGGUUUCUCAUCAUUAGCCUCGCCUCUAACAAAGCUCACGAAGAAAAACGAGAAGUUCAUAUGGACAGAUAAGUGCGAGCGUAGUUUUCAAGAGCUGAAAGAAAAGCUGACUACUGCACCGGUACUGACGAUUCCAUCUGGUCCUGGAGGAUUUGAGAUCUAUAGUGAUGCGUCUUUUAGAGGAUUGGGUUGCGUGUUGAUGCAACAUGGUAAAGUUGUUGCAUACGCGUCUCGUCAGUUGAGACCUCAUGAAUUGAAUUACCCGACGCAUGACUUAGAACUCGCAGCCAUCAUAUUUGCAUUGAAGAUUUGGAGGCAUUAUUUGUGUGGAGAAAAGUUCCAGAUCUUCACUGACCAUCAGAGUCUCAAGUAUUUGUUCUCUUAGAAGGAGUUGAACAUGAGGCAGCGCCGAUGGAUGGAACUGUUGAAGGACUAUGACUGUGAUAUUUUGUAUCAUCCCGGAAAAGCGAACAAGGUCGCCGAUGCACUGAGUCGAAAGUCCUCAGUUGCACAGAUGGUACUUAAGGAAUGGACUUUAAUCGAGAAGGCUAGAGAUUCGGUUUUCAAAUUUGAGGUAGGCCGCCUUUCAAAUCUUAUGGCCACCCUCAGAAUUGAGCCGGAAGUGCAAGUCAGAAUCAAGAUGCUUCAGUCAACAGAUCUGGUUAUUCAGAAGAUCCUGCAAGAGGAUACCGAUAAAAGAAAAGCUGACUUUCAAAUUUCUGAGGACGGAACGUUGAGGUUCCAAGGACGUUUGGUUGUACCUGACAAUGUAGAGCUUAAAGAAGAAAUUUUAUCUGAAGCACACCGUAGCAGUUACAGCAUUCAUCCUGGCAGUACGAAAAUGUAUCAGAAUCUGCGUCAACAUUAUUGGUGGUCUGGUAUGAAGGCGGACAUCGCCAAGCAUGUCGCCAAAUGUCUGACCUGUCAGCAAGUAAAGGCUCAACACUGUAAGCCGGGAGGACUUUUGCAACCUCUCGCGAUCCCAGAAUGGAAAUGGGAGCAUAUCACAAUGGACUUCGUGACUGGACUACCAAGGAGUCAAAGAGGAAAUGAUUCAAUUUGGGUAGUGGUCGACAGGCUAACAAAGUCGGCUCACUUCAUUACAGUACGAAAGGACUUGAGUCUGGAUAGACACGCAGACCUAUAUGUGCGUCAGGUAGUUCGUAUGCAUGGAGUGCCGGUUACGAUAACUUCAGAUAGAGACCCGAGGUUUACUGCUGCUUUUUGGAAGAGCUUGCAAAGUGCUUUAGGUACAAAGCUACAGUACAGUAUGGCCUAUCAUCCACAGACCGAUGGCCAGUCUGAGAGGACUAUUCAAACUCUCGAGGACAUGCUGAGAGCUUGCGUAAUAGACUUCAAAGGAAGUUGGGAAGAUCAGCUUCACCUGGUAGAGUUUGCCUACAACAACAGUUAUCAGCAGAGCAUCCGGAUGGCUCCAUUCGAAGCGUUGUAUGGCCGAGCGUGCAGAACACCAGUGUGUUGGGAUGAAGUUGGGGAAAGGAAGAUAACAGGCCCAGAGUUGAUUCAGCAGUCAGUAGAUGCCGUGGCAGUGAUUAGAGGCAGAUUAAAGACAGCGCAGAGCAGGCAGAAAAGUUAUGCAGAUAAGCGUCGAAGGUCUUUAGAGUUUCAAGUUGGUGAUCACGUUUUUCUGAAAGUGUCACCAAUGAGAGGAACUUCGCGCUUUGGUAAGAAAGGCAAACUGAGUCCGAGGUACGUAGGUCCGUUUGAGAUUCUUGAAAGAAUCGGGAACCUAGCAUAUCGUCUUGCAUUGCCGCCAAGAUUGGCGCAAGUGCAUGACGUUUUUCACGUGUCGAUGUUAAGGAAGUAUGAGCCUGACCCGACCCACGUGCUCAAUUUUGAGGAAUUCGACGUGGAUGACCGUGUGUCAUACGUGGAAAGCCCGGUUCAGAUUGUCGAUCGCAAGGAGCAAGUUCUGCGUACAAAGACCAUUCCGUUGGUCAAAGUGGUCUGGCAACACCACGGUACAGAAGGAGCGACAUGGGAGACUGAGGAGUCAAUGAGAGAAUUGUACCCCCACCUUUUUGAUCAAGUCUUGUAAUAGGUUUAAAUUUCGAGGACGAAAUUUUUAUAAGAGGGGAAGAGUUGUGACAGCCUGAAUUUUCAUAACUUGUUUUCGAUUAAAUAAAUCGGGCCUUUCAUCGAAACGCUAAUAGUGCUAUUCUCUGAGCUGAUCACUCAUGAGAUAACUGGACUAUCUGGAGAAACAAGUAGGGAAUCUAAAUGCAAUUGCACUUGAGAAUUCGACCAAGAAUCGACUGCUCAACCGUGUUGAUCUGCAAGGGUCAUUACGGCACCGUCAGAGAUCGAUUAGAAAUCAAAGAUAGGUCGAUUCGACUGAGAUAUGUGAUCAAAUUGUGGGUGAUUCCACUUGAUUGAAAAAUUCUCAUCGAUCGGCACUAAAUUGAUUUUCUGUCGUUUUGGUACCCGGUGCCCGUAAUUGAAACCUUGAGAUUUUCACGACAACUGAGAGUUGCUAAUGGGUUGAAGAUGUACUUUGUGACUCGAGAUAAAUCGAUCACAGGUCAAUUGCACCAAAAAUUCAUAAAAGUUAUCCGGUAGAUUAGAUCACGCUAAAAGCGCGCCGGAUUGAAAAUAACCGCAAAUUUGAACCCGAUUUCAGAAAUUGAAAGUUCUGAGCUGUCACAAGCUAUUUUAGGAACGUCGACUCUCUCUCCGAAGAAUUUUCAGAGAUUCCGAGAUUUUUUGCGGAAAAUUGAUACGGACGUUGCGGAAAAUCAGUGGAAAUUCAGAUGGGCUAAAUCGAUGGAAAUUGGGACUUCUAAGCCAAGCCUGUGAGUGUCAGGAAUUUAUAGAAAAUCGUUCGGGAUUUUUCUUCAUCAAGAUUGGACCUCAAUUUGGGAAAUUGAGUGAAGGAAUUUAUCCUAAAAAUUAGUGAAAUUCGGAUCAAUAAUUGGGGAUGGAAUUUUGCACUUAAAUUGAGUUAUUUUGGUGGAUAAUUGAUUGGAAAGUAAUAGGGAACAUCCAAUUAAUGGAAUGGCUAAGGUUUGUCAAAAUUGGGCCCCUCCUUGGCUUCCUUCACACGCCUCUCCACCGCCUCUCUCCCUUCGUGCGAUGAGCGAAGACCGAUUGCAUCUGUCCUUUUCUUUCUUUCGUUUUGUCGAAGCUCCCUUCCCACGCUCUCUGCCAUUCCCACCAUCUCUUGUUCUCCACGUCCGCGAGCCCUGCUUCCUUCUGCCGAGUGUUGGCCAGCAAGUUCUAGCGCCCACAGUCAAUGGAAGACACGAGCAAGCUGCCCGUGUGUUGACUCCAACAAGUGGCCGAAGCUGCUUCAGCGAUCUUUCCCCCUGCAGCCACCACUUGUCCGUGUGCCAUCUUUGUUCGGUCAACUUCAACAAUCCACCGAAGCUGCUCCAUCCACGUCCACACGCCCCUGCAGCUCACCGAAACCCCAAGUUCCGGUUAACGGUGCUUCCUCCUCCAUCGGUUUGUUGACCGUAAACCCCCCACUCAUCCAUUUCAGCAUCACCGCAGCUCUCCACCCAAUCUCUCUCUCGCGUUGUUACUUCUUCGUUCAGUUCACGUCCGCAUGUCCUCCACCGGCGAUUUCUUUCAGCUGCCGUGUCCGAAGUUCCUCGCCAAAGAAAACUGAGCAAUCUUCCUCCGAACCGAAGCCUCAUGAAGCAGCUGCUCCUUCAUCAUUGAUCUUCACCGAGUCAGGCCCAACAUCACCGUGGCUCAGCCCAUAUCAACGGCCCAGCAAGUUACCAUUCUUCUGCAACCCAUCUUCACGUAAAGCCAGCCCAUUUGAAGUCCAUCAGUAGCCCAACAGAACAGUCUAAUUAAUUGGGUCUUCAGCCCAAUUCAGCAAGGCCCAAUUCCAGCAAGUUCAAUUGGUUUUAGCAGCCCAUUUUGGGCCCAAGAAGAAGGCCCAAGCCGCGACCAGCAGCCCGCAGAAGCCCAAGACCUAAACUCAGCCUUGCUGAGUUGUGUUGGGCCCGUUUUAGGCCCGGUCCGAGAGUCCGCCGACGCCGCCGAAAAUUAAGGUUUCGGCCGCCGUCGCGUCGUUGUCGCGGUGAACCGGUUUUCGUGAUACACCGGUGAGUUUAUACUCUAAACUCUGCUUAGUAGGUUAAUGACGUUUAAGGGGUGUUAGAUUUAUUUUAUUAGGAAUUAGGUGGGUAGUUAGAUUAAAUUAGAAAUUGAAUUAUUUAAUUGAGCAUGUUAGGUGGUUAGCAUGGUUUAGCUAAGGCCUAAAUAAAUUGUACUAUUUAUCUAGAAGGGUUCGGGAAUUUUCCGGGUCCGUAUUGGUUAUUAAUUUAAUGAUUUUGGCCUAGGUUAUUAUUUGUAGAAUUUAAAUUGAUUUAUUUAAUUAAUUUCAGUAAUUAAUUAAUUAUUAAUUAUUUUUCCGGAAAUUAGACCGGGAUAGCCAGUGACCGGAAUAUCGUGCUGAUUGCAAUGGUGUGGUCAAUUUCUGCAAUUGAGUGCUAAGUUAUGCAAAUUGAGUGCUGAUUGGAUUUUUGGUAUUUAAUUCCAAAAUUGUGAAUUUCCAAUAUUUAUUCAGAAAAUCCCAGGUGUCGGGUUUUGAUACCGAAAAUGGUUUUUAGUACUAUAUGAAAUAGUGGGAUUUCAAAAAGGAGGAAUAUCAAUUUUUCUGGAUCAAGUUUACCGUGUACCCACACACAAGUAAUUUCAUGUGAAUUUCUAAUACGAAGAAAAAGGCCAGGCUCACCAUUUUAAUUGAAGCAUUUGAGUGCAAUGCACGGUGUCCUGGGCCAUAUUUGAGUGAUCGUGUGAUGGUUAUGAGAAAUCGUCCCGGGCUAUUGAGCUGGACGUUAUCCCUAUGUGGGAUACCCCCUGGACAACGGGAAGCCGGUCGCAGUUGAUUCUGGACCCUAUGCUCCUUCGGGAAAGCUGUCUGAUAAAGAGACGUUGCCGUGCUCAAUGGGGUGAGACGAUGCCUGGCAAUGCCAGAAGACCGCCGAACUGAGAGUAGGCCGUGCUAUAUGCCGAGAUCAAAUCUAAGAACGCAUGAUUAAUUGAGUGUGUCAUUUCAAUUACUGGAGCUUAUUUGUUGCUCAUGCUCUCGUGUUGUCUAUGAGAUAAAUUGUACUGACCUGCAGGGUGGAUCUGAGACGAGGUAAGUCUCCUUGAUUGUGUGAUUGCGGGCUUAGGACGCUUCUUGGCGUAUUUCCCUCCUAAUUGGGGUUUAGAGCUUAGACUCGCUGAGAUGAUAUCUCACCCCGUUGUGGGACAACAUUUUCAGGGUCGUCGAGUAGAGGACCUGGAGCUGAGAGGAGGUGAUCGGAAGCGUAGGUCAGUUAGGACCGCUUCUUUUUGGAAGGCCAGUCUUUUGUAGUCUUUGGCCAUAGACCUGUGUUCAUGACUCAGUGUAUAUAUAAAAGCAUGUUUGUUUGUGAAUCUAUUAUCCUGCCUUUCUAUCCCGAGAUGAUUACUGUCAGGGGAUUUCUUUUCGCUUCCGCAUGUGCAAUAAAAUGGAAAGGGUCGGCGACUUGUCCUAGGAAGUCGCAAAAUUUUUAUCGACCAGAUAGGGAUGGGCAUGCGCUCGGGGUCCGGGGCGUGACAAUAGGCUCAUACCCAAUCCAACAAGGGCAAGGAGUAUUGCUCAACUGAGAAGGAUUGGACAAGGAGUACUCUUGGCAAACUUUUAAGAUAGCUAAUGGUGCACGGAAAUAACGCAACAAUGCAGAAUAUGCAGUAUCAGGUUGCUAUGAAGCCUCCAACUUUAUAGAUUUUCUUAUUUACUUUCUUUUUUCUUUCUUUCUUUUUCCGUCCUACCGUUUGUGUGUUUCUUUGGGUGUUAAUCCAAUGUCCCCACUCCAUGGCUACAACAUUUACAAGAGCCAAUUCACUGUGCUACUAUUGGUGGAGUUUUUUCUGUUCUUCAUCUUCGUUUUUAGUAAAGACAGAGGAUUGAUUUGACAAUACUAGUAAUAAAAAAGUCAUUGAUGUUGUAAUGGCUGGCUUUUGACUUAGUCAAUAUUGAUUAGUAAAGAGAAAAAAAAAAGUGGACUCAAGAAAAGGAGUACACGUUCAAAAGAGGCAAAUAAAGAAAAAAAAAAGAGAAAAGGAGAGAAACAAAGGCGAAAGAGUAGGAAGGGAUAGGAAAAGAAAGAAGAGUAAAUGCUAUGGCACCUCGUCAAGUUAGAUUAACUUUAUCUCGCAAUGCCCAAUUAAUCUAAUUAGAGAAAUUUUCAAAAUAAAGCUCUAAUUUUAGAUCCUUGUGAAUUUUAAGCCAAUUGGUUAAUUCUACGAGUUGUUAAGCUAAGAAAUUAUGGGGUAUUAAUAGUUUAGGGUAUUGUAAAACUAUAGGAUUUUACAUAACUUGAUUCAAGUUUAUAGUUUGCCCGAAAUGAAUUUUCAAAAUUAUGCGCGCAUGCCGUAACAUUAGCGAAUUUCCUAGUUUACCAAUGAUUAUGGCCCAUCUUAAGCUAUCUUUAGAGUUGGCAAAACUUAGGGAAUCUAAUUAUCUCGAAGGGUCUUUCAUUAGAGAGAAGAUUUGCUAGAAUCAUGGUUUAAUGAAGAGAGUUGUGGUGCAAAAAAUUUUUGACACGCAAGCUAGGCAUAGCGGAUAGUUUUGAAUGACUACUACAACAAGCCUUUCAUUGUUGCAUAGGAGUCGAUUGGUUGACGAACGAGCAUAGUUUAGAUCAUCAAUUAAAGUAGUGUUUUGCUUUGUCUUGACAUCAAUUCUCGUUUAAUUGAUAGAAUAUUGUCAACUCAAAUAGCUACAUUAUUUGGCUUUGAGUAUUCCUAAUUGAGUGGUGUUGAUCUCUUUUAUAGUAUUAUAAAAUCCAUGACUUAAAAUAAUAGUAAUUUGAUAUUAUAUAUCUGUUUGUGUAUAUAUAUAUGUGUGUGUGUAUUGAACUAAGAAGAACAUAAUUGUUGCAUAAAACUAGAUCAAGUGUUUAUUAUUUUUUAGUUAUAGUACGAUGGUCUGAUAAACUUUUCUUGAAAGGUAAUGUGUAUUAUAUCAUAAAAAUACUUAUGAGAUAAAUUUUGAAAACAUUAGAGAAAUACUUUACAAAAAGGGAUUUUGAUUGAUGAAUUGAGUUGCAAAAGAUUAGAUAUUUUGGUUUAUGAUAUAGAUAGGUUUGGUGGAUUUUGGAGGAUAAUGUUGUGAGUUUGUGUUGAUGCUCAUUAUCUUUGGGGGCCCAUUUGAGGGGUUUGUAAGUAUGUGUACUAGUUUUAGGAUAUCUUUGUGGGUUGGCUACUAGGAAUAUAAGUAGAGACCUAGCCAAUGAAAGAAUCUUAGUUGCCUUUAUCAUAGGGCAUUGAGCAUGAUGGACCAUUGACGUAUGAUUUGAUGAGAUUGAUUAGUGGACUGAACCAUUAAUACUUAUUUUGAUAUUAUUGAUGAAAUUGGUAUUUUUUGUUAUUAAUAUAGUUAUGUUGAAGUAAUAUAGUUCAUUUUCAUCUUGUAAAUUUGUUAUAUAUUGGAUUUAGUGUAAAUGAGUUACCUUUUUGUGUCCUAAACAUUCAUAGUGGAUCCCUGAUUUGUUUUGAAGAGAUUUGUACUACUCAUUGGCCUAUAAUUGCCCAUUCCAUUUAUCUUACUUCUAUUUUUAGGUUCUUCAGGUAGUCGUUAAUAGGACAAGAGUGUUUACAUUUUUAGGAUGAUAUUUUGAUAGUGGGAUUUUUUUAUAUGAGUUGUUUAUGUCUGCAUUGAACUAUGAGUUUAUUUGUUAGUUGGAGAUAUAUAUGUGUUUUUUUUUUUUUGGAUUAUAGAAACUCUAAUCUUGUAAACAAAUGACACUUUAUCAAAUAUAUGGAUGUAUAUAUUGCGAUAUCAAGUUGAGUUAUAGUUACGAUUGAAGCUACAUUAUUUGGAUGAAAUGAUGGCCGUGUCAUCCCUUAUACUUGUUGGAGUCGGAUGUGUGAUAAAUGUUAUAAGUUGAGAUCGGUAUUUUAGAUCUUAAUUGCGUGAAGUAUAGAAUUUUCCUUUCAAUGUGCCUCUGCCGCUGCUUCAAUUUUCACUUGAGGCCUCCCUUUAUCCCGCGCCACUGCCACUGCUUGAAUUGUUACAAAGAGCAACUCCCUUAAUAUGCCAAAUCGUGGCGAAAUCGGGUGGGAAUUCGUUUAAUUCUGAUGAAUCUUCACCAUUUGCCUUGGUUUCUUGCGCCUCCAUGCAGAUUGGCGCCAGCUGCAGCAAAAUGGGCUUGGUUGGGAUCACUGGGAAUUUAUGAGACCGGUUAGCUUGUGGCCAGCUUUGGCACUAUUCACCGGAAAUUUGAGCAUUAUCAGGUUGAUUAUCGAGACGCGCUUGUCAGCACCGCCAUUAGAUCUACCGAAUGAGAAUGCUUUUCCGUAAUCCAUGGAGGAGCACCGGCAGCCACGCCACCAGCUUUAACUCUAGACAAAUCAGCUUUCUUACGAUGAUUUACUAUGUUUCCCAAAGAGAUUCGGGAUUAACAGUAGUACUUUAGCUUGACUUUAGAAAAAUCAGCUUUCUUGCAACGAUUUACCAUGUUUCCCUGAGAGAUUCAGGAUGAGCAAAAGUGCGAAAGAAGAAAGAACAUAACAAAUCAGGAGAUUCACAAAAAUAUUUAAAAUCAUAUUAUUUCAAUUCAGUUUGUCCAAGACAUAUGACUGAUCGUGUUACUAAAGAUGAUUAGAGAGACCGGACUGGUAUGUCAACAUUUUCAAAUAAAAUUAGCCGAAAAGAAUAUGUUUGAGUAUAAAAAAAAAUUGAAUUGAAAAAGUCUAAGAUUAUAUCGAAAUUCUUUAAUUUAAGACUAAAUUGGUAAUUUUCCCCCUCUGAUCUAAUCUUUCCUUCCCUCACUUUUUCCUAGCUCUUUCCUAAAUCCCAAUGAUUAAAACAGGUUCAUCUUCGAGAGUCUACUAUCCAUGUGAACUUCUAUUCAUGGAUUCAAUUGCGAUCCUCUUAGACAUUAAACGGUAAGAUGAAGAACAUGAAACCACCACUUCUCUUAUUAUUCCUCUUCAUCUCCGUCCUGCUCGAAGCACUCGGAGUCUCAGUCAUCGGCGACAAUGUUGGCGCAUACUUGCUUGUUAAUGAUAUCACCGUCAACUGUGGCUCCCUCGGCAACUCCUCCGUGUCCAAGGGGACUUGGAUCGGGGACAGCGAGGAUGGUUCGACCUACUUUCCAAUCGAUGAAACUCAUUCCUCUAUCGUUGCAAGUGCAAACCGUUCAUCUCCCCCUGUCCACAACCGCAUCCCACACGACACUGCUCGUCUCUCCCUCUCAGAAUUCGUCUACACCUUUCGCGGGGGCCAAAAUUGGUUCGCCUCCACUUCUUCGCUUCGGAUUACCUCAACUUUGGCCAUGACGAUUCAUUCUUCUCGGUCAAGGCUGCUGGCUACACUCAGCUCCGCAACUUCAGCGCUUUCCUCUUUUCCGAUCACACCGGCUUCACGACCUUCCGCAAAGAGUCCUACUUAACCUAGUAGCUGACCAGAUAUUGAACGUCACGUUUGCUCCCACUCCUGGUAACCCAGACGUGUAUGCUUUUGUGAAUGGAAUUGAAGUUAUUUCCAAAUUGUUACGAUUUUGCGAUGUCACUAAGCGCAAAACGUCUUUAAUUACCAACUUUUAUGACCGUUUGUCAUGGAAAAGAAGAAAUUGUCAUAAAUUGAGAAUUUCUUUACAGAGAGUAAUGACGUCAUGACAAGAGCAAAACGUCCAAAAUUAGGAUUUCAAAUACAAUUAUUUACAAAGGGUUAUGUUUGUUUGCCCCAAAUAAGGAUAAAAUGUCAUAAUCUUGUAUUUUUUUCCUUCAACUACAACGCUUUGCGAAACUAACCAUGAACAAAAUGUUGCAAAUUUUAAAAUUUUUUAAUUACAAUGAUUUAAAAAAAUGUCAACAUUCCAUUGUAACCAAAAACUUGACAUUGUGAAUUUAAAUCCUUUCAAACUACGAUGGCUUAUAAAGGUUUGCAACAAUCAAUGUAACUAACAAUAUAACCUCAUAAAACUUUAUUAAAUUUGAUUUUUACUGUGCCAUGAUGUCAAUAUUCUAUGGGUCUGUCACUCAUUUGCUAGUGCUUAAAGUAUUGUAAAUUUUUCGACAAAAAAAAAGUAUCGUAAAUUUCAUUUUAGUAUGUCGGAUGUACAUUUUUUAGUAUCAGACAUCUAACUUUCGACAGUUGGGAUCCUUCCAUCUUAAUCUAAUGGUUGACAUUUAUGGGGUACGAUAUAAGAUUAAAAUCUUAGAAGUCUCUGACUAAGCAUCAAUAGAUUUAUCCGUAUACGAGACGUCAAUAAAGCGUUUGAUUAUAUUUCUGUUACAUAAAUAAUUUUACUCCUUGAAAGGACAAAAGUUGAAAAUGGAAGGACGCGAUAUAGAAAACACGGUUUGGUGGCGGUCCCUUUUUUUUUUUUUUUUUGAACAGGUGUUGUGGUCCCUUGAGAGAGAGCAUUCUUGCAUGGGACCUGGCAGUCGUACCGCUGACCUGACGUGACCUUCCUAAGGCAAUUGAACCUUCCACGAAAAGCGCACCUGGAAGGGCACAAAUCCCGUCCGCUGAUUUUCUUGUGAUCGGCGAGGGCUCUAUCCCCUUGCAGAUAUCUUAGCGACGACUUUGGUCUUCCCCUAAUCUCGUCGCUAGUGCCGGCCUUCUCUUCCGCUCUUCUUCCUAAUUCCCCGUUAGUCAAAACUUUUCAUCUCCGAGACCUCGCUCUCCUUGUGAUUUUCAUCGAUUCGUCUGCGACCCUUUGUCGUCGAGCAGCGAGAUGAAGAACAUGAAACCACCACUUCUACUAUUCAUCUUCAUCUCGGUCUCGCUCGAAGCACUCCCGAUCUCAGUCACUGGCAACAACGUUGACGCUUACCGGCCGACCGAUGAUAUUGCCGUCGACUGCGGCUCCUCCACCAGCUCCACUGUGGAGAACCGGAAUUGGAUUGGAGACGCCGCCAACCGUUCGGACUACUCUCCAAUUGGGAAAACUCACUCCUCUAUCACUACACAGGCAAACAUUUCAUCUCCCAGAGUCCCUGGCACCGCCCCAUACCUCACGGCUCGCCUCUCCCGCUCCGAGUUCGUCUACACCUUCCACGUCACCGCAGGGCCCAAAUUCGUUCGCCUACACUUCUUCCCUUCGGAUUACCCCAACUUCCGCCGUGUUGAUUCCUUCUUCUCAGUCGAGGCCGCUGGCUACACCCUGCUCCGCAGCUUCAGCGCUUCCCUCUUUGCUGAUUCCACCCCCUCCGCGGGCUUCUUCUCUAAAGAGUUCAGCUUAAAUGUCGGAGAGGACCAGAUAUUGAUCAUAACGUUCACUCCCACUCCUGGUAAUUCAGACGCGUAUGCUUUCGUGAAUGGAAUCGAAGUCGUUUCCAUGCCCGAAAGUCUCUACUACAACACCGUCGUCGACUCAACCGAGGGAAUCAAGUUGCCAGGUCAGCUGGUGCCAUACACCUUGGAUACCACUAAAGUUCUCGAAGCGGUGAAGCGCUUGAACGUGGGAGGACAGUUUGUCGGUCCAGCUCAUGACACAGGAAUGUACAGGACCUGGGAAGCAGAUGACGAGUACGUGACUUCCUCGGACAUCGGAGUUUUGCCAGUUAACAUAAGUAUCCAACUCAAUUACGGUGAGCAAGUGCCAAAUUACACGGCUCCAGAUCCCGUAUACACUACUGCAAGGACCAUGGGAACGGACAAAAGUAUCAAUCUGAGCUACAACCUCACGUGGUCCGUCGAGGUGGAGACGAACUUCUAUUACUUGGUCCGGUUACACUUUUGCGAAUUCCAGAUAGAGAUAAAUGAGCCCUUAGACAGGGUUUUCAAGAUUUUUCUAGAUUCACAAUUGGUCGAGGACCAUGCGGAUGUCAUUAGUUGGAGCGGGAAGGGCGUGCCCAUCUAUAGAGAUUUUGCAGUAGCCCUCCUGGAUCACAGCCAAAAGAAAAGAACCAACCUCUCCGUCGCGUUGGGCGCACUUCCAGAUGGUUCUACUCUUUACUCUGAUGCCAUCUUGAAUGGCCUCGAGAUUUUCAAGAUCAGCGAUCCAGACGGGAAUCUCGUAGGGCUGAACCCGGAUCUGGUCCCGAAUAAAGUGCCAGGACCUCCACUGGCAAGCAAGGCACCGUCGAGCCUCAGCAAAGCAGUAAAAAUUGCCAUCGUUGCUGGUGGAACUUCGGGCUUCACCAUACUCUCUCUCCUGGCUUUCUUCCUUUACCGGCGACGAAACAGAGGUAAGGAUUCGACCUCGAGCAACGGCACCACAUGGUGGGGCCCGGUCUCCUACGUGAUGACCAAGUCAACGAAGACCCAGGGGUCGUCCCUGUCGUCCGAUUUGUGCCGCCACUUCUCGCUGGCGGAGAUCAGAGCGGCCACGAACAACUUCGACAAGGUGUUUAUCAUCGGCGUGGGUGGGUUCGGCAACGUGUACAAGGGCUACGUCGAUGGCGGGGCCACCCAAGUGGCGAUCAAGCGGCUCAACCAGGGAUCGCAGCAGGGCCUUCAUGAGUUCAGGACCGAGAUCGAGAUGCUCUCGCAGCUCCGGCACCUCCACCUGGUCUCCCUGAUUGGGUUCUGCGAGGACGCGGGAGAGAUGAUCCUCGUGUACGACUACAUGGCACGCGGGACUCUCAGCAGCCAUCUCUACAACACCGAUAAUCCCCCACUCCCCUGGAAGCAGCGGCUCGAGAUCUGCAUAGGCGCCGCGUGGGGGCUCCACUACCUCCACAGCGGUGCCAAGCACACCAUCAUACAUCGCGACGUGAAGACGACCAACAUCCUGCUCAACGAGAAGUGGGUUGCCAAGGUGUCCGACUUUGGGCUCUCGAAGGUCGGAACCACGAGCGAGUCUAAGACGCACGUCAGCACGGCCGUGAAGGGCACCUUCGGGUACCUGGACCCGGAGUACUACAGGCGCCAGCGACUGACUGACAAGUCCGACGUCUAUUCCUUCGGCGUGGUGCUGUUCGAAGUGCUGUGCGCAAGGCCUGCCGUGAGCCGGAUGGCCCCGAUGGAGCAGAUCAGCCUGGCUGAGUGGGCCCAGAGUUGUUGUAAGAGCGGGUCCGUCGAAGAAAUGGUGGACCCGCACCUGAAGGGGGCUAUCGCCCUCGAGUGCCUCAACAAGUUCUGCGAGAUCGCUAUGAGCUGCUUGCAGGACGAGGGGGCCAAGCGGCCAUCCAUGAACGACGUUGUGUGGGGCCUCAAUUUCGCACUGCAGCUACAGGUGAGCACAGAGCUGGAAGUGAAGGAUCAUGCGGGUGUGUCAGUGCAUGAUAGCGAUGACAGCGACCAUGACGCAGCUUCGAUCAGAGGUAGCGGCAGCGAUGAGGCGAUCAACACUAGUGAUAGCGAUAGUGGUGGUUGGAAGAGCAGUAGGGAAACUGCGACGUCGACCAGAGCCGGAAGCAAUGAUGUUUGUGAUGAGAGUAUGACUAGUCAUGACUGAGAGAAGUUGCCUUGAGAAAAUAUUAGGUGCUCAAGUGUGACGCUCAAAACGUUAUUUGACACGUGUUUCUUAUAUUAUUACUCUCUUUUAACAUAUGAAAGCGUAAUUAAAUAUUUACUAUUAUUUUCUUAACAAUUAAAGGCCUUACAAGUAUAAUCAUCAUAUUGAUGCCUCUUUUGUUUAUACCACAUUUGAGGUCAUAAUCUUAUUAUAUUACGAGCAAACAAACAAAAAUUUGGAUAGGGGUGGGGAGACCUAUAUUAUACAAUACUUCUAAAAGUCUGCCUAUAUAAACGUAGUCUCGGAUCGAUAACUUCUCCAUUUGUUGUGUCUCCAUCGCCAAGUCUUGUUACUGGGAAAUGAAUUGAAAAGGAACUCACUCUAGCAAACCUCCUACAUCAACCCACAUAAUAGAACUACACUUGAAAUAUAUUAUUCCAUAUUUUGAUUCAAACAUAUUUCAUAAAGACCUUCAUAAUUCAUAGACUUUAUAGCGUAAAGGUCGAAAGGUGUUCAUUCUACAUGUUUGAAAAAUAAAAAGAAUGAGCCAAAACCAAAUAAAUGAAAUUUCUAGUUUUAAGUUAAAAGAAUUCUCUUACCACUUCAUCUGAUAUACACAAAGUGAAUGCAUAAUCAUCCGAUAAGUGUGAUAAAAAUAUAAGUAGGCUUUACCUUUUCCAUUUUCAUUUACCAUAGAAAUUGUUAACCAACAAUACAUCCAUUUAGACUCAUGCAUAUGCACGCUAUGUUUCACAUAAACAAACAAACAAUAUAAAUAAUAUUUGAUUCUACACAUGAUAAUGCAUUUUAUUCAUUAAUAUUUCCUCCUCUCGAACUUUCCUAUGCAUCCCAACUAUUAGGACAUCUCAAUUUCGAGGUAUUCUACAAACUUCCACCACAGAAUGUCCCCACCAUAGGGCGUCUCAACUCCGUAGACAUUUCGAAACACUCUUCCGGACAUCCCAACUGGACAUCCCGCAAACUACCAUCAUGGGGCAUCGUCACGCACCACUAUAUGAGUGACGGAAUCACAUUAAUAUUAUUUAAAGCCAUAAAAUAUAUAUACUUACAAGCAUAUCACACAUAUCUCAACUCAAUUUAAUACAUUAAACAAAUAAUCGUAAAUGAAAUAACAUAUAGCCCAUACUUUGGUCAUUAAAGUUUGGAGAUCCAAAUGAGUACAUUUUAAAUUUGGCCAUUAGCGAGAUCCGAAUGAAUAAAUAUACUCUGGAAAUAAAGUUUGAACAUGUAAAUGGGUACAUUUUGAGUUAGAAUAACAAGUGCAUUAUGGUCGUAAAGUCUGAAUAAUCAAAAAGGUAAAUUCUGGCUUAAUAGAAGCUUCUAGAACAAAAGAACAAAUUCAAUAAUGAAUGGAUUUACAAAUGAAUAGAAUCAACAAAUAAAUAGAUUCGACAAAGAAUAGAUUUAUAUUUAGUAAAGUUUGUCUGAAUCAAUGGAUAGAUUUAUUAAAAAAACCGAUUCACAUGUUGGCAGAUUCAAUAAGAAAUAGAUUCAUACUCAGUAAAGUUUGUCUAAACCAAUAAACAAAUUUAUCAACGAACAUAUUCACAAGUUGGCAAAUUUAACAAGGAAUAGAUUCAUACCCAUUUAAAGUCUGUUUGAACUAAUAAACAUAUUUAUGAAUGAAUAGAUUCAUAGAUUGGCAUAUUCAAUAGGUGAACAGAUUCGACCAAAUGAGUAGAUUCACAAAAGGCGGAUUCACAAAUGGACAGAUUCUGUCAUAGGAAAUUCUAGCAAAAACAAGUAGAAUGAACAUAUUCUGACUAGUAAAAUUCUAGCAGAACAAAAUAGAGGGAAUAUGCAAGAGGUUAUCAAAAUAAAUAUGACAAAACGAAUUGCUUUUGACUAUGCAGAACGAAACAAAAUGAAGAAGAAUGAAUGUGUAAUGGGUCAUUGAGAUAAAUAUGGUAGAACGACCAAAUUUUAAUUACCUAGAAUGUAGUAGAAAGAAGCAAAACGAACAUGUAAUGACUCAUGAAAAUAAAUAUGGCAGAACGACCAAAUUCUGACUACCUAGAACGAAGUAGGAAGAAGCAAAAUGAAUCAUCAAGAUAAAUAUGAUAGAACGACCAUAUUCUGAUUAUCUAAAAUGAAGCAGAAAGAAACAUAAUGAACAUACAAUAGGUCAUCAAGAUAAAUGUAGUAGAACAAUCAUAUUUUGACUACUUAGAAUGAAGUAGAAAGAAACAGAACAAACCUUUGGAAACUGAAUGAUGUACCAUGUAGGGCUAUGUAGCGAUUUUUGGCUAAAUAAUCAUUGAUAAGUCUGCAUGAUUGUGUUAAUAUUCGGUAGAAGGUACAAAUCCUUCACUAUCUUAGAUUCAAUGGCAAUCAAAGAGCUUUAACUUAGUGCAGAGUUUCAGCUUUCAUCUCUUUAUGAAUCCAUCUUGAGGCUAUUUGGAAAUUGAAAACCUCUGCAAAUUGCAGACUUUGGUAUAUGAGGGCAUUAAAUGCCCUCUUACAAGCUACUGAAGAUGCUUCUGCAGCUUAUUCUUAGGCGGACUUGCAGUUUUCAAACAGUAAUAUUUAUCAAAGUUGUGUGAAUUUUUGAAAGAAAUUGGACUAUAAUGACGUGGAUGGUAUCUGCAAAAUGAGUCUAAACAUUUGGAGGAUUAUGUACAGAUUUGGCUCUCUAAGUUUAGGCAUUUGUGUGAUUUGAUCUUCUAUUUUUUAUGUUGUGCAAUUAAGUCCUCUUUAACUUUUUUGAUUUGUGCAAUCAGGUGUAUUGUUUACUUGUUGUAAGUAAUGCUGUCACACUAUGAUUUCCUUUUUAGUCGUUUUUCCUAUUUGCUUUCUGCUCAUUUGGAAGCAAAUUAGCAUCACCUUUUAUUUUUGUCGCAUAAACAAUGUCACGUCAUUGAUUAAUUCGUUGGUUUAGUCGAAGUGGUUGACUGAAGGAUUUGAUUACAUAAAUUCAAAAAGUUGAAGGACUUGAUUGUACAAAAUAAAACUUGAAGGACCCAAUUUGCACAAAUGUAGAAAGUUAGAGGACUUGAUUUAACAAAAUAAAAAUUAGAGGAUCAAAUCGCAUAAAUGCUAGAACUUAAGGACCAUAAUAUGCACUUUACCCAACAUUUUUACUAUGAAUUACCUGUGGCCGUGCCUCGUCCGUGUCAGGCCGAGGCAAAUUAUGUCCGGGUCUGGUUUGUAUUUUCCAUUCUUUUAUUAAAUCUAAUAUCUUCUCAAUAGAGGCAACAAUCAAGACCCUUUUCGCUAAUUGGCCUUGCCCGGGACAGGCCGUGUAGGCCUUGCUGGGACCAUGGCGGUGGGCUGGUCAUUCCUAAUCCGGACAUUUGUUUAGCACGAUACAAGGUGUCAUGCCCUCCCCAGUGUGAUUUACUGCGGUUCUGAACAAGCUUUUCUGUUCCUGGCAAUGUCACAGCCAAAAUUCCCUUCCAUCUUGUGUAACUGAGAAAACUGGUAAUGAGUAACAUCUUGAGCAUGUUCUCUUUGAAAACUCAGGCACACGAUGCAUAAAUCCGGCUGUCAAACACCUAAAAAAGGUUUGAACUACAAUUCGGGCCCACGAUGCAUAAAUCCGGCCGUCAAACACCAAAAAAAAAAAAAAAAAAAAAGGGUUUGAACUACAUAGAGCAUGUAAUCUAGUGUCGUAGACAUCAAUGCCAGAACUGAGCGUAUGCUCCCUCUUCCUGUGACCGAGAAGAGACUUCCUUGUCAAUAGACGGGACAUGAAAGCCUCCGGUAUGUGCACAUUGGCGGCACGAAUACACCAUUUGAAUGAUUGUUAUGAAAGCCCCCAGCUUCAGAGCUACUUUAUUCUUCCGGUUUUGAGACGGCAUGCUGUAAAGACUCGAAAUGUCGGUAUGCCCUUUCCACUAUGUUUGGCCGAUAUCGUGCAAAAAAUCAACCAAAGAACAGUUUAAUAUAUACGCACCAGGUUGUCAUUCAUUUUCUCGGAAGUUAACGAAGCCUUUGUAGUGUCCUGGUUGGCACCUUUAGUGUGAAAACAUAUUUUAAUAGACUAAGGCUAUGCCAGCCACGCUAAGCGGAGAAGGGUCCAUUUAUGUCAUAAUCUUUAGGACUGGAGAUGGAUUUCACUUAGUUGUAUGAAAACCAUUUGAAAAGUUUGUUGAUCUUUGGCUCAUCCAAGGAAUUUGCCGUGCAUCAUCAGGAUUGAGAAAAGAUGGGACUUCCCUUGACCGAACUAUUUGCUCCUUGCAGUUCAGUCCAUCAACAAAUGCAACCGGAGGAGGUGAGCGAUCCUUCGACUCAGCAACAGUUUCAGCUCCAGCAGAAUAUAUAAACCAGUCCGAUUAAUCUGAUGUAGACUGUACAAUUCCAGCCCCAAAAUUAGUAGACGAUGCCACUUCACGCAAGCGAACCAAAGUUUUGGGGCUCAGUCUACUCUGCACUCAGAGCAACCAAUUCCCGUGAGCUCUCAGAUUCCAGCCGGUUUCUGGCCAUUGCAUCCUGUCCCAGGCUUUACUACAGGGCCGAUGAAUGCUCCGGCUCAACCCUUUCAUACUGCUGGUUUAGACUAUCCUCAAGUGCCAUUUCAUCCGCAUAACGUGCCUCCGAUGCCUUAAGGGAUAAUAGUUCAAUUGCCACCAUCUGCUCCACCAUCUCCUUGGACAACGGGGUUGUUUGACUGCAUGGAUGACCCUUUAAUUGGUACAGUCGCCUUUUGCUUUUCCUGGGCAAGUUUAUAAUAAAAUCGACCAGUAACACACGGAGAAUCUCCAAGUAUUUCUUGCGUGUUUGCAGUGGUUGUGGCCUGUUGCUUCCCCUGCGUAACAUUCGGCCAGAUAGCCGAGAUUGUUGACUGAGGGAGCACAUGUUAGUAAGGAUGCUUUUACUGACUUUUAAAUCCUUGAUUCUACAUUCUGAGGGAGAGAGCAAUCGGAAUGAGAUUUUUUAUGCACUUCAGCAUAUGAGAAGAAAGGGUCUCAUUGAACUAAUGCGGUUGAGAAUGAUGUUUGCUUUGCAGCAUGUGGAACGAGCGGGCUACUUACGGUGGGAUCCAGUUUCUCAUCGGUUGCCCGUGCUUAUUGUCCUGCACUUGCUGAACCAAGCUCCGGAACUGAUUCAACCUCAUCGAGUCCCCUGCUCCUGACUGGAUCACUCACUUCUUUUGCGAAUGCUGUGCUCUUUCUGAGGGAUACAGAGAGCCUAAGAACAGAGGACUUGACCCUUCCAUAGGCAAAACUGAUGUCGAAUAUAGCCAUUUGAGCUCCAAACGGACACUUAAUAAGCCAACUUAUUGCAAAUAUGGCACUACAAUACUGUCAUUAUGGUUUGAUUACCGUCACCAACCAAGAAAACUCUGCAUUUUCAGCUUUGUUUUCAGCAAGAAAUUGCUGAUGUUUAUUCUUGUUGCUUGCCAAGAUUGGCAGGGGAAUGCGGCAAACAUGCAGAAUGUGUAGUAUCAGGUUGUUAUGGUGCCUCCAAUGCAUUAGCAAGCCAUGAGAGCUUGACGAGGAACAUCACAUCGGAUCCAUCAGUGACUCAGAUCUUCCUCGUAUGUAGUCACCAAUGAGUCCAAGAAAGCGAAUGCCAAUGGAAUUAUGAAGUUUCAAUUUGCAGAUAUGAAUAACAUAUUUCUUUCUAAAAGUUUCCAUCGAUUUGAGGAACAAAUUGAAAUAAAAUUGUCGAAGAAUAUCUUACAAUAGUCCAACAACUGAUUUGCUUCUGUGCUGUAUCGUUGUUGCAUCUUGAAACAUUACUUUCUUUUCCACCAGUUAGUUUCAGACUCAUAUCUAGGAUCAUGCCACUGUUCACAAUUCUGUGACAUCCAUCAAAUCCAUAACAUCAGCUGUUUUCAGCGGCAUGAUUUUUUGGAGGUGCUCGGUUCACUAGUCGUUUCUUUGGAUUAAGCUUUCCGAACUAUGUGCUUUCUUAAUUCAACCGAGAAGGAAGGCUCCCAUCUAGAUGUGAGAGGAUGACCACUGUGAGGUGAUCGCAGCUACCACAAGAGAUACACGAUGUGAGAUGGAUGGCCUCUCGUCGACUACAACACGGUGGUUGCCAUCUCUCUCUUGCACACGCACGCGGCUCUCAGCCUAUUUGGCACCAUAUUAGCUGCAUAAGAGCCACGUGAGCCAAUGAAAAUUAAUGUAACACAUGUACGCUGAUUGUCCAGCUACUAUUCCAACGUGCUCCUCAGCACUAUGUAUAGAGCUUUUCAACCGGAAGGCCGACUGCAAACACAUUUUACAAAAAAAAAUUGUCUACCUUGUCUGGGUUCUCAAGUACUCAUUUUGGGGUUUGGCCCAUGUCUAGAAUAGGUCGAGUCGUCAUAGCAUGUCUCCUUUUGAUAGAUCUACGGUUUGUGGAUGGAAUAGGCUCAUACCCAAUCCAACAAGGCUAAGGAGUAUUGCUCAAGUGAGAGGGAUUGGACAAGGUACUACUCUUGGUAGACUUUUAAGAUAGCAAAUGGUGCAAGGAAAUGCCACGACAAUGCAGAAUGUGCAGUAUCUGGUUGCUAUGAAGCCUCCAACUUUAUAGAUUUUCUUAUUUACUUUCUUUUUUCUUUCUUUCCUUUUCUGUCCUACUAUUCAUGUUUUUCUUUGGGUGUUAAUCCAAUGUCCCCACCCCAUGGCUACAACAUUUACAAGAGCCAAUUCACUAUGCUACUAUGGGUGGAGUUUUUUCUGUUCUUCAUCUUCGUUUUCAGUAAAGACAGAGAAUUGAUUUGACAAUAGUAAUAAUAAAAAGUCAUUGAUGUUGUAAUGGCUGGCUUUUGACUUAGUCAAUAUUAACUAGUAAAAGGAAAAAAAAAAAGUGGACUCAAGAAAAUGUAUACACGUUCAAAAGAGGCAAAUAAAGAAAAUAAGAGAAAAUAAGAGAAACAAAGGCGAAAAUGUAGGAAGAAAAAGGAAAAGGAAGAAGAGUACAUGCCAUGGCGCCUCGUCAAGUUAGAUUAACUUUAUCUUGCAACGCCCAAUUAAUCUUAUCAGAGAUUUUUGAAAUAGAGCCCUAAUUUUGAAUCCUUGUGAAUUUUAAGCCAGUAGGUUAAUUCUAUGAGUUGUUAAACUGAGAAAUUAUGGGGCAUUAAUAGUUUAGGGUAUUGUAAAACUAUAGGAUUUUACAUAACUCGAUUCAAGCUUAUAGUUUGCCCGAAAUAAAAUUUUGAAAUUAUGCGCACAUGCUGUAACAUUAGCGAAUUUCCUAGUUUACCAAUGAUUAUGGCCAUUCUUAAGCUAUCUUUAGAGUUGGCAAAACUUAGGGAAUCUAAUUAUCUCGAAAGGUCUUUCAUUAGAGAGAAGAUUUGCUAAAAUCAUGGUUCAAUGAAGAGAGUUGUGGUGCAAAAAAAUUGUGACACGCAAGCUAGGCAUAGCAGACACUUUUGAAUGACUACUACAACAAGCCUUUCAUUGUUGUGUAGGAGUCGAUUGGUUGACGAACAGGCGUAGUUUAGAUCAUCAGUUAAAGUAGUGUUUUGCUUUGUCUUGACAUCAAUUCUCAUUUAAUUGAUAGAAUAUUGUCGACUCAAAUAGCUACAUUAUUUGGCUUUGAGUAUUUCUAACUGAGUGUUGUUGAUUUCUUUUAUAGUAUUAUAAAAUCCAUGUCUUAAAAUAAUAGUUAAUUUGAUAUUAUAUAUGUGUUUAUGUAUAUAUAUGUGUGUAUUGAACAAAGAAGAACAUAAUUGUUGCAUAAAACUAGAUCGAGUGUUUAUUAUGUUUUAGUUAUUGUAAGAUGGUCUGAUAAACUUUUCUUGAAUGGUCAUGUGUAUUAUUUCGUAAAAAUACUUAUGAGAUAAAUUUUGAAAAGAUUAGAGAAAUACUUUACAGAAAGGGAUUUUGAUUGAUGAAUUGAGUUGCGAAAGAUUAGAUAAUUUGGUUUAUGAUAUAGAGGUUGGAUAGGUUUGGUGGAUUUUGGAGGAUAAUGUUGUGAGUUUGUGUUGAUGCUCAUCAUCUCUGGGAACUCAUUUGAGGGGUUUGUAAGUAUGUAUACUAGUUUUAGGAUAUCUUUAUGGGUUGGCUACUAGAAAUAUAAGUAGACACCUAGUCAAGUAGAGAAUCUUAGUCGCCUUUAUCAUAAGGCAUUGAGCGUGAUGGACCAUUGACAUAUGAUUUAAUGAGAUUGAUUAGUGGACUGAACCAUUAAUACUUAUUUUGAUAUUAUUAUGUUGAAGUAAUAUAGUUCAUUUUCAUCUUGUAAAUUUGUUAUAUAUCGGAUUUAGUGUAAAUGAGUUACCUUUUUGUGUCCUAAACAUUCACAGUGGAUCCCUGAUUUGUUUAGAAGAGAUUUGUACUACUCAUUGGCCUAUAAUUGCCCAUUCCAUUUAUCUUACUUCUAUUUUUAGGUUCUUCAGGUAGCCGUAAAUAGGACAAGAGUGUUUACAUUUUGAUAGUGGGAUUUUUUUUUUUUUUUUUAUGAGUUGUUUAUGUCUGCAUUGAACUAUGAGUUUUGUUAGUUGCAGAUAUAUAUGUGUUUUUUUUAUGGAUUAUGGAAACUCUAAUCUUGUAAACAAACGACACUUUAUCAAAUAUAUGGAUGUAUAUAUAUUCCAAUAUCAAGUUGAGUUAUAGUUACGUUUAAAGCUACAUUAUUUGGAUGAAAUGACAACCGUGUCAUCCCUUAUACUUGUUGGAGUCGGGUGUGUGACAAAUGUUAUAAAGUUGAGAUUGGUAUUUUAGAUCUUAAUUGUGUGAAGUAUAGAAUUUUCCUUUCAUCGUGCCUCUGCCGCUGCUUCAAUUUUCACUUGAGGCCUGCCUUUAUCCUGCGCCACAACCACUGCUUGAAUUGUUACAAAGAGCAACUACCUUAAUACGCCAAAUCGUGGCGAAAUCGGGUGGGAAUUCGUUCGAUUCUGAUAAAUCUUCACCAUUUGCCUUGGUUUCUUGCGCCUCCAUGCAGAUUGACGCCAGCCGCAGCAAAAUGGGCUUGGCCGGGAUCACUGGGAAUUUAUGAGACUGGUUCGCUUGGGCCAGCUUUGGCACUAUUCACCGGAAAUUUGAGCAUUAUCGGGCUGAUUAUCGAGACGUGCUUGUUAGCACUGCCAUUAGAUCUACCAAAUGAGAAUUCUUUUCCGUAAUCCAUGGAGGAGCACCGGCAGCCACGCCACCAGCUCAGCUCCAACUCUAGACAAAUCAGCUUUCUUACGAUGAUUUACCAUGUUUCCCAAAGAGAUUUGGGUUUAACAGUAGUACUUCAACUUGACUUCAGAAAAAUCAGUUUUCUUGCAACGAUUUACCAUGUUUCCCUGUGAGAUUCAGGAUGAGAAAGAAGAAAGAACAAAACAAAUCAGAAAAAUCACAAAAGUAUUUAAAAUCAUGUUAUUUCAAUUCAGUUUGUCCAAAUCAUAUGAUCAGUCAUGUUACUAAAGAUGGUGAGAGAUGAUUGGAUUGGUAUGUCAACAUUUUCGGAUAAAAUUAACCAAAAAGAAUAUCUUGGAGUAUAAAAAAAAAUUAAAUUGAAAAAGUCUAAGAUUAUAUCGGAAUUUGUUAAUUUAGGACUAAAUUGGUAAUUUUCCCCAUCUUAUCUAAUCUUUCCUUCCCUCGCUUUUUCCUAGCUCUUUCCUAAAUCCCGAUGAUUAAAACAGGUUCAUCUUCGAGAGUCUACUAUCCAUGUGAACUUCUAUUCAUGGAUUCAAUUGCGAUCGUCUCAGACAUUAAACGGUAAGAUGAAGAACAUGAAACCACCACUUCUCUUAUUAUUCCUCUUCAUCUCCGUCCUGCUCGAAGCACUCAUGGUCUCAGUCACUGGUGACAAUGUUGGUGCAUACUUGCCGGUUAAUGAUAUCGCCAUCAACUGCAGCUCCCUCGGCAACUCCUCUGUGUCCAAGCAGACUUGGAUCAGGGACGCCGAGGAUGGUUCGACCUACUUUCCAAUCGAUGAAACUCAUUCCUCUAUCGUUGCAAGUGCAAACCGGUCAUCUUCCCCUGUCCACAACCGCAUCCCACACGACACUGCUCGUCUCUCCCGCUCAGAAUUCGUCUACACCUUUCGCGUCACCAUGGGGCCCAAAUUCGUUUGCCUCCACUUCCUCCCUUCGGAUUACCUCAACUCCGGGACGAUUCAUUCUUCUCGGUCAAGGCUGCCGGCUACACUCAGCUCCGCAACUUCAUCUGCAAAGAGUCCUGCUUAACCAUCGUAGCUGACCAGAUAUUGAACGUCACGUUUGCUCCCACUCCUGAUAACCCAGACGUGUACGCUUUCGUGAAUGGAAUCGAAGUUGUUUCCAAAGUGUUACGAUUUUGCGACGUCACUAAGUGCAAAACAUCUUAAAUUUACCAACUUUUAUGACCGUUUGUCAUGGAAAAGAAGAAAUUGUCAUAAGUUGAGGAUUUCUUUACAGAGAGUGAUGACGUCAUGACAAGAGCAAAACGUCCAAGAUUAGGAUGUUUUUCCAAAUACAACUAUUUACAAAGGGUUAUGUGUGGCAUCCUAGAAAUUCAAAGCCAAGCCAUAAGGUGUGUUAAAGUCUUUAAUUAGGUGAUAGAAUUUCCAUGGCUUAUGUUUUAGCCAUUAGUCUUUUAAUUUGAUGAUUUGUGCUUGUGAUUGUGGAAAUUUAAAUUUGAUAGAUUAAUAAUUUAUGCUUGGCCAUGUGCUUAAUAAAUUAAAUUUCAAUAACCAAGAUGUCCCAAGACUUUGGCCAAGAUAAAAUUUGAAUUUGGAAAUAUUUAUAGAAGAAUUUCAAAAAAAAAAGAAGGGAAAAAGAGGUUAAAAUUUGAUUGGGCCUUAAGCCCAAGAGUGGAACCCUAAUGGGCCAAGCUAGUCAGCCCAAGAGGGAGUUCGACCGGCCCAUUAGAGCCCACAAGGAGGCUGUCGACCAGCCCAAGGAGGAGUGGCCGGAUGGCCCAAGCCCAAGCCCAACUCCAAGGCCCAUCUUGCAUGGAUCAAGACAAGUGGCAAGGAGAAGGCCAUGCAUUGGCCAUUGGUUGAGGCAAAUCAAUCAUUACUAAUGAUGAGCUUUAGGGGAAAUAAAAGGGGAGAAGAGAGAGAAGGUGGCCGGUUUUGCUUGAUUCGGCCGAGAGAGAGGGAGAGAGAGAGAGAGAAAUCGCGAGAGAGAGGGAGAGACCGAGAGGGAGAGGAGGCAGAGCCGAGGAGGAGCUGCCAUGUCUCGCCGUCCGUUCGCCGUACGCCGUCGUUUGUUCAUCCUAGAGGCAAGUGGAGUCCUCUAAAUUCUCUUGCAUGUGUGUAUAUGGUUUGCAUGUUCGAUUUUGGGUGUUAUUUGUGAGAAAAACCGAGGUAAGGGUUGGUUGUUUUCAAGCCGUGUGACUGUUCUUGCUCGGGUUGUAGGAGUCAGUAACUUGUUUGAGCUUGAAUGUGUGUUUGGAGUCCGAUUUUGGAUUCGAUGUCUUCAUGGAAGUUUUAGCUAACAUAUCUUAGUAUAACAUACUGAAAUUUCGUGGAAAAUUAUGGAGAUAUGAGGGGUCAAAGUCCUAUUCUACGGAGACCCCAGAUCUGUGAAGUUUUCACUGACCUCUUGUUGAAUUCUUGGUUGCAUGUUGGUUUGUGAUGAAAAUAUGACUUUGAUGUCUUCAUGAAAGUUGUAGGUAACAUCUUAAAAUACAACAUACUCAAAUUUUAAGGGAUAUGAACAAGUAUAGCCUAGUAAAUCGGCUAGAUCUUGGAGACGAUGAUUCUGGUGAUGUGUUCCGAGACACCCGAGACUUCAUAGACUUAAAUGGUGACCAUAAUUUGGUUAUUUGACCUAGAUCUCUUCAUGAAACUUGUAAAGGACACUUUGAUACAUAACAUAUCCAAAUUUCAGAGGAAACAAAAGAGAAUAGAUGGGUGAAAUCUUAAUAUUUCGGAGAUGUGUAUUCUGGACGAUGCGGUAGUGGUUCCAGAAGCUUCGUGAGGUCGUGUAAAAUAAUAUAAAAAGAAUCUGGCCUGGAGUUUUUCAUGAAAGUUGUGCGAAAAUGUCUUGGCUAUCACGCUGUAAAAUUUCGUAAUUUUUGGAGGCCAUAUGGAUAUUUUAAUCGAAUUUAUUCAGAAACUGUGCAUUCUGGUUGUUAUCCGAAUAUUAUGUGCUAUUUAGUGGAACUUGUGAAAUUGUGUGAAAUUCAAGUUGGCCAUGAAUUUUGCAUGCAAUUGUCAUUCUAUUGGUUUGAUUAAUGAUUGUUUGAAUUUUAUGAUUUUGGGAAAAUCAUAGAUAUUGAAUUUAAUAUUUAUUUAUGGAAAUAAAUAAAUAAGAUAAUAAAAAUAAUAAUAAAAUAAUCAAAAUAAAAUAAAAUGGAUUAUUUUAUUGGCCAUAAAUUCCAUUGAAUUUAUUUAUAAAUAAAUAUGCAUUGUUGCAUGUAUGAUAAGACAUUGGUAUAUGUAUGACCAUGAAUUGUGAUGCAUGUGUGAAUCAUAUGCCAUGUUAAAUGAGAUUAAAGCAAUGAUAAAUGUGGAUAAUGAUAAGUGAGUAAGUGGUUGUGGUGGAGGAUGAGGCCGGAAUGUACAGAGAUGCAUUGUCGGAAUUCCCUGGGAGAUUCAGGAUGCCCGGAAUGUGGGGGGCCGGAAGCCUUGUCGGAGGUCUUUACCCGAAAGGAAUGUCUCACGAUGCUAGAAUUGGGGUGCGAGAUGCCUGGCUAGAAAGGGUAAAGGCCGGAAGCCCUGUCGGAGGUUUCUGCCCGAAGGGAAUGCCUCGUGAUGCUAGUUGAGAUGCGAGAUGCCCGGAAUGUGGGGGGCCGGAAGCCCGGUGGCCAUGGGAUGGCUGGAAUGCUGGGAACCCUAUCGGAGGUCUUUGCCCGAAGGGAUGAUGAAAUUGAUGAUAUGAGAAAUGGGUGAUGUGGUGAUCAAACUUAAAGAUAAAAGAUGAAAAAUGAACCCAUGAUAUGAUAUGCAUGAUGAUAUGCAUGAUGAUGAUGAUGAUGAUGAUGAUGAUGAUAUGUGAUGUGAUAUGAUGAUCACCCAUGAUAUGAUAUGCAUGAUGAUGAUGAUGAUGAUGAUAUGUGAUGUGAUAUGAUGAUCACCCAUGAUAUGAUAUGCAUGAUGAUGAUGAUGAUGAUGAUGAUGAUGAUGAUGAUGAUGAUGAUGAUGAUGAUGAUGAUGAUGAUGAUGAUAUGUGAUAUGAUAUGAUGAUCACCCAUGAUAUGAUAUGCAUGAUGAUGAUGAUGAUGAUGAUAUGUGAUAUGAUAUGAUGAUCACCCAUGAUAUGAUAUGCAUGAUGAUGAUGAUGAUGAUGAUGAUGAUGAUGAUGAUGAUAUGUGAUGUGAUAUGAUGAUCACCUAUGAUAUGAUAUGCAUGAUGAUGAUGAUGAUGAUGAUGAUAUGUGAUGUGAUAUGAUGAUCACCUAUGAUAUGAUAUGCAUGAUGAUGAUAUGCAUGAUGAUGAUGAUGAUGAUGAUAUGUGAUGUGAUAUGUGACACCCCUCGCCGGCCCCCGAUCCAUUAGGGUCGCCACAGUUCACUCUACCUUUAACUUUCCCUAUUAACAUGUUACUCUGAUACCAUUUCAAUUGCAGCGGGUCCAUACAACUAUAGGGGUUCACACAUUUUUUUUUUCUCUUUUUAACUAAAGGUCCCUUGCACAAUUCAUAUACGGAAGCACGUCCAACAACUCCCUUCCCUAUAUUCAGAAAACAAUGCACACCUACUAAACAUUUAUAGGUAAAUGCUGUACACUUUUUAUUUACUUAAAUCAGAUGGACAUCAUUCAUCGGUACAUCAAAAUGUCAUAGUCUUCUAUAUUCGGCUACACUCCAAAAGAUGACCGAUGUUUCCUCAAACAGUCAUACACUUUAAGUCCAUCGAUCAGUGUCGGCGUUCAAAAGCUCCUUCCUUUGCUAUCCUCCUCCUCAUCCAACCGUUCAAACCCUCUAGUAAUCUGAAAUGUUGGUCCCCAAAAGGGGUGAGUACAACCACUCAGCAGGUAAAGGAAUCCAAUAACCACUCGAUGCAUCAUACAAGUCAUACAUGCAUUGCAAGCAUUACUUACCUUGAAGCCAUGCACAUACUAUCAUGCAUCAUCAUAUCAAUUUAUAACACAUACAUGUGUAUCAUCAUCGUAUCAUACAUGUCAUCAUCAUCAUGACAUCAUUACCUUACACAUGUCAUCAUCAUCAUGGCAUUAUCACAUUACACAUGUCAUAUCAUAUAUCAUCAUCAUUAUCAUCACCAUGCAUAUCAUCAUGCAUAUCAUAUCAUGGGUGAUCAUCAUUAUUUCACAUCACAUAUCAUCAUCAUUACCAUGCAUCCAUGCAUGUAACAUCAUCGCCAUAUCCUCAUAUCACAUGUGCCAUCAUCAUUACCAUGCAUCCAUGCAUGUAACAUCAUCAUCACAUCAUGCAUAUAUCAUCAUGCAUAAUUUAAUUUCAAUUUCAUUUUGAAUUGCCGCAUUUCUCUUCUCCCGGGAUCAAUGUUUGCAUCCCACAUUCAUCACUCGCGCCCAAUCCAGGCAUUGCGAGAACCAUCCGGGCAUGUAUCCAAUAUACAACCGGUCAUCCGGCACCUCCACAUUCCGGGUAUCUCGUAUCCCAACUGACAUCACGAGGCAUCCGGGCAUGCAUCCAAGAUACAACCGGGCAUCCAAAGGGCAUCGACUCAUUCGAACCUUUGGGCAUCUCGCACCCCACCUGGCAUCACGAGGAAUCUCCGGGGCUCGCCAUGAAAAUGGUUACCCCUACCCUCCGGGCAUGCAUCAUGAUACAACCCCUCACCCUCCGAGUAUGUAUCAUAAUACAACCGGGCAUCCCGACACUCCCGGGGAAAACCUCUGGGCAUGUAUUCAUAAUACAACUAGGCAUCCAAAGGGCAUCGAUUCAUUCGAACCUUUGGGCAUCCCGACUCCCGGGGCAUUGUCGGCUCAACCUCCGACGGUAUCAUCAUCACCACGAUGCAUAUUCUCAUACAUCUCAUUUCUCAUCUUCUACAUUUACUAAUAUUUUGAUCUCAAUUUAACACGGCACAUAUCGUGACAUCAAACAAGUCAUACUUGGCAUAGCAUUCACACAUGCAUCACAAUUCAAUGUCAUACAUACACCAAUAUCUCAUCAUACAUGCUACAAUGUAUAAUUAUUUAUUAAUAAAUUCAAUGGAAUUUAUGGCCAAUAAAAUAAUCCAUUUUAUUUUAUUAUUAUUUAUUAUUAUUUUUAAUAAAUAAAUAUUAAAUUCAAUAUCUAUAAAUUCCCAAAAUUAUAAAAAUUCAAGCAACUACAAACCAAUAGAAUUACAUGCAAAAUUCAUGGCCAAAUCGAAUUUCACAAAAUUUCACAAUUUCCACAAAACAGCCCAUAAUAUUCGGAUAAAACCAGAAUGCACAGUUUCCGUAGAAAUUCAAUUAAAAUAUCCAUACGGCCUCCAAAAAUUACGAAAUUUUACUGAGUUAUAGAAAAGACAUUUUUGUACAAAUUUCAUGAAGAACUCCAAGCCAGAUUAUGUUUAGCUUAUUUUAUACAGUCUCACGAAGCUUCUGGAUCCAUUACCGCAUCGUCCAGUGCACACAUCUCCGAAAUACUGAGGUUUCACCUACCUAUUCUCUUUAUUUUUCUCUGAAAUUUUGGUAUGUUAUACAUCAAGAUAUCCUUUACAAGUUUCAUGAAGAGAUCUAUGUCAAAUAACCAGAUUAUAGUCAUCAUUUAGGCCCUUGAAGUCUCGGGUGUCUCGGAACACAUCACCAGAAUCAUCGUCUUCAAGAUCUAGUUGAUUUACCAAGCUAUACUUGUUAUUUUCACUUAAAAUUUUAGUAUGUUGUAUUUUAAGAUGUUCCCUACAACUUUCAUGAAGAAACUGAAGUGAUAUUCUCAACACAAACCAACAUGCAACCACAAAUCCAACCAAAGGUCAGUAAAAUCUUUCCAGAUCUGGGGUCUCCGUAUAAUGAGACUUUAACCCCUAAAAUCUCCAUAAUUUUCCACUAAAUUUCAUUAUGUUGUAGUUUAAGAUGUUAGCUACAACUCUCAUGAAGAUAUCACAGCCAAAAUCGAACUCUAAACAUGCAUGCAAGCUCUCACAACAUUCUGACUCAAACAGUUCAUAAGAAAAUAUUCCAGAUCUAGCAUCUCCGUAGGAUAAGGGUUUGACCCCUCAAAUCUCCAUAAUUUUCCACAAAAUUUCAGUAUGUUAUAGUUCAAGAUGUUAGCUACAACUUUGAUGGAGAAAUAGAAGCCAAAAUCGGACUCUAAACACACAUGCAAGCUCAAACAAUUUUCUGACUCCAAACUGUUCAUGCGAAAACAUUGGUGCAAGAGUAGAAAGUGGAUUCCAAACUUGCCUCUAGACCUCACGAACAGCACGAGCGGACGGCACACGGCGGCGAACGGGCUCCUUUCUCUCCCUCUCGGCUUCCUCUCUCUCUCGCACGAUUCUCUCCCUCUCUCCCUCACUUGGCCGAAUGGCUAACCGGCCAUUCUCUCUCCUCUUCUUCCCUUUUAUAUUGCAUGCAUUCUAGGUUUGCAUGAGGGACAAGUGUAAUUGUGGAGGAAGACAAGUGUCCACCAUGCUUCACCUCCUCCAUGCCACUUGUCCUAUUACAUGCAUCAUGGGCCGGCCACCUCUUCCUUUGGGCCUUAAUGGGCCGGUCGAACUCCCUCUUGGGCCGACUAGCUUGGCCCAUCAAGCUUAGGCCAAAUGGGCUUAAGGCCCAUUCAAAAAUUAACCCCUUUUUCCCUUUUUUUUUUUUUUAUGAAUUCCUUCUAUAAAUAUUUUUAAAUUUCCAUUUUCAUCUUGGCCAAAGUCUUGGGACAUUUUGUUCAUUGAAAUUUUAUUUAUAAAGUACAUGGCCAAGCAUAAAUUAUUAAUCUAUCAAAUUUAAAUUUUCACAAUCAUAUGCACAAAUCAUCUAAUUAAAGACUAAUGGCUAAAGCAUAAGCCAUGGAAAUUUUUAUCACCUAAUUAGGAACUUUAACACACCUCAUGGCUUGGCUUUGAAUUUUGGGAUGCCACAUGAUAUGAUGAUCACCCAUGAUAUGAUAUGCAUGAUGAUAUGCAAUGGUGAUGAUGAUGAUAAUGAUAUAUCAUAUGGCAUGUGUAUUGUGAUGAUGUCAUGAUGAUGAUGACAUGUAUGAUGUAAUGAUGCCAUGAUGAUGAUGAUGAUAUAAUGAUGCCAUGUAUGGUACGAUGAUGAUAUACAUGUAUGUGUUAUAAAUUGAUAUGAUGAUGCAUGAUAGUAUGCGCAUGGCUUCAAGGUAAGAAAUGCCUGCAAUGUAUGAUGAUAUGCAUGAUGCAUUGAGUUGUUAUUGGAUUUCCCUAUCUGCUGAGUGGUUGCUCACCCCUUUUGGGGAAUAACAUUUCAGAUUAGCAUGAUAGUAUGCGCAUGGCUUCAAGGUAAGAAAUGCCUGCAAUGUAUGAUGAUAUGCAUGAUGCAUUGGUUGCUCACCUCUGAUGAUGUCAUGAUGAUGAUGACAUGUAUGAUGUAAUGAUGCCAUGAUGAUGAUGAUGAUGAUAUAAUGAUGCCAUGUAUGGUACGAUGAUGAUAUACAUGUAUGUGUUAUAAAUUGAUAUGAUGAUGCAUGAUAGUAUGCGCAUGGCUUCAAGGUAAGAAAUGCCUGCAAUGUAUGAUGAUAUGCAUGAUGCAUUGAGUUGUUAUUGGAUUUCCCUAUCUGCUGAGUGGUUGCUCACCCCUUUUGGGGAAUAACAUUUCAGAUUAGCAGUAUGCCGCUUUCUGCCGUCUCGCGGGGGGUGUUUUAUGGUCUACCGUCCGAUGUAGAGGUCGAGUGUGCGGAGAUAGACUGCCCCUCUGUUCCCGGACUGACUUUUAUUCGAGUACGUUGUCUAGUGAUGUAUGACAUAGGCCUGGCUGGGGGCCCUGUCAUUCAGGAGUUCAUUUCUGUGCAUGUUCGUCGGGAUGGAGCUAUGCGAGGGAUGUUGUCGCCGCCACCGCCUGAUGCACCGGGUUGGGUGUGAGACCUGCGCGCGAUGAGUAGGAGCUGGAUCUCUUUUUGAUGUAGAUAGUCGACACUUUCGAUGGGGGGUUUUGUGCUCGUAUGAUGUUAAGGGUCGAGGUUUCUUUUUGAGAUUUUAGGCAGGACAUGGCAGAGUCCUAGCCUUUCUUGUUUUGUACCGACCCGAAGGGAAUCCCAUCUUGCUAUAUAUGUAUGUAAGCAAAGUGUCGAAGUUGUUUAUAAAAUCCUGAUGUUUAGCUGGUGUGUAUUGGUAUCAUGGAUUUGUAGGGGGAUAGAUGGUGAUGUUUAAUUUGCUUCCGCUAUGAGUCACGCUGGGACCGCUUUUUAAAAAAAAAAAAUGCCUGUGAUUAACGACGCUUGUUCUAAGUACAAGAUAGGAAAAUGUAAUAAAGUGUAACAUCAGAGCUUGUGGCGAUCGCCGAAGGGUUCGGGAUGCUACAUUAUGUUUGUUUGCCCUAAAUAAGGAUAAAAUGCCAUAAUCUUGUAUUGUUUUUUUUUCAACUACAACGCUUUGUGAAAGUAACCAUGAACAAAAUGUUGCAAAUUUUAAAAUUACAAUGAUUUUAAAAAAUUUCAACGUUCCAUUGUAACCAAAAACUUAACAUUGUGAAUUUAAAUCCUUUCAAACUACAACGGCUUAUAAAGAUUGCAACAAUCAUUGUAACUAACAAUAUAACCUCAUAAAACUUUAUUAAAUUUGAUUUUUACAGUGCCAUGACAUCAAUAUUCUAGGGGUCUGGCACCCAUUUGCUAGUGCUUAAAGCAUCACAAAUUUCAUUUUAGUAUGUCGGACGUGCAUUUUCUAGUAUCAGACAUCUAACUUUCAACAAUUGGGAUCCUUCCAUCUUAAUCUAAUGGUUGACAUUUAUGGGUUACGGUAUAAGAUUAAAAUCUCAGAAGUCUCUGACUAAGCAUCGAUGGAUUUAUCCAGUAUAUGAUAUAUCAAUAACGCGUUUGAUAAUAUUUCCGUUACAUAAAUAAUUUUCCUCCUUGAAAUGACAAAAGUUGAAAAUGGAAGGACACGAUAUAGAAAACACUAGGGGUAAGUAUGGUUCCAGGAUAGAACCUAAAAUCUGAGAAUCAAACCGGUAGGAACUUGUAGGUUCAAGGUUCCAAGGUAUGUAGAAUAAGUUUUAUGUUAAAAAAAAUGAGAAAUUUAUUUCAACGGAUAGAUUCUGGGUUCUUAGUUAUAGGUUCCAAGUUCUUAGUUGGAAGGACCCAGAACUUGGAACCUAGAACUCGAAACAAGUUUAAAUAUUCCUUUUGAUUUAUGUCUUCAUGCAAUCUUCCGAUAUUCCAUGAUAUUCGAUAAUGAGUGUAUAAUCUGAAAGCACUAGUUUGAGUUUCCAUUUUAUGGCUAAGUUUUUUACUUUAUUAAUAUUCAUAUUUUUCAUGUAUUUAAAUAUAAGUUAUGAUUAAUGAAUUGUAAUCGUUCAAAUAAUAAUAUAAGUGUGAUCUAAGUAGACUUUGGAACCUAUGACAGAAUAUGUUCCAAAUUCUAGAGUAUGCAAGAUAGGUUUCAGGUUCCAAAAAAGUGAGGAAUUUGUUUGGACAAGUAAGUUCCAAGUUUUAGAUGAAACAUGUACGACACUUAGAACCGUUCACCCCUACUUUUAUUUAGUUGAAUUCCUUGCCAAUAAUUUUUUUUUUUUUUUAUAGUUUUGUUCAUUUUAUAUUCUCUUUGAUGAACAACAAGCUUGUUUAUUAUUAUCGCGUUCAGUUUCAUGAAAAAAAAAAUCCAUUGGACCUUGGAACUGAUCAUGGAACCGAUCUUGGAAUCUGUUACAGUGUAAAUUUCAGGUUUUAGGUCCCGAUGGGUAGGUUUUAAAUUCCAGAAAAUGAGAAAUUUGUAUUCGAAGGUAAGUUUUAGGUUUUAGGUGAACCUGUAAAGAAUUUGGAACCACCCACCUCUAGAAAACACAGUUUGGAGGUGGUCCCUAAGAGCAUUAUUGCAUAAGACCCGACAGUCGCACUGCUGACCUGACGUGACCUUCCUAAGGCAAUUGAACCUUCCACAUAAAGCGCACCCGGAAGGACCCAAAUCCCGUCCGCUGAUUUUCUUGUGAUAGGCGAGGGCUCUAUCCCCGUGCAGAUACCUUAGCGACGACUUUGGUCUUUCACUAAUCUCGUCACUAGUGCCGGCCGUCUCUUCCACUGUUCUUCCUAAUUCCCCAUUAGUCAAAACUGGUUCAUCUCCGAGACCCUGCUCUCCUCGUGCUUUUCAUCGAUUUGUCCGCGAUCCUCUGUCGUCGAGCAGCGAGAUGACGAACAUGAAACCACCACUUGUAUUAUUCAUCUUCAUCUCCGUCUCGCUCGAAGCACUCCCGGUCUCAGUCACUGGCGACAACGUUGGCGCUUACCAUCCAACCGAUGAUAUCGCCGUUGACUGUGGCUCCAACACCAGCUUUCUUGUGGGUAGACGGAAUUGGAUAGGAGACGCCGCUGACAGUUCGGACUACUCUCCAAAUGAGAAAACUCACUCCUCUACCGCAGCAGAGGCAAGCAGUUCAUCUCCCAGCAUCCCUAGCGCCGCCCCAUACCUCACGGCUCGCCUCUCCCGCUCCGAGUUCGCCUACACCUUCCACGUCAACGCAGGGCCCAAAUUCGUUCGCCUGCACUUCUUCCCUUCGGAUUACCCCAACUUCCGCCGUGUUGAUUCCUUCUUCUCAGUCGAGGCCGCUGGCUACACCCUGCUCCGCAACUUCAGCGCUUCCCACUUUGCUGAUUACUCCCCCUCCGUGGGCUUCUUCUCUAAAGAGUUCUGCUUAAGUGUCGGAGAGGACCAGAUAUUGAAGAUAACGCUCACUCCCACUCCUGGUAAUUCAGACGCGUAUGCUUUCGUGAAUGGAAUCGAAGUCGUUUCCAUGCCCGAACGUCUCUACUACAACGCCGUCAUCGACUCAAACGAGGGAAUCAAGUUCGCAGGUCAGACGACGCCAUACACCUUGGAUACCACUAAAGCUCUGGAAGCGGUGAAGCGCUUGAACGUGGGAGGACAGUAUGUCAGUCCAGCUUAUGACACGGGAAUGUACAGGACCUGGGAAGCAGAUGACGAGUACGUGACUUCCUCGUACACUGGAGUUUUUUCAUUUAACACAACUACCCAACUCAAUUACGGUGAGCAAGUGCCAAAUUACACGGCUCCAGAUAGCGUAUACACAACUGCAAGGACUAUGGGAACGCACAAAAAUAUCAAUCUGAGCUACAAGCUCACCUGGUCCGUCGUGGUGGAUACGAACUUCACCUACUUGGUCCGGUUACACUUCUGCCAAUGCCAGAUGGAGAUAAAUGAGCCCUUAGAUAGGGUUUUUAAGAUUUUUAUGAAUUCACAACUGGUCGAUGCGGAUGUCAUUAGUUGGAGCGGGAAGGGCGUGCCCGUCUAUAGAGAUUUUACAGUAGCCCCGUAUGACGGCGGAAAGAAGAGAACCAACCUCUCUGUCGCGUUGGGCGCACUUCUACAUGGUUCUACUUUUUACUCUGAUGCCAUCUUGAAUGGCCUCGAGAUUUUCAAGAUCAGCGAUCCAGACAGGAAUCUUGCAGGGCUGAACUCGGAUCCAACUCCACCGGCAAGCAAAGCAUCGUCGAGCCUCAGCAAAGCAGCAAAAAUUGCCGUCGUUGCUGGUGGAACUUCGGGCUUCACCGUGCUCUCUCUCCUGGCUUUCUUUCUUUACCGGCGAAGAAACAGAGCGAAGGAUUCAACCUCGAGCGACGGCACCUCACGGUGGGGCCCGGUCUCCCACGCGACGACCAAGUCAACGAAGAGCCGGGGGUCGUCCCUGCCGUCGGAUCUGUCCCGCCACUUCUCGCUGGCGGAGAUCAGAGCGGCCACGAACAACUUCGACAAGGUGUUUAUUAUCGGCGUGGGCGGGUUCGGCAACGUGUACAAGGGCUACGUCGAUGGCGGGGCCACUCCAGUGGCGAUCAAGAGGCUGAACCAGGGAUCGCAGCAGGGCCUCCAUGAGUUCAGGACCGAGAUCGAGAUGCUCUCGCAGCUCCGGCACCUCCACCUGGUCUCCCUGAUUGGGUUCUGCAAGGACGCGGGAGAGAUGAUCCUCGUGUACGACUACAUGGCACGCGGGACCCUCAAAGACCAUCUCUACAACACCGAUAAUCCCCCACUCCCCUGGAAGCAGCGGCUCGAGAUCUGCAUAGGCGCCGCGUGGGGGCUCCACUACCUCCACAGCGGUGCCAAGCACACCAUCAUACAUCGUGACGUGAAGACGACCAACAUCCUGCUCAACGAGAAGUGGGUUGCCAAGGUGUCCGACUUUGGGCUCUCGAAGGUCGGACCCACGAGAGAGUCUAAGACGCACGUCAGCACGGCCGUGAAGGGCACCUUCGGGUACCUGGACCCGGAGUACUACAGGCGCCAGCGACUGACUGACAAGUCCGACGUCUAUUCCUUCGGCGUGGUGCUGUUCGAAGUGCUGUGUGCAAGGCCUGCCGUGAGCCGGAUGGCCCCGAUGGAGCAGAUCAGCCUGGCUGAGUGGGCCCAGAGUUGUUGUAAGAGCGGGUCCGUCGAAGAAAUGGUGGACCCGCACCUGAAGGGGGCUAUCGCCCUCGAGUGCCUCAACAAGUUCUGCGAGAUCGCUAUGAGCUGCUUGCAGGACGAGGGGGCCAAGCGACCAUCCAUGAACGACGUUGUGUGGGGCCUCAAUUUCGCACUGCAGCUACAGGUGAGCACAGAGCUGGAAGUGAAGGAUCAUGCGGGUGUGUCAGUGCAUGAUAGCGAUGACAGCGACCAUGACGCAGCUUCGAUCAGAGGUAGCGGCAGCGAUGAGGCGAUCAACACUAGUGAUAGCGAUAGUGGUGGUUGGAAGAGCAGUAGGGAAACUGUGACGUCGACCAGAGCCGGAAGCAAUGAUGUUUGUGAUGAGAGUAUGACUAGUUAUGACUCAGAGAAGUUGCCUUGAGAAAAUAUUAGGUGCUCAAGUGUGACGCUCAAAACGUUAUUUGACACGUGUUUCUUAUAUUAUUACUCUCUUUUAACAUAUGAAAGCGUAAUUAAAUAUUUACUAUUAUUUUCUUAACAAUUAAAGGCCUUACAAGUAUAAUCAUCAUAUUGAUGCCUCUUUUGUUUAUACCACAUUUGAGGUCAUAAUCUUAUUAUAUUACGAGCAAACAAACAAAAAUUUGGAUAGGGGUGUGUCAAAAUGUGAAGGGAAAGGUAAAUCGAGAGAGGUGAGGUGUAGAAAUUUCUGUGUAUUCUCCAUAUUGUAACAUGAGCACAAUACAUUGUAUUUAACUACAAAGGAAGAAAUAAUAAAGGAAAAUAAUUAUCCCUAUCUUUCUAGGCCUAAGAUAGACAAUAUUACAUAUCAAUUUACAAUUUGACAUGAUUUGCUAAACUUUCCUAUCUUCUGCGUAUCUUCCAACGCUCCCCCUCAAGCUGGUGGCUUGUAGAUGUCCAAGACGCCUAGCUUGCUCAAGAGAUACGCAUGCUGUUUUUGACACAUAGGUUUGGUGAAGACAUCCGCCGGUUGUUCUUGCGUUCCAAUCCCUUGUGUCUCAAUCAUCCCUUCCUGGAUUUUUUCUCGGGUGAAAUGACAAUCGACUUCAAUGUGCUUUGUUCUCUCAUGCACGAUAGGAUUUGAUGCAAGUUUGAGAGCUGCAUCAUUGCCGCAGAACAAUCUUGUUGAUCCCUUGACAUGCACUCCAAGAUCCUGAAGUAACCCUCUCAACCACACUAUUUCACAUGUGGUUUUAGCCAUGGCUCGAUAUUCUGCCUCUGUCGAAGAUAACGAGACAGUUGGUUGUUUCUUCGUUCUCCAGGAAAGUAAAGAAUCCCCUAAUUUGAUACAAAGACUGGUUAUUGACCUUCUGCUCAUAGGACAGGUUGCAUAAUCUGCAUCGCAAUAUGCGAUCAUUUUCAUGUCACACUUCCUAGAGAGAAGAAUCCCAAGACCAGGACAUUUCUUCAAGUACCUUACGACUUUCAGCGCAGCAUUCAUAUGAGACUGUUUUGGCUUAUGCAUGAACUGACUAAGUGUCUGCACAACGUAACUUAUGUCUGGUCUAGUCAUAGUCAAAUAUAUGAGCUUCCCGACAAGCUUCUAAUAGCCCAAAGGAUCUUUGAGAGUAGGGUCUGCCUCCUGAGGCACUUCAACAUCAUAAUCAACGGUUGUCAGCUUGACAUUUUGUUCAAUAGGCACUACAGCUGGCUUACACCCAGAUAAUCCUGCUUCUGAAAUGAUCUCCAAUGCAAAUUUUCUCUGACUGAGACAAAUUCCUUGACUAGAUCGAGCAAUUUCAAUCCCAAGAAAAUACUUUGGUGAUCCCAGAUCUUUAAUAUGGAAAGGAGAAUGCAAGUAUCCUUUAAGGCCUUUGAUAGCUAUUUCAUCAUUCCCUAUAAUGAGUAUGUCAUCUAUAUAUAUCAUCAAGUAGAUAGAUGACGUACCUUGAGUCCAUGUGAAUACAGCAUAAUCAAAUCUGGAUUGUUGAAAACCAGCAGCUAUUAGUGAUUCAGCAAAUUUUGCGUACCACUGUCUGGAUGCUUGCUUGAGUCCGUACAAGGAUUUGCGGAUACGACAUACUUUAUUCUCCCCCUGUCUCCGUAAGCCUUGAGGUACUUCCAUAUAUAGCUCCUCGUCUAAAUCACCAUGGAGAAAGGCAUUAUGAACAUCCAUCUGAUGUAACGACCAGUCGUGAGAAGCUGCUAUAGAGAGAAAAGAGCAAACUGUGACAUCUUUGGCCACGGGGGAAAAAGUCUCGUGAUAAUCGAAACCUUCCUUCUGUGUGAAGCCUUUAGCCACAAGUCACACCUUGUAUCGUUCAAUCGAUCCAUCUGCUCGAUAUUUGAUCUUGUAGACCCAUUUACAUCCAAUUGCUUUACGAUGUGGAGGUAAAGCAACAAGAUCCCAUGUAUGGUUAUCCACGAGGGCUUUCAAUUUUGCCUCCAUUGCCGUUUGCCAUCGUGGAUCAGUGCUUGCCUCAUGAAAGUUGGAUGGUUCUUGGUCUUUAGAAAUACGAGCAAUGCAACAUCAAUGCAUUGCGGAUAAACGAUAGAAGGAAACAUAAGAGGAGAUUGGAAAAGGAAUACCUGGUGAAUUCCUGACUCCACAUAUAUAGUCUUUAGUCCAGGUAGGAGGUCGAGUAGCACGUCCAGAACGUCUGGGUGGAUCCUCUCCUGAAGAUGUAUUGUCUGGGAUUUCCACUGGAAGUGAGUCUGGGAUAGGUAGAUCUGAAGAAAUCUCAUUAUCAUUCAGUCUUUCAUCCUGGGCUUCCUCUAAAGGUGUUGUGCUGUUAGUGGAGUUGAAAACACCUUGUGUAUCCGUCGGCGGAGGAAUAAAUAUAUAUCUGGAACCUGCAGAUCCAUCAUCAGCAGAAUAGGUUGGAGAAUGCCCUGGUUCAGUGCCACUUUUGUUCUGGUGGACAAAAGGGAAAAUAGUUUCUUGGAAUAUAAUAUCUCUGCUGACAGAAAAUUCUCCAGUACUCGGAUCAUAAAUUCGAUAUCCCUUUUGUAAGGUAGAAUAUCCCAUGAAUAUGCAGUAGCGAGCACGUGGACCCAUCUUAUCUUUGGGCCCGACAAUAGCAGCGUAGCAGAGACAGCCAAAAACUCUCAAGUGGCUCAAGUCAGGCUUCUUUCCAAAAAGUACCUGGAAAGGAGACUGUCCAUCCAUAACUUUAGUCGGCAUUCGAUUUAUUAAAUAAGCAGCAGUCAAUAUGCAAUCUCCCCAAAAUGUAUCUGGAAUAGAAGCUUGAAACUUCAAAGCUCUGGCAACCUCUAAGAGAUGACGAUGCUUCCUUUCCACCACUCCAUUUUGUUGUGCUGUAUAAGUACAGGAGCUCUCAUGUAAAAUUCCUUGAGAUGAAAGGAGAUCCGCACAUUCAUGCUUAAAGAAUUCCUUCCCAUUGUCUGUCCUUAUUUUUUGCAUAGGUUUUCCAAACUGGGUUUUGGAUAAGGAAAGAAAGGUUUUCAAGUGAGACACAACUUGACUUUUAGACUGCAUGAGGAAGAUCCAGGUGGCUCUAGAAUGAUCAUCCACAAUGGUAAGGAAAAAACGAGAUCCAUCAUGAUUUACUGUAUGGUAGGGUCCUCAGACAUCAAUAUGUAGUAAGGAAAAGAUAUUUCUCGAACGACUUUGACUUAAAGGGAAAGGAUUACGCGAUUGCUUUGCAAGAGGGCAAAUUUGACAAUGAGGGUAAGGAAAUUGAGAACUAUGACCCAAUCUGGAGUGCAAAAGGAAAUUUCUAUCAUUGGAAAUUGAGUUACACAAUGAUUUCUUAUUACAAGGAAAAUUAAAAUUUGCAGGCAAGCUUUCCAGAAAAACAAUCCUUCAGAGAGACUACCCCAGCCCAUCAGUGUCCCAGUCGAAAGGGCCUGAAAUAGACAUGUAUCAGUGUUGAAAAGAACUCGACAAGAGUUGUCCUUACAGGCUCUAGACACUGAAACCAGAUUAAAUUGGAAGUCCGGAAUAUAGAAGACAUUAGUAAGGAUAAUAUGGGGAUUAAGUUCCAUUGUUCCUGUUGUAGUGACAUAGGCAACACUUCCAUUGGGUAAUUGCACAGUGACAGGAUUUUCUAACUCUUCAUUAACAGCAGAAAAUAAUCUUCUAUCACAUGCUAUAUGAUCACUGGUUCCUGAGUCUAUAAUCCAAGUAUUUCUAGAAAUAGUACUUGUCAGGCAAUAUGAAAUACCUGUAAAGCUGCUUCCCUUUUUUCUGGACAUCCAAUUUCUGCAAAGCCUGCAUAAGUUGUUGAUAUUCCCCAUGUGUAAUAGGCUGAUUAGCAGAAUUCAUUGAUCCUGAAAUUUGAUAGGCUGUUGCAGAUAUUUCUUUUCCUCUUUUUUCCUUUUCUCCAGGCCUGCCAUGUAAUUUACAGCAGGUAUCGAUGGUAUGAUGGGGCCGCUUGCAAAAAUCGCAAAAUAAUUUGCCUUUAUUUCGAAAAUUUGGCCCAUAUCCUUUCGAAUUUUGAGGACCGUUGGAUCCUCUUAAAGCAGACGUAUCUCCACCGUCCAGAUGAUCCGAAGAUCGCGUGCGUCUGGAGCCGUCGGAUCGCAACAUUCGAUCUGAGCCGUCUGAGCUGCCCCAUUUAUAGGGCUUUUGAUCCGCGAACCCUAGCAGCCCUUGGUUCUCCACGAACCCUAGCUGCUCCCUGUUCUCUCCUCCUUUUCGAUCUAGGGUUUUCUCCUUCUCCUUUUCUACUCUUGCCACCAGCGCUAGGGUUUCAGAGAUCUUGCUGUCCGACGAGGCAAGCCUUUGAUUCUCCUCUUGCACCGCAAGCUGGAAGAUUCGGCCGAGGGUUGGCGUUGGUUCCAUCGCCAGGAUCUGCGAUCGGAAGGUGAGAUACGAAUCGUUCAAAAUCAGUAAGAACCAAGUCGCUUUCUCCCUGUCUUUCAUAGCCUUGUACUGCUGGAUGGUUGAUUCAGACCCUUCCAGUUUUUCUUCAGCGGCUUCCAACUCGUUCCAGAGUGCUGAAAGCCUGUUGAAGCACGUCGUCACCGAUGUGUUUCCUUGCUUCAGUUCGCUGAGCGCUUGAUGGAGCGAAAUUUUUUUUGCCCGAUCCAAUUUGCCGUACAUUUCUUGGAUGCUGUCCCAAAUAAUUUUUGAAUCCUUUGUUGGUGGUAAACCAGCCGCGAUUUCUGGGUUGAUGCAGUUACCGAUCCAUGUUCUGACUAAUUGGUUGCAUUUUCUCCACUGUUUUCCCAUUUUUUCGUUGGUCGGGAUCGGAACGGUCCCGUCGACGAAACCCUCUUUGUCUUUGGUGAUUAGGGCUCGCCGAAAUUCUCGCGCCCAGGUUGAGUAAUUCUUUGGACCCGUGAGAGGGUGGCUGAUGAGCCGCAACUCCGGUCCGUCGGAAGUGGAAACAUAGAGCGCGUCGUCGGGCUCCGGUCGUCCCAUGGCAGCCGCGAACGGAAAAUUAAGAAAACCAGGUGGUAUUCCCUGGGAUUGUCCCUGAAGUCCCGCACCAGAUUGUCCCUGAGAUCCUGUUCCAUAAAAAUUCGAUGCGCUCGUCUGCUCCGGGCCGAUGGUCGCGUCUGCCCCAAUAUUGGCUGGUGGACCUCCGUCACUUGGCAUACUACCCGGCGAUGAUGUGACUGGAUUCAUCCCUGGGAUCCAUAGAUAUGGCAUCCAUUGGUAGGGAUACGCCGAAAAUGGCUGACCCAGAUUAAACUGAGCCGGAGCAUUCUGCCAAUACGCAUGUGGAUUUUGGAUCUGGCCGAGUUGUUGUUCGGUCACAGAAGUGGCACUGAAAGUCUGAGGAGUCGUCGACAUUGGUUCAUCUGGAUUGAAGGUGAGGUUCUCUGGUUGGUUUUCUGGUGGGUUCAUAUUUGACAAAAAAAAUUCCCUUCAAAAGAAUUUGAUUCCUCUCGGUAACCCUUUUGUAGGAUAGGGUUCCUCUAGGCAAUCAACAGAGAUGGUGCGGAAGCAAUGUCAGAGUCAAAGCUCUGAUACCAUGUCAAAAUGUGAAGGGAAAAGUAAAUCGAGAGAGAUGAGGUGUAGAAAUUUCUGUGUAUUUCUCUAUAUUGUAAUAUGAGCACAAUACAUUGUAUUUAACUACAAAGGAAGAAAUAAUAAAGGAAAAUAAUUAUCCCUAUCUUUCUAGGCCUAAGAUAGACAAUAUUACAUAUCAAUUUACAAUUUGACAUGAUUUGCUAAACUUUCCUAUCUUCUGUGUAUCUUCCAACAGGGUGGGGAGACCUAUAUUAUACUAUACUUCUAAAAGUCUGCCUAUAUAAAUGUAGUCUCGGAUCGAUAACUUCUCCGUUUGUUGUGUCUCCAUCAUCAAGUCCUAGUACUGGGAAAUGAACUGAAAAGGAACUCACUCUAGCAAACCUCCUACAUCAACCCACAUAAUAGAACUACACUUGAAAUAUAUUAUUCCAAAUUUUGAUUCAAACAUAUUUCAUAAAGACCUUCAUAAUUCAUAGAGACUUUAUAGCGUAAAGGUCGAAAGGUGUUCAUUCUACAUGUUUGAAAAAUAAAAGGAAUGAGCCAAAACCAAAUAAAUGAAAUUUCCAGUUUUAAGUUAAAAGAAUUCUCUUACCACUUCAUCUGAUAUACACAAAGUGAAUGCAUAAUCAUCCGAUAAGUGUGAUAAAAAUAUAAGUAGGCUUUACCUUUUCCAUUUUCAUUUACCAUAGAAAUUGUUAACCAACAAUACAUCCAUUUAGACUCAUGCAUAUGCACAUUAUGUUUCACAUAAACAAACAAACAAUAUAAAUAAUAUUUGAUUCUACCAUUGAUAAUGCAUUUUAUUCAUUAAUAUUUCCUCCUCUCGAACUUUCCUAUGCAUCCCAACUAUUAGGACAUCUCAAUUUCGAGGUAUUCUAAAAACUUCCACCACAUAAUGUCCCCACCAUAGGGCGUCUCAACUCCGUAGACAUCUCGAAACACUCUUCGGGACAUCCCAACUGGACAUGCCGCAAACUACCAUCAUGGGGCAUCGUCACGCACCACUAUAUGAGUGACAGAAUCACAUUAAUAUUAUUUAAAGCCAUAAAAUAUAUAUUUAUAUACGUACAAGCAUAUCACACAUAUCUCAACUCAAUUUAAUACAUUAAACAAAUAAUCGUAAAUGAAAUAACAUAUAGCCAUACUUUGGUCAUUAAAGUUUGGAGAUCCAAAUGAGUACAUUUUGAAUUUGGACAUUAGCGAGAUCCGAAUGAAUAAAUAUACUCUGGAAAUAAAGUUUGAACAUGUAAAUGAGUACAUUUUGAGUUAGAAUAACAAGUACAUUUAGGUCGUAAAGUCUGAAUAAUCAAAAAAGGCAAAUUCUGGCUUAAUAGAAGCUUCUAGAACAAAAGAACAAAUUCAAUAAUGAACGGAUUUACAAAUGAAUAGAAUCAACAAAUAAAUAGAUUCGACAAAGAAUAGAUUUAUAUUUAGUAAAGUUUGUCUGAAUCAAUGGAUAGAUUUAUUAAAAAACCGAUUCACAUGUUGGCAGAUUCAAUAAGAAAUAGAUUCAUACUCGGUAAAGUUUGUCUAAACCAAUAAACAAAUUUAUCAACGAACAUAUUCACAAGUUGGCAAAUUCAACAAGGAAUAUAUUCAUACCCAUUUAAAGUCUAUUUGAACUAAUAAACAUAUUUAUGAAUGAACAGAUUCAUAAGUUGGCAUAUUCAACGGGUGAACAAAUUCGACCAAAUGAGUAGAUUCACAAAAGGCGGAUUCACAAAUGGACAGAUUUUGUCAUAGGAAAUUCUAGCAGAAACAAGUAAAUGAACAUAUUCUGAUUAGUAAAAUUCUAGCAGAACAAAAUAGAGGGAAUAUGCAAGAGGUUAUCAAAAUAAAUAUGACAAAAAAAACUGCUUUUGACUAUGUAGAACGAAACAAAAUGAAGAAGAAUGAAUGUGUAAUGGGUCAUCGAGAUAAAUAUGGCAGAUCGACCAAAUUUUAAUAACCUAGAAUGUAGUAGAAAGAAGCAAAACAAACAUGUAAUGACUCAUCAAAAUAAAUAUAGCAGAACGACCAAAUUCUAACUACCUAGAACGAAGUAGGAAGAAACAAAAUGAAUCAUCAAGAUAAAUAUGAUAGAACGACCAUAUUCAGAUUAUCUAAAAUGAAGUAGAAAGAAACAUAAUGAACAUACAAUAGGUCAUCAAGAUAAAUGUAGUAGAACCGUCAGAUUUUGACUACUUAGAAUGAGGUAGACAGAAACAGAACAAACCUUUGGAAACUAAAUGAUGUACCGUGUAGGGCUAUGUUGCGAUUUUUGGCUAAAUAAUCAUUGAUAAGUCUGCAUGAUUGUGUUAAUAUUUGGUAGAAGGUACAAAUCCUUCACUAUCUUAGAUUCAAUGGCAAUCAAAGAGCUUUAACUUAAUCCAGAGUUUCAGCUUUCAUCUCUUUAUGAAUCCAUCUUGAGGCUAUUUGGAAAUUGAAAACCUCUGCAAAUUGCAGACUUUGGUAUAUGAGGGCAUUAAAUGCCCUCUUACAAGCUACUGAAGACGCUUCUGCAGCUUAUUCUUAGGCGGACUUGCAGUUUUCAAACAGUAAUAUUUAUCAAAGUUGUGUGAAUUUUUGAAAGAAAUUGGACUAUAAUGACGUGGAUGGUAUCUGCAAAUUGAGUCUAAACAUUUGGAGGAUUAAGUACAGAUUUGGCUCUCUAAGUUUAGGCAUUUGAGUGAUUUGAUCUUCUAUUUGUUAUGUUGUGCAAUUAAGUCCUCUUUAACUUUUUUGAUUUGUGCAAUCAGGUGUAUUGUUUACUUGUUGUAAGUAAUGAUGUCACACUAUGAUUUCCUUUUUACUCGUUUUUCCUGUUUGCUUUCUGCUCAUUUGGAAGCAAAUUAGCAUCACCUUUUAUUUUUGUCGCAUAAACAAUGUUACGUCAUUGAUUAAUUCGUUGGUUUAGUCAAAGUGGUUGACUGAAGGAUUUGAUUACAUAAAUUUAAAAAGUUGAAGGACCUGAUUGUACAAAAUAAAAAUUAGAGGAUCAAAUUGCAUAAAUGCUGGAACUUAAGGACCAUAAUAUGCACUUUACCCAACUUUUUUACUAUGAAUUACCUAUGGCCGUGCCUCGUCCGUGUCAGGCCGAGGCAAAUUAUGUCCGGGUCUGGUUUGUAUUUUCCAUUAUUUUAUUAAAUCUAAUAUCUUCUCAAUAGAGGCAACAAUCAAGACCCUUUUUGCUAAUCGGCCCUACCCGGGAGAGGCCGUGUAGGCCUUGCUAGGACCAUGCCGGUGGGCUGGUCAUUCCUAAUCCGGACAUUUGUUUAGCACGAUACAAGGUGUCAUGCCCUCCCCAGUGUGAUUUACUGCGGUUCUGAACAAGCUUUUCUGUUCCUGGCAAUGUCACAGCCAAAAUUGUUGGACGCAAAUUACGCAACCCCAAGAUCUCCAUAACCAGAACAAGAACAUGCAUAAUUUAGUAGAAAGAUUAACGCACCUGUUUUGGGAUCCAUCGAAUAUAAAGCGGAAGCAGAAAAAUUACCCACAUAUAUCAAGGGGAUCCACGCAUCAAGUCAUUCUCCUCUAUUGCCCUCCGUAUCACUGGCUCAGUGAGGCGGCCCCCCUCACGUUUAGCGUUAGGUAAACGCCCCUUAGGUGAGGAUACAUGUGAGAAUUAGGGUUAGAGGAGAGACUUGAGCACUAUUUAUAGAGUUUCCAGCCAGUCCCCCUCAUUACGGGCCAGGCUCAACUCAGCCCACACUAGCCAGCUCAUAUUAGAUUAAUUAAGAAACCUUCUAUCUCACCUUAGACCAAACCCCGUAAAACGGUAAACGUUAAACGGUAAAUUACAAUAUCAAUUAAUAUAGUCUACAUCAGGAAAACUCUUACAUUCUCCCACUUGGACUAUAUUAAUUGAAAUCGUACCUUAUGUGCGCAUAUUUGGUCUAGAGAUUAUUCUUAAUAGUCAAUCUUAUCCCAUAAAGUCUUAAACACCGAAUCAUGGCGGUAACUGCAUGUAUACACACGGAGCCUUCCAUGGUCACGAAUGUUCUCAACUUUAUUGAUAUGGAUUCAAUAUGGUAGUGUGGCAAAUGGAUAACAUCUCUCAUAGAGAGAUCUCAUUUGUCAGUCACCAUUCUCUUAACUUUAGGUGUCACAAAAACUUGUGCUACUAGAGAAUGCUUUAUGGUUCCAAUGAACCCACAUAUGUUUUGUCCUUAUGGUUAACAUUUAUUUAUGUAUCAUAAGACAUAUGCACAAGGCUAAUAACCGGAUGCCCGGAUGCCCCUAGUCUUCACUCAAGGUUUAUACAAUCCCUUGAGACUUUAUCAAUAUGUAUUCAACAUAAUAAUAACACAUUCAAAAAAUAUUUUAUUGAAUGCAAAAGUUGAUACAUAUCAAAUUGUUACAAAAUGUAACAAAUACAGAUGAAACUCUUAUAAGAGUAAAGCCAAAAUAGCUCCCACUAAACAACAGCAUCUCAUGAUACUCCUAAGCCCAUGCUAACAAUAUGUCACAUUUCUGUACUGUUUGCUUUUGGUAAAAAAAUUUGACUACCAUAUAUUUAGAUCCCUUGAGAUCUCUGUAGUAAAUAAAUAAUACUACAAAUUUGUUAUCUCAAUACAACCGUAUGGAUCUAUCCAUAAAGUUAAAACGAUCAACUCCUUUAAUGAGGUUCUGGAGCUUAAAAGCCCAAGUAACAGCCUAAAAGAAUGUUACUAACACUGCUUACAUAGUAGAAAAUGACAUAGAACUUUAUUUAUUGCACUUACUGCUAACAUAAAGAUGUAUUCUGUUAUUGAUUGCAUGUCAUCAGAACAGCUAGCAAAGUUUACAUCUAAAUAUCCUACUAACUGCAAGAAUUGAACAUGUCUAUAAAUUAGCAUGAUCUCUUGUUUUCUUUAAGUACCUUUAAAAUCUUCUUGGCAACAACCCAGUGAUUACGUCAUGGAUUUGACUGAUAUCUUCCUAGAAGUCCCGUCACAAAGACGAUAUUUAGUCUAGUGCAAAUUUGAGUAUACAUUAUAUUUUUAAGUGCACUGACACAAGGUACACCAUUUAAUUAGAUUUUCUCAAUAUCUAAAUAAGAACAAUGUGAUAGAUUUAGUCCAUCACCUUUAACGACAGGAGCAAUUCCUGGCUUGCAAUGAUGUAUAUUAAAUAUUUCCAAUAUACAAUUAGCAAAUGUCCUCCGAGAAAAUCUAAUAUAAUAUGGCAAAAACAAUCCUUACAGACCUCAGUAUAAAGGAUAUAAGAUGUCUCAAGGUCACAACUUGUAAGCAAAACAUAAUGUAUAUAAAGUAUGAGAAAAAAGAAAUUUCCUCCCACUGACCUUGCAGUAUAUUGAAUUACUUUGUUCCCAAUUGAACAAAAUAACAACACUAUGAAACUUUAAGAAUAUUGUUUGGAAACUUGCUUAAGACCAUGAAUUAGAAAUUUUCAGUCUACAUACAAGUUUACUUGAAUCUGCUGCAAAAUCAUCAAGUUGCACUAUAUAGUUUACUUGAAUCUACUGCAAAAUCAUCCAGUUGCACUAUAUAGAUUUUGAAUCUGUUUAACGUAACUCCAAAUAAAAAAGAGUUAUUAAUGCCACGUUCACUCUGAAAGAAUAUUUAAAGAAAUAAUUAUUUCUUCACUAUAAACUAUCCACCCUUCUUUCAGAGUGAAAACUUUAGUUACCAAUUUGGCUUUAAAUUCCACAAUCUUUCUUUGAAAUUCUUUUAAUUUUGAAUGCCAAUUUGCAACUAAUGAACUUGUAAUCUUUAGGCAAGUAAGUUUCCAAACACUAUGAUGUUUCAUAGAUUGUAUAUCGCAUUUUAUGGCAUCUAAUCACAUACUUGAUUGAGAAUAAGAAACGACAUUUAUAAAUAUGUCAUUACAUCAACCAUAUAGUGGAUAUUGAAAUCAUGCUCUCACAAAUAGACUAUAUAGUCUGAUGGUAUAACUGAUCAUCUUUCCUUAACAAAUCUCCUUAAUAAAGCUGCAACCACUUCAUUCUGCACUUGAGAGGUUUAAGAAAUUUCAUUAUAAACUAUAUCAAGAAUAGUACCUUAAAUCUCAACAAGUUUAGUCUAUGGUACAGGAGAUUUCACAAUUGUCUGUACCACAAUUGUUUAUAUAGGCAAAGACAAAGACACGGUGAUUUUCCAUCGUACUUUUAUCCUUAAUAGUCUGAGAGCAGCUAUCCUCGUCAAACUGUAGAAACUUUACAGUAUGUGAUACCAUAAUUCUUGUAUCUUCUUUAGGGUCUUAAAAUUAAUAUCCUUUUGAACAAUCUAGGUAAGAAACAAAAUAAUUCCGAGUGAAUCUAAAUUCCAAUGCCUCUAAUAUUGGAUUAGAUAAUCUCACUUCUGCAUAACACCUCUAAAUUUAAUAUGAUUCAAAUAAUCUAUGUCCAAUGUAUAACUCAAAAGAAGUUUAUGAAACAACUUUGAUAAGAGACACAUUUUGUAUGUGAAAAAGUUGCUUUCAUAAUAUCAGCCCACAGAAUUGAUCUUACUGAUCAUACUCAUCACCAUGUUCAUUAUGGUGUAUUUAUGCCUUUUGGCCAAAUCUUUUUAUCAGAAUUUUCAGGUAUAGUAAUUAAAUUAUCACCCCAGAAUCUACCAAGUAUUUGACAAAUAACCCUUUAAGCUAUUUCGCAUUGUCAUACUUGUCAAAAUACUCACGGCCAUUGUUAAGCCCGAUAUCCUUCAAAACUAAUUUUUAACCAGUUUAUUCUUUAUUAUGGCCAUUUUCCUUAAAUAUAAAACUUUCGGAAACAACAUUUUAAUCAUAUACGAGAUGUAUAUGUCAUUAGGACUUUAAACACAAUCUUUGCAGAUAUGUCCUAAUUUUAAUAUCAGACAAAACAUAAUUUCAAGCAACUAAGGCUUCCAUCAUCUUAUAGCAGUGUAGUUCGUAGGCAAAUCUCUUUUCAAGUGUUCCAAAAUAGAACGCUUCUUGGACAGUAAACAAAUUCAAUUGCUCUUUUCUCAAGCAACAAAUUAUAUGUCCACAACUUAAAAUUUGUAGUAAAAACCUCAAUAAUAAUGAAGUUAUUAAUUACAUAAAAGGUGACUGAAAACCAAGCAAUGUAUAUAAUUAGCAUCAUGUAAGUACCGUGUAACUUGAUGUACAAGUACACAUCCAAAGAGUUACACGCAUAAUCAUAUAAUCACUUUUGGGCAGAAUACAUGACAUGCAGUUGUACACUCCCCACAUAAUAGCGGUUAUGAGAAUAUAUUCCAAUUUUUCGUGAAUUCAUCAUCUUUGGGCAUAUAAAUCACUAGAAUCAGUCACUUCUCCACCACACUAUCAUGUAUCCCUUCAUGAACUAAUACACAAUCACCUCCUUUGGGAGUAUGACCACACAUUAGAUCAGGAGACAUCACAAUCAUCAUACGAGAUCGCAGUUUCUCAAACCUAAUCAAGCGUGCCACUUUGGCGGUCACUACUCAAUUGAAUCAUUGAAAUUCUCUCAUACUAGGGAUAUAAACUUUACUUUUCACAUACACCAUAUACAUGUGAUUUUAACUUUAGUGAUAGGGGCAGCAUAUCACCAAAAUCACAUAUCAUGCUAAUUACAUUGCUUUAUUCAUUAAUAAAAAUUAAUCAUACAUACAUACAUAUAUAUAUAUAUAUAUAUAUAUAUAUAUAUAGCGAACCUGUUUUGACAGAUUCUAAUGAGAUUAUUGAUUACAGUAACACAAGAAACUUCUCAUAACAGAGAAUAAAACAUUUCUUAUGCACCCUGAUUACAUAUUACCAAAACAACAUAAAAAGAAUGCUGAUCUAAAAUAUCUCUCACAAAUUAACAUCAAUAGUAAUACAGGGUACACCAAAUCAAUAAGCACUAUUGCUUAUGAGUUUCAUACGGCAAAACAUGACUCCAAAGCCAACAUUUGAUUUAUUAGCCAAUUUUAAGCAACAAAUUAUCAUUGUAAUCAACCAGUGACCUAUUAAUUGAGUCAAAUCAGAUAACUAAAUAUCUAAAAUUUAACAGUAGAUACUAUUACUCUGCGUAAAUAUUGCCAUACUCCUUUACCAUAAAAAUAUUCAACUUGAUAGAUAUUAACAAGUGACCAGAUAAGUUCAUGUACAAUAUGCAGUAAUUUAAUUGACAUGCAUUAUCCACAUACAGCAGAUAUGUUAAUCAGUACAAUCAAUUUGGUCACAAGUUCUUAAGACGUCUAUCAUUUAAAGAUUACCAGCGUGUAAAAGAGUAGGCAUGAGCAAUAAAAAUUUCAUAACUUUUACUGUUUCUCAAUAUCUCAAGAUAUAUUCAAUUACUAUCUCAUAAUGAUUGAAUCUCAUUAAGCCAGUUUCAGUUCACAAUAAAGUUUGAUUUUUAUUGAUGAAUCACACCUUUAUAAUGAUUAUGUGAUAAUAUACCUAUAACCCAACACUUAUAUUUCCAAAAUCACAGAAAAUAUAAGAAAAAUAUGCAAAAAUACACGUAUUUAGGGUUCCGUAUAUAUUUUAACAUCCAUAAAAUCAUCAAACAUAUAAAAUAAAAUAUAUCACAAGAUAGGAAAUCACUGUACGAGUCCAACGCCGCCAACCACGUGCCGAACGGAGCCUCCACGCGCCCGCACGCGCCGCCUGAGUGCGCGGCGCGUGGAGCACACACGCGGCGUGUGUUUGACGCUCAAGAGGCGCGUGGCCGGGCGUGGGGGCGCGUGCGACCUCCUCCGGCGACGCGCCACCCAUGGUUUUCUUCGUCUCGUCGAGCCGAGUCCGAAUAUAUAAUUUAAUUUAAUUUUUAUUGAACGAAAAGUCUCGAAAAUCACAAAUUAGGGCAAGAUCCGCACUAAUUAGGGCUAAUUCGUACAAAUUAUGGCAAAAUCAAUUGCAUUCAAAUUCUAAGGUUAUGGAGCCGCCUCCCCCCUUUCCUUUUUUAAAAUUUUAAAAUUUUUAAUAUUUCAACUAAAUUUAAUUUUAAAAUGAUUAAUUUUAAAUAUUUUAACUAAAUUUAAUUUUAAAAUUAUUAUUUUUAAAUAUUUUAACUAAAUUUAAUUAAAUUUUUAAUUUUUUUUACCACGUCAGCCCAAAAUGACGCCGUUUGGUUAUAUCAACGUGCAAAACGGCGUCAUUUUAGCGCGCUUUGCCGGAAAAACACCACGUUGGCGUUUUGGCUGGACUUUGGCCAGAGUGGCACUCAAGUGAUCCGUGUUUCUUCGAAUAUGGCACUAAGUGUACCUUUUGUAAGUUAUGGCACUUAAGUAUUCCUUUGACCAAAGUUAUGGCACUUGAAGCGUUCUUUUGCCGCCAAUUCACUAUGCUACUAUGGGUGGAGUCUUUUCCGUUCUUCAUCUUCGUUUUCGAGAAAAUAUUGGCUGGGUCUUACACUCCAUGUAGGCCUAGGGUAAGACCAUUCGGCGAUCGACAGGUGACUCCACGUAGGCGAUGGCGUCAGAGGUUUAAAAUUUGCGCGCGCUGCUCCUAAGGGCCACCAGUCUGACGCUCUCUCUCGUCUACUCUCCUCUGCGACCUGUCGACUCAUCCUGUCUCUCCUCUCUCUCUUUUCCCAUUCUCCAUUUGGUUGCGGGGGAACAAAACGCAGGUGCUUCUCUUCAUAUGCUCUUCCCCCUCCUCUACUCUCUCUCCUCCGAUGGUUUCCCGUGAUGCCGACGCCCUCUCCAAUGAACCGUGACACCGACGGCUCUCCGCCGGUUGCCUCCGUCGACGCCGACACAGACGCCGACGCCCUUUCCACCUCAGCCAACGCCUCUGCUCUCUCUCCUCCGCUGGUUGCUCACGACGCCAAUGCUGACGCCCUUUCCACCUUUGUGGACAUCGACGCCCUUUCCAGUGAACCACGACGCUGACGCCCCUCUGCCUUCGCCUUCGCCCCUGAUGCUUCUACCUCCGCCGUCGCCCUGACUCCAAUGCCGUUGCCGACGCCCCUUCGCCUGCCUCUCGCGACCUCUGCUCUGCUCUCUCCCUCUUUCCUUUGUGGAGCGCCUUUGCUGGCAACCUCGACGCCGACGAACCCCUGCUCGCAUUUUGGCCUCCCUCUCCGCGAACGAAGGUCGCUCUGCUCGCUCUCUCCCUCUCUCUUUCCUCUGCGAAGCGCCCCCUACUCCUGAACGCGGAUGCUGUCGACGCCGUCGCCUUCCCAAGCCCCACCGAUAGGCACCCCAUUGGUGACUCCCGUACGUCCGAAGGUUCUUUUUUUUUUUUUUUUUUUUGAUUCCACUUAGUAGAAUUCGGUGCGAUGUUAAUGUUUAAGUUUAUAGAUACAUCUGUAUUGCUCCUCUACUAAACCCAAAAGCAUAUUGAAUGAACAGCCUUAUUUUUCUGUCGUCUUUGCUUAAUGCGUGUGGGAGAGAGAAAUGAACAUGUGAAACUCUUUAGCUGACAAAUUGUCUGAGAUGAUCAAAUUCCCCUUUUUUGCCUUACCCAGAAUUUGUGUAGUUUGAGAUGAUCCUACCCAGGUGGUCCUUGAGAAACAAAUAUUUUGGAUUUUAAUCCUUGAGAGAAUGACUUGUAGAUGGUUGGUCUGGACUAGUAUUUAGUUCUUGCAUAUUAUGGUCACAGCUUGAAUUAUCGAUCACUUAAUCUUGCAAAAUCUUUCUUUACUAGAACAUGCCUAUGCAAAACGUGGAUUACGAUAAAUUUUUGCCCGCUACAUUGCAGGUGGAUGGCAGCGACCUUGGUUGACUACUACAUCAACGUUGUUCCGCUUGCGGUAUGAACAAAUUAUUUGUCUUGGCUAUUACAGAUCACACCUCUUUACACAACUUCAUCAAUUGAUAACUUUGAAAACCAUCUUAACUAUAACACCAUAUAAGAAAGCUGUGAGUGUUUUAUUACAUAAGGACAUAUACUUAAGCCCAGUAAUGUUCAGGUAAUGCAGUUUCCUGUCGCAUUGACAAGCUUCUAGGAAUAAGAAAAACCAAAACAUGGUACCUGAUGUGUUUGCUGGUAGUACUUUCCAGUUUUCACUGACAAGUUUUCAUGGGAGCAAACGGACCCUGAUUUUAUACAUGUUGGAAAAUUGACUCAAAAUUGCAUGAAGCUGAAAGCUGACACUCCAAUAAUGCUGUCUAAGGAACUGGUGAUUGCACGAAUUCAAUCUUCUUCUAUGUCAAUGCAAGAUGAUAUAUUUCAUUUGUUGUUGAAGCUUUUUUUAUAUGGAGUUCUAUGAAGAAUUUGCAGUGCAUGCUUACAAUUAAUAUGUCUUCAAGCUUGGGUUUGGUAAAAGGAAUCGUAACUUUUUUAGCGCUUUACUUUGGACAGUGCUUCUUAUCUGCCUAGGCAGGUAUGACUUAAAUUCUCUCAACGGGAUUUUGGCUUCUUAUUUUGUAGUUGCAAGUGGGACAAAAGCCACUUUAAGUUGUUUUAACAGGAAAAAUGCUUUCGAUUGAUUUCUCAGCUGACAUUUAUGUGCAUUAUGAUGCGAUCCUUAUCUCAGUGUCACAACAUGCUUCUACAUUCUUUUGCAAUUUCUCAAGCUCUCGCCUCAAGAGUCUUCACAAGAUAUGUUCUGCUGCAGCAUUCUAGCAAGUAUGUUUGCACUCCAUUUUAUUAUAUCAUUGUUGUUUCUACGGGAUUCUGGAUAUAGUACUUUAUGGAGACAUUAUGAGCUCAUGGUUUCACCGGACUACGGUAAAGGAACAAUUUUCUGUUCUGGAGCUAUAAAUCUUAAGAGUCUUUUAGACAUUGUUUAGGUUGCUCUACAUAUUCAGUUUUAAUAACGGGUUACUAAUGUGGCCAACCACUCCAAAAUUAUGCUUUCAAUUUUGAGCUGCAGUCUCUUUCUUGAGGAGAACAACAAAUGAAAAGUUUUGAUGUGCUAAUUCUGUCAUUUCCAACUAUGAUUUUGGGUGUGCUGGAAUACCUUUUUAUCUGAGCAAUUUCUUUCUUCAGGGAUGGUGUAGAAGCAGCAUUUUCUUGUUAUAAUUGCUAGAAUCACUUUCAUUGUUUGGGUUGUUUGAUGCUGGCGACUCUUCUCUACACUAUCUUCACUGAUGGUAGCCCUUUCCGGAAAGAACUUUUAACUCUGUAAGUUAAUUGUUCUGUCUUCAAUGGGUCUUUGUCAUUUGGUUCCCUAACAUUUGGAGUUAUGUUGGAGAAGGUAUUAAAAUAGGUUGUUUUUUACUUGGUCAUGGUGUAUUAUGAGGAAUACACAUAGGAUUAUUAUAAGUGCCCAUGCAUAUUUUUCUAUUCAUGUAUCUCGAAAACUGGUUAGGGACUCGGCAAUUUUUGGUUUAAAUACCUUUUAUUGCAUUAGUUUUCUUACUUAUUCAGCUGUUAGGAGCCGCCAUUUUUCCCCCUCGUAUAUACGGUGCGUAAAUCAUCUCAAACUGUACUAGAGUAAAGUGAUGUGUCUUGGAUGCUGGUUUGAAGAAUAUCACUGUUCAUGGGAACUAAUUGUUAGGGGUGAGCGGUUCCCGGUUCCGGUUCGGUUCCGUCUGGAACCUGGAACCUACCCUCGGGUACAGGUUCCUCAAUUUUUGGAACCUGGAACCUACCCGUCAGAACCGAGAACCUAGAACCUACCCUGUCACAGGUUCCGGGGUCGGUUCCAGGUUCCAACAGGUUCUUUUUUUUUUUUUUUUUUUCAUUUUCGUAGUGGGCGUGAAUAUCCGGAAGCCAAAAUAAUUCAAUAGUUGGCCCUCCAUUUUUAGUACCUGCCAAUACACAACAAUGUGAAUCUUUUACAUCCAAAUAGACAACUAAUUUUAUAGUUUUCUAGAGAAAACAUUGUCUAAUGUAUAAUUUGGUGAUUCCUUAUCGUUAAUGUGUUUCAUAAUAAUAACUACAAGCAUGUUGUAUGAGCAUAGGCUCUUGGCAUUUCGCUCUUGACCAGUGAGCUGUCUUCGCAAUUUACAUAUUACUCGGGGAAGAGAACGUGAGCCCUCAACUGCUCCUUUCUUUUUUGGAUCUGACACAGGAAAGCAGAGAAGCAAAGGAAAUUGAGAACAAACUGACGUUAACAAAAUCACAAACACAAAGAACUAAUUACACAAAAAUGCUUUGAAGGGCUUUUCAAUUCGCAUUUGAGUGUACUCAUUUGCCGGUGGCCACGACGACCAUGCUGAAAAACUAAGCAAAGAAUUAGUUCACGAGAUUGAGACCAGUUCAUAGCACCAUCAAUCAUUCGUGCAGAGUCGCAUAUUGGUCUCAAGCAACAUACCAUAUGGAAGCAUCUCCAGCUAGUUCUGCCUAUACGGUAUAUUCUGGGAGAAGCAAUUGCAUGGACUCUUGUAAAUCCACUUCAUUUUGCAAUUAGCACAUCACAAAUAAUUGCAGUCACAGAAUAUCAAAACAUGAUACUUUAUAUCUUCAAGUUAUCUCGUAUGCUACUCAAGAUGAACCAUAGCUCUAUUUCAUCAAAUCAAAAUCGAACAUAAGCGAAGAUAACAGGGGAAAAUAAUCUUUCUUCAUUCUCUGGUAUAGUAGCCAAACAAGCGAUAAAAGUUCACCGUUAUCGCUAUCACCUUGCAGCCUUUGAUCCAGCUAACAGAAUGAUCCAGCACAGUAUCACAUUAGCUCACAGAUCCGAAAAUAGAGAGCUUCUCUUUUACCUCAUUUAGCUCGUCUCUUAAUUCCUCCAUGCGAAUCUGGCAAUCCACGACGAAUCCGUUAGUAGCUUCCUUAAAAUCCUUCAUUUCGCCGGUCUGCGCUCGGUAGAAUCCGUCCUUCUCCGCCUCCUCAAGCUCCUCCACCUCGCACUUCAACUCCCUAAAAUCAAGCAUAAAUAAGCCAUAACACGCGACCAAAAUCUUAUGAUGACAAGUCUAUGCUUCACCUCAGUCGCUGGACAUUGUUGUCGUACUCGGCAUCGAGAGCGGCAAUCUUAGAUUUGAGAGCCGAGAUCUUCAAGCUCUGCGAAGCCAGGCUCCACUCGAGCCUCAAGCACCUCUCUUCCAUCGACCUGAUGGCCGCGCGCUUCGACUCCAGGACCAGCGAUUUGGCGGCUUGCAGCUCUCUCUCUUCGCCUGCAAAAAUUUCCAGCACCUCUCAUCCGCUACCGAUCCAAACCGAUCGCCUCGCGAAGAAAAGUUCGAGAGAUCGCGUCGCGGUGUGGAGUAGACCUGGAGGAGAGAGAGGCGCUAGUUCCUGGUCCGGUCCAGCUGUUCCAGCCACUCGCCGAACGCCGCGGAGAGCGACAUUUCAGUACGGACCGGAAGCUAAUCUCAGGCGGCGGCGGCAAGAGGUGGUGACAGUGGCUUGGGGACGGCGGCGGUGGCUCACGACGGCGAGGGGCGGCGCGGAUGACGCGACAGCUCGUCGGGCUCAACGGCGAGACGGCUUGUCGGACGAGCGGUGGGUGGUGGUGGUUCGGUGGCCAAGAGGUGGUGGUGAGUAGGGCGUGAGGCGGCGGUGUGGUGGUGGAUGAAGCAGUAGCCAGCAAGAGGAGGAGGAAGAAGAAAAAGAAAAAGAAGAAGAAGGGGUAGGGUUUCGGCCGAGAGAGGAGGAAAGAGAAAAGAGAAAGAGAAGAAAAGAAAAAAGUUGAGGGGGCAGGAAGUGACGUGACGAGGGAAAAGGGGAGAAAAGAAAGAGAGAGAGAGAAAAGAAACGGAAAGGGGGGGAAGAAUCCGCAGAGGGGGGGGGGGGGGGGGGGNNNNNNNNNNNNNNNNNNNNNNNNNNNNNNNNNNNNNNNNNNNNNNNNNNNNNNNNNNNNNNNNNNNNNNNNNNNNNNNNNNNNNNNNNNNNNNNNNNNNUCAGUCGGAAGGGAGAAUCGUCGGGAUAUGAUUGAUCUUGAUUGGUUGAAGUUUAAAAAAUUCAGUCUCGCCUGGAGUCCUUCAUGACCCGUUUGAUGUUUGUCUAGAUAUCUUCAACGUAGAUUUGUUCCUGUAAGUGAUCCAUCCGUGAGGAUUUUAGUAUGAGUCUGGGGUUAUUAUUAUGUUCCAGAAGCCCUUCUCCCUGGUCGUCAGGCUUCUCCCUAAAGGAAAAUGGACUCUUCUCCGAUAUAUAUUUAAGUGGAAGAUAAGCGUACGCAGUGCAAUCUUCCAUGUCGGAAACCAAUUCUAUUGGUCAACUUUCCGGAACCGGAAGCGCCGGUUCCCAGAAACAGGGAACCGGGAACCGGAACCGGCCUCUUUAGAACCGGGAACCGAACUGGACCCUCCUCCGGUUCGGUUCCCGGUUCCCGGUUACCCGGGAACCGUGCUCACCCCUACUAAUUGUUGAGUUUUGGAUUAGAUAUGUGAGUUGUGAGUAGGAAGAGUUUACUGAUUUAAAAAAAUGUACCUUUGACCCUAGCAAUAUGUUGCCCGCUUCUCUUUUUGUUUUGUCGUGUGUUGUGCCCUGUGUAAUGCCAUAUAUUAUAAUUGUCAUGGGAGUAUUUUUGCUCGCUAAAACCAAACUCUCCCUUGGGAUAUUAGAGUGACGUUUUAAGUAUGGAGGUUUCUAUGCUUUUCUUUCUGUACUUUUAUUCUUCAAUCAUGAGAUCAUGCAAUUUAAGCAAGUCCCCAUGCCAGGACUCUUUUUUUUUUUUUUUUGAAUAUAAUUAUGAGGGGGGCCUACUUCUUUCAUUAUAUUGUUGAAAAUGGGUGUUCUGUUGCUUUCAUCGAGCACGGAACCUUUCAGAGUCUGUACUUUAUUUGAUUUGCCUGACAGAAAGAAUUACCAACUAUUUGCCUUAGAGUGGUAGUUUGACUAAAUCGUUAUCCUUCAAGCCCACAGUACAAUGCUGAAUUUUCUAUUUCAUCUCUGACCAUGGAAUUUAUAAUGUUUAUCAUAAUGGUAAAACUCAGUCAAGGUUAGUGUGUCACCAUUCUGGGACAUACUUGUGUAGUGUUGUGAAGGCUUGGUUAUGCAAGUUCUUAUCUCUCCGAGGAUUUUGUCCCAAUCUUAACAUUCUGGCAUUAUGAUAAUAACUUCUGUUUAGUGUUGUAUAUUCCGUCCUUUUUCUUUAGGUAAGGAAAAUUUGGUGCUCUUGUUAUUGAUUUGUAUCAUUUUGAAUGCAGAAUUUAACUGGGGGAACACUACUUUGUAGGUACAAAGAUUAUAUUGUGUUUUACAGGGGCAAUGACUUCUUGCCUCCUGUGGUGGUAGAAGCACUGAAAGAGAGAAAAACUAACAGAUGUGCAGGCAAAUGAGGACGACCAAGCACGUCAGAGGGCCUUAACUGCAAUUGAAUCAAAAUUAAAAGCUUCUAAAAGCCCACUUGUUGCUGGCACUCUUACUGAAACUCUGGCUGCCACCUCUCGGUGGGGGAAUGAAAUAAGUAGCAAAGACGUUGAGCAAAUGCGUAGAGAUGAAUCACUCUAUAAGCACGCUGCACUCUUGAAAUAUCUUGAGAAGAAACUUGCUCUUGUAAUCUUCUUGAUUGAACAAACUUAUGCUAUAAAAUUCUGCUCCAUUUCCUUAAUUAUUUAUCACAUUUUCCAUUUAUUUUUUUCCUCUUCUUUCCAGGCUAAAGGGAAGGUCAAAAGGGCUGAGAAAGCUCUAGCAAAAGUGCAGGAGAAUCUUAGACCAGCAGACCUUCCAGUUGAUCUGGAAACCAUAAGUGAUGAGGAGAGAUCUUUAGUACGUAAGAUUGGUCUGAGUAUGAAGCCCUUCCUGCUUAUCGGUAAGAAUAGCUGGAAGUCAUGAGUUUAUGAGGUCUAGGUUCUUGUCAUUGAGCCCUUUCGGGGCUGAUGAAUUGAGGGUUUGUUUUUUAUUGAUACGGAUUUAUGAUGACUUAAGCGUUAAGCUGCAAAGCUGCCCUUUUCAUCACCUGGCAAAUGGUUGAGAAACUGAGAUGUUUUGAUGCUUGAAUUUGGAUGAUUUCUGUCCGAAUUCAUCAAUUAUAUCUUUGCCAUCAAAGAACUAUACUCGUGUCUCGUCCGUGCCCAAUGGGAAAUCUGAAUACUAAGAAGCAUGCGGUAGAUCUAAUGAUUUUCAUAGGUGUUCAAGAGCGUAUGAGAAUUACUAAAUCAAAUUUUUAUUCUUUCUGUGGGUAGGUCAAACUCUUUCGGGUGCAGGGCAUUCAUGUUUUUGCAGGGCUUGUGAUUGUUAUACCCUUCAAAUGCCAACUGUCUCAUCCUUUUUUCCUAUUCCUAUUAGUUUAUUGUUCUUUGAAAUUCUCUUGAAUAUGCAAAAUUUACGUCGGAAUCUGACCUUGUUGAUGUGCACAGGUUAUGCUUUUGAAUUGGCUUUCUGUUUUGGCUUAUUCUUUGGCUUUUGUAUUUUGUUUCAUCCGAAGGGUGUAUUAGAAUAAAACAAUAAGUGGACUGGAAGAUUUUCUUGUCCUUUUUAUCAUCUACUGGUGUUGUAACUCAUUAUUUUUGUUACAAUUGAAGUUUUAAAAUGUAAGACUGCCAGCUACUUGUUUAUGAACUUGAUGCACGAGGUCCCUGUGAAGAAGCAAGAUCUUCCAACAUCUGGACCUUGAUAAAAGAUCAAGCAAAAUUUUGUUUUGGCUUGAUGCUGUGAACUUUGGCUAUGCUGCUGUUAAUAUAAGAUCAGCAUAUGCCUGUAAUAUAUGGGCUACUACUAAAUGGUCAACGUGAUUUCCAUGUCUUUUUGAUUGUUUAUGUCAUUUUUCAUUCAACUACUUUUUCUUGAAGAUUAUAUGGUGGGAAUUUAGUAAUUAUUGGGAGAUUUAGGGCCUUAAAACAAAGAAUUUGAUCUUGGCUGCACAUGUUAUGUUUUUUCCCCUUUGGAAAGCAACAGACGUUUUCUUGUUAUUCUUUCUUAGACAACAAGGUUAAUUGUGGAUCAUAGUAAUGACUAUUUAUAAAGUUAUGAAGUAAUGCCUCGUUAUUCUUAAUAAUCAAAGGACAGUUAGAAGAAGAUGCAUGUUCUUGAUGAUUCUGCUUCUGAAUCAAUUUGAUUCAUAAACUGAGUGAUCUGAUUCUCGAUCGUCUUGUCGUAUGCAGAAUGACGACAACCAAAGAGACUUCUGCGACAAUGCUCAAAGCAGGACAGGGCGCUCGUUUUGCGAGGAUGCUAUAACUAGAAUCUCUCUUCUGCACGAUGCACCUCACUGGAAUGCCUGACUAUGUGCUUCUGGUUUUUACUGAAGAUGGCUUGAUUACACACAUAAAAUCCAUCGUUUGGAGGUAGAUAAUCCACAUGGAAUACAUUACACCUAUUUCGGAAUCCCAUGUUCUUGUACUAUACUUCCGUUCUCUUACCCGGAAGGCAAUAACAUUGAGCUAUGUACGAGCUUAUGCUGAACUAGAAAGCCCAUGAAGAUAUGGGUUUCAAUUUACAUUGCAUGUAUGCACGAGUGACUCUCAGGAGUUUCUUCUGGAGAUCAGAUGUAAUACAUACUUAUAUUUUGCUCGCUUGGUAGUCCUGAAUAUACAGAAUCAGUAGAGAUUGCCAAUCACAUUUCUAAUGAGGCAAUCCAAACAUGGUUAAAGCCAAUGGACAGAACUAUGUAAACUUUUCUUUCAUUCUUUGCGCAAUCUUUGGUGCAGAAUAGUACAAUCGCGACUUCCUACUAUUGAGAAGGGGGACCCUUUCGUGGGUAAUGCCAUGCACAUGCAAGGAACGAGUAGGUAGAUAAUUGAUCAAGAAGCUGUCGCCUCAAAAGAGUGCUAUGUAUUUCUUCCACCAUGUUUGAGUCCAUCAUUCCGCACUCACUGUUCGAACAGGCUCAUGCCCUUAGGGACUCUGCAUGCAUCAAACUUUGAGAGUUUCUUACAUUUCCAAGUCCAAUUUAUGCAACAAUGACACCUUAAGGAGUUGUUACCCUGAAAUUCUAUCGCAGACACGAUAACAAGAUUUGCCAAACAAAAUCAUUUACACACUGCUGGCAGCACAAAAUAUCGGACUCCUUUCCGAUCAUAAGCCUUAUGGAUACAAUAAUAGAAGUAACAAUUUAGAAGCACUAUACCCAUUAACAUAUCACACACCCCUCAUCUUUCUAUGGCACUAGUACAAAAUGGAGUUCACUUCGAUGUCGCAGAAGCUUAGUCCACUUCCUCCAUUUUGCUCUCCUCAGCACCAUCCUCUUCCAAGGCAGGCAUGUCAACAUCAUCACCAGCAGUCUCAUCCUCGUCAAUGCUCAGACCCAGCUUCAGCAUCCUGUGAAUCCUCGCUGCGAAAGUGUUGGGGUCAUCUUGUAGAAGGAAGCAUACUCCUCCUUGGUGAUCUCCUUUGGCUUUCACAGCCAGAUGAGUUUCAGUUUGUUGAUGAGCUGCCACUCAUGAGAAACCUCCUUAAUCUUCUUCUUCUUGGACUUCUUUUCUUCCUUCUCCUCAUUGACGUCCUCAACAUCUCCUUCCUCUUCCCUCUAGGGCUCAUCGUCAUCAUCACUGAUCUCUUUCUCGGUUGUCUUCUCAGUCCAUAGCUAGAUGGGGUAGCUAAUGAACUCGGAGUGCUUCUUCACAAGGUCCUUAAUCCUUCUUUCUUCCAGGUACUCCAGCUGAGGAAAACAGAGACGUGACACUGUUAGCAUCAUGUAUCAUCCAAAACCAAAACCAAAACCAAUGCAAAUCUUCUCCACCAAUUCAUAAAAGCAACCAUAAAUGAACUCACCUGGUCCUCCUUAAGGAAGAGGGUGAUCUUGGUCCCUCCGCCGAGUUGCUUCCCACUCACAUCUCUCGUAACUGUGAAGGAACGACCGGCCUAGACUCCCAGAUGUACUGCUCAUCAUCAUUGUGCUUAGUAGUCACAAUGACUCUCUCAGCCACCAAAUAAGCAGAGUAGAAACCGACACCAAAUUGACCGAUCAUGCUCACAUCAGCUCCUGCCUGCAAUGCCUCCAAGAAUUCUUUCAUCCCUGACCUCGCAAUCAUACCCAGGUUGUUCACAAGAUCUGUCCAAUUCAUCUCAGACGUUAAUAUCUACCAACAGUCUCACAACUUAAAUGAACUCAGCGUAACAGUAACCGUUAUCGUGUAGGAACAUAGCCAUAGCCAAAAGACGUGAGCAAGAAAAUUGAUCAAUCUCUGUCAGCCAAUUACAUUACCUGCUUUAGUCAUGCCAACGCCGCUGUCAAUGAUCGAAAGGGUCUUGUUGGCCUUGUCCAGCACCAGCCUAAUGAACAGCUCGGGCUGCGCAUCGAGCUUGCUCUUGUCCGUGAGGCUCUCGUAUCUAAUCUUAUCCAACGCCUAAAGCACACACAAACCGAUCACAGAUCAGAAUCAAUAUAUCACCUUUAGCAUCACAAUAUCGCAUUUUGAUCACGAUUAUUUCUCAACAAUGCCUAAGGCAGAGCCAUCCAAUCAACUAAAAAUGACACUUUUAAGUCUUCACCAGGUAUCGAACAACUACUUCAAGCAAACAUAAAUCUCUCUGAUCUUCAAGCCUGCAAGCCAUUAUGAACACCUAACAGACAAAAGACGUUGAACAAGGCAACCUAGUACUUCAAAGCGAGGUGGAGGAGACGUACAUCGGAGGAGUUGCUGAUGAGCUCGCGGAGGAAGAUCUCCUUGUUGCUGUAGAAGGUGUUGAUGAUCAGGCUCAGGAGCUGGUUUAUCUCUGCCUGGAACGCGAACAUCUCCGCUUCCGCCAUUUUUUAAUCAACCUUGGAUAACACAGGAGUAACAGGUUUCCACAGCAUCAGUGGAAAGCGGCGACGAGUUUUGUAGUUAUAGUUUCUGCCCCUAAAAUGGUAUAUUAUUACCCCACCAGGUUAAGGAAAAGGGUCACUCUCUCCAUUGACCCAUUUUCCUCAAAGUCACGUUCAAAAAAUUGUGCGGUUUCCAUGUUCUCUCCCAUGGCUGCAAAUACUAUGGCAAAAUUGUCCUCUUCGUCAUCCUACAUAAAUUUGCAGCACAUCUUCAGAAAUGAUAUUGAAAGAGAGUGUUUGGAAUAUUAGAGCAAGAUGAAGACUUAGAGCAUCGAUUCUCAAAGAAAAGAAACAAAUAAAAUAAGAUCAGGAAUCUUCACAAAGAAUGCAUUUAGCAAUCGAGAAGUCUAGCGGAUAAUAGCAGAGCAAGUACAUUUUAGGUGAAUUCUGAACCUUCACUCCAAAACCGUAGGAAAAUUUUGUGAAACUAAUGGUAGUUCAUUAAAUUAUCGAGGCAACAAAACUCUGCUCAAAUCUGUGGACGUCACUGAUCGUCAACGACUUGCUUGCUGAUUCCCACGAUCCCAAAAGUCCUCGAGCUGGCGGCCAUACAAAAGCUGUCUCUUCUCUGUGUGCUGAAGAUGAAGAAAAAGGUGAUGGUCGGAAGAGGGGGAGACGAGAGAUCAGUCUGAUAUCCAAAUGAGGAAGCAGCCCCGCGCGUUAUAUAGAGGGAUCGCAGAGAAGCUCGGAGAAAAGCCAACUGCCAAACUAGGUGGCCAGGUACACCUACCCAGUCCCCGUAGUACGGCUAUGUAUUCAAUAGUACCGUCCGCUUUUCCUUUCCCUCGCCGCCGUCACUUUAACGGCGAACAAAUGUGAAAAAAUAAACUAAAAGACAUGGAUUCGAUUUUCGGGGCUAUUCAUUUAAAAAGAAUUACAUGGAGAGUGAUUUCUUCCGUUUUGAGAAUAUGGACGCGACCACCCAAUGUUUAAACAAAGUUUAGAAAAGCAUAGUUUACCCCUUCAACAAUCUGUGGAUGUCCACCUUCAGGAUUGGCAGCAUUAUUUGGAUUUACACCCAAACCAGUAGUAGGUGUCCUUGCAACAUCUUCGAUGUCUCUGAUUAUUGACUUCAAAAGAGCAACAUGUAGUUCGCCCAACAAUCUUGAAUCCUGCCAUGAAGUAGAAUGUGCAGAUGGGCAUAAAAAUUAAUAAAAGGAAAUCUUAUGAGAAACAAAGAUAUCUAAUUAGAAGGAACAUUGCUUACAUAGUCAUGAAAAGCUUGACCUGGUAGAGUGCAAACGGAUAAUGCAACACCCAUCGUCCCAACCAUUUAUGAUGCACGCUUCGCCUCGGCUGCAACAUCCUUAAGUGAGAGCCCAGCUGCGGCUGCAGCUCCGGCGACCUUAUAUUGACAACUGAAAGCAAAGAAUCAUAUCAGUAUUCUUCACUUUCACUACUCAUAAACGUAGGGCAAGAAGUGUGGAGUCUCUCAACAACAAUGAACCAUAGAUAUUGCCAGAUGCAUGAAAACUUCAGAAGAAUAAUCUAAAAGGGAUGUCCGUCUGACUUUCUUAAUUAAAAAUUCAAAAACUUUCUACAAAUUGAUUUGCCAAAACAGGAGCUUCCUAUGUUUAAGAUCUAUCACAACAAGAAAAUACAAGAGUUUUUAAAGUUGACGGAGUCACUCGAAUAGAUGAAAGUGAUGGUGGCAAAAAUUAAGGAUACAAGCGUGGACCAUGAGAAGUGGGGAAGGAAAAGAUUCUUGUUUAGUGCCAAAAGGGACAUUUAAAGCACAACCUUUCAGAGAGAGACCACAAACCUUGUGAACUAGAAUAGUCCCUGCCAAUCCUCUCCUCCCGACUAUGCCUCGAGGGGGAGGUAAAGCACAAUCAUCUCCGACAAUCACCAUCUGCAAUAAGGCAUAACCUUUUGACACCAGUCUCCAGCAUAUGUUAAAAUCACAAUCACAUCCAGAAGUAAUUACAGGGGAAGUACCUCAACCAUGUAACCUUCAGAUUUAGCCAGCUCAGUAGCCAAUCCAAAGUUCAAGCGAUCACCUGUAUAAUUCUGCAAAAGGGAGAUUGUAAUCCUUCUUCUGUUAGAUCUUCUGUUUUGGACAGAUGUCAUAGCACAGGGUAAUAAGUACUUGUGGUCUAUGCGGCUGCUAGAACUGCAUAAACUCCCGAAAUUUCCCUGGCAAUGAAAGUUCCGUUUACAAAAUUUUUAGUUUUUCCCUUGUAAACACAAGUUUACAUGUAUGCCAAAAUACUCUAUAAGGUGGUAGUAUAAAGUAAAGGAAGUACCUUGACAAUAAGUAGACACCCCAUUGGACCAGUUACAGCUCGGAUGCCCUGAAAUAUAUACAAUAGAGCAAAAUGAAUCUCAUAGACAAGGAGACAAAACAUAAAGCCUCACUGAAACUGAGCUGUUGGAGAUGGGAAUUUAUUCUCGCCUUCCUUAACUAACCAACACAAAACUAAUCAAAUAUGAGAUACAAUUGUUACCUUAGCAGAGAGACAAGACAACCAAGUCUUCCAAAUAUUAUUUCCAUGGAAGUCCAGAAAGACAAAAUGCUGACCGCAAGAAAAGACUCCAACCAGAUAAUGUACAAUUGCAAUUAAUUUUCCUUUUAUUCCACAACUUGAGACAAAAGCAACAAAACUCAGAGAGGAUGAAGGUACCAAUAUUCCUUGCAAUUAUGCUCAAGCAUAUUAGUCUCAACGAACAAUGAUUAGAUAAACGAAGUAGCUUUUCCACCAAAAGCAUCCAUGCUCGAGCUCCCUGCAAAGUUACAACUGGCAUCAGAAACAGAAUCCAGAGAUUUGCAGUUAAUGUAUUUCAAAUCCUUUCAGCUUAAGAAUCAAUCCGAUGGAAGAGAUGCUCUACAAUUGCUGAGAGAGACCCAUGUAAAAGCAUCCACGAUGAAGAAUACAAAUCAGAAUACUUGAUUAUUUAAAGGGUACACUAAGUUGACAUUUUUGUUGUUAGAUAAAAUUGAUUCAUUAUGCCAACCUAUUCUAAACUGCCUCUACAUUUCAAAUGCCCUCUCGAUAUCUUUUCUUGUAGCAUUUUUAUCUCUUUCAUUAAUAAUAACUUCCCAAAGCAUCCCUUCAUAUGCAUAAAUCUUCACUAGAACAUUACGAAUAUAUUCUCGGUGCGCAUAUCAAAUAGCUUCGGGAGAACAAUGAAAUAAUCAGUACAAAACUCUAUUAAACCACAAACACCCCCCCCCCCCCACCCUAAAAAAUAAAUAAUAAGAACACCAACCACCACCACCACCACCAAUAACGUAAAAAUGUAAUUUCGGCAGAACAAGUGGCAGACCUUGCAAAACUCAAGUUGUUGAUCAAAUACGACAGUAGACCAUCAUUGCAAACUUACAAUGAUGGUCUACUGUUGGAUUAUCGCCCAAAUAGAAAAAAAUAACAUGAUCACAAAAAGGUAAGAAAAAUGCAAUAUGUGAACCUCUCAAGUGAAGUAACCAAUUGUGAGUAUUAAUAUAUUCAGGCAAUAUUGACAAAUAUCCAUUCAAGCACCAAACUGACUAAAAUGUUAAGCAUCUCCAGCUUCAAACAAACUUUUCGUGCAUGUGUGCACAUUUGGACCGAGAGAGAGAGAGAGGGUGAAGCACUUAAUAUCUUUGUAGCUCUGCAAUUAGAUGAUGCAUUUAAUUAGACUUAAGACAUCUUUAUACAUGAAGACAGCUUUAUUAUAAUAGCACUUUAGCAAACAUAAGUAUAUGAGAUUUGUUUCUCCUAUGAAAUUGUCAAAUGUGACUGUCAAGAUGGAAUAUCCAAUUUAUUAAAAAUUUAUAAGAAAACUAAACUCACAAUAUUUAGUCCAUCUUGUUGAUGCUGCAAGCCUAGGGUAGGCUUUCUCAAACAAUAGGAUCGGGAGAGUGACUCGCGCACAAGAAACGGGACGAACAGAAAUUUCAGCACUGCGCAAGCUCAGGAGAACAGUCGUAUCUUUGUCGAUACAGAUCGGAUCGACCUGAUUCCAAAGCCAAAUGAGCAAAGACUUCUGGAUCUACAAUUUCUCUAUUUUGGGUUUUCUGAAAUAAGCACUAUAGGAUAGUCGAAAUUGGGUUGGAAGUAACGAACAGAACAAGAAAAGAUAUCGUUGGUUGCUCUUCUAGGCCUCCAAGGAAGUUGAAAGGGACACCGAUUCUUCUACAUCAAUGACUGCAACUCUUCAAGGAUGCAGAUUUUGAAAGCACCGACUCUUCAAGGACGGAGUGAAAACUCUUCUAGGUUUUCAAGGGUUGAACUCUACAAGGUUCACGAUACUUGCUUCAAGCAAAGUUUUUCAUUUAUCAAAAGUCGUCUGUCUUCCACCAGGAAUUGGAUGGCUUAUAUCAUCAAAGAAAUAAAGAUAGAGCAUUGAAACUAGGAGAAAUAAAGGAGCAUUGAAACUAGGAGAAAUAGUAAAGGGCAUUGAAACUAUAAACUAGUAAAAGAGCAUGGAAACUAUAAGCUAGUAAAAGCGUCACGCGAGCUCCCAAGGUGUCUUUCAAGCUUCCGGAAUGGACUCAAGAUAUCGUUAUGGCUUCUCGGUUUCGUUGAGUUUGAAUGCAUGCCGAUAUUCUUGGUCGAGAGAGUUGGUCUUCAAUGCGGGCUGCAUCAUCCUCCCCAUCUUUAAAAGAAUUCGUCCUCGAAUUCUCGCCAUCAUCAUCAGAAGAAUCUCCCACCCUACUAGGUGCCAACGUAACCUUCUUGCCUCCAAAUUCAAAAGAAUAUGCAUUUCGAUAACCAUCAUGCAUAGUCCUCCUAUCGAAUUGCCAUGGUCGACCAAGAAUAAUGUGACUAGCAUCCAUCGGCAAAACAUCACACCAUAUCUUGUCACUAUAAAUAGAACCAAUGGAUAGAUUAACAAGACAUCAUUUUGAAACAGUUACCUCAACGCCUAUCUUCAACCACAACAUUUUAUAAGGCGUAGGGUGCGCUUUUAAUUCCAACUUCAGCUUGUUUGCCACUACUUCAGAAAUUAUAUUCCGACAACAACCAGAGUCAAUAAUUAAUUGACACACCUUUCCCAUGAUUGUGCAAGCAGAAUGAAAAAAUAUUGGUACGUAGCCACCUAUCUCCAGUGUCAUCUCGAGGAGUAAGAAAAAUUUUCCUCACCAUAAGAAGUUCGCCAGUGUCAGCAUGCACUAUUUGUUCAUCAUCCGCAGCUUCUUCAUCAUUGUUCAACUCCUCUUCAAGUGGAUCCUUAGCAUUCUCAUCAGAAUCAUUUUCCACCAAGAAGGCUUUACAGGCUGGUCGAUUCUUAUUGAUUCGACAAUUGCUAGCACGAUGACCCAACUCCCCACAAGAAUAGCAACGUAUUUCGGAUGUAGCAGGUUGCUUCGAAACAUGGGGUUGAAUAGAAGGCUUACUAGCAGAUUGCGAUGUAACCUCAGCAACUUUAGCAGUGCUAGUGGUCCGACUUAUCAUGGUAGUUGAUUGUUGUCUCCGAGAAUGAGAGCGCUCCAUUUUGAGUGCUCGUUGGUGUGCAUCUCCUAAGUCCCAAAUGUCGAGGACUUCCAAGGGGUCUUGAAUGUAAAAUUGAAGACCGUUCAAGUAUUUGUUCACAAGCACAUCCUUUGGGUCCUGGAUAUUGUUACGAAUCACCAACUCAUUGAAUUCAUUGGUGUAUUGGUCCACCGUUCGCAUACCUUGUUUUAGAUUUUGGUACCAUUAGCAGAGCUCUCUCUUAUAUCCUUUGGGAAGAAAAUAUUUUUGAAUCUUGCCCUCCAUCUUUCUCCACAAAGUGAUUGGUGCUUUGCCAAUGGCUUGGCGAGUUUGUUUUUCACGUCUCCACCAAGCAAUCGCCUUGCCUUGGAAUCGCAUAGCAAUGAUCCCAACACGACGAUUCUCCGGAACAUUUCGAUGCUCAAACACCUCAUUCACAAGUGUUAGCCAAUCAACAAUUUCAUGAGGAGACUCAUUACUUGUAAAUUCUGGAACAUCUUUCUUGACUUCCUUUUCCCAAUCUGGCUCACAAAUAUGUUGUAAACGAUGUCGAACAUGCCUCCGACUGUGAAUAGAUUGAACACUCUCCGAAGAGGAAGAGUCACCAUGGGAAUCUUUAGUCCUGGAACGGGGUGAAGAAUUAUUUGCUUCAGCCCUCAAACGCUGAACUUCUUGUGUCAAUUCGUCAAUUUGUUGUUGCAUAUUCUCAGCGAGUGUGUGCAAUUCAUCGAGGGGAAGGGUUCUGCUGCCACGACGUCUAGCUUGUCUUGGAGGCAUUUUCCUCUCCUCCAAAGCUCUAAUACCAAAUGAUGCAAGCCUAGGGUAGGCUUUCUCAAACAAUAGGAUCGGGAGAGUGACUCGCGCACAAGAAAUGGGAUGAACAGAAAUUUCAGCACUGCGCAAGCUCAGGAGAACAGUCGUAUCUUUGUUGAUACAGAUUGGAUCGACCUGAUUCCAAAGCCAAAUGAACAAAGACUUCUGGAUCUACAAUUUCUCUGUUUUGGGUUUUCUGAAAUAAGCACUGUAGGAUAGUCGAAAUUGGGUUGGAAGUAACGAACAGAACAGGAAAAGAUAUCCUUGGUUGCUCUUCUAGGCCUCCAAGGAAGUUGAAAGGGACACCGAUUCUUCUAGAUCGAUGACUGCAACUCUUCAAGGAUGCAGAUUUCGAAAGCUCCGACUCUUCAAGGACGGAGUGAAAACUCUUCUAGGUUUUCAAGGGUUAAACUCUACAAGGUUCACGAUACUUGCUUCAAGCAAAGUUUUUCAUUUAUCAAAAGUCGUCUGUCUUCCACCAGGAAUUGGAUGGCUUAUAUCAUCAAAGAAAUAAAGAUAGAGCAUUGAAACUAGGAGAAAUAGUAAAGGGCAUGGAAACUAUAAACUAGUAAAAGAGCAUGGAAACUAUAAGCUAGUAAAAGCGUCACGCAAGCUCCCAAGAUGUCUUUCAAGCUUCCGGAAUGGACUCAAGAUAUCGUUACGGCUUCUCAGUUUCGUCGAGUUUGAAUGCAGGCCGAUCUUCUUGGUUGAGAGAGUUGGUCUUCAAUGCGAGCUGCAUCACUUGUUUGACACCUACACUAAUUAACUAUAUAUUCUAAGAGAAUUAAAUAUCCCAAUCAUUAUCGUUUAUGAGUAAAAUGACAUAAUCUUACUACUAAUAUGCAUGGGCUAAUAAUGAGAGACAUUGGGACUAAAUUCCACAUGAAAAACAAACAGUCACCGAAUAAAACUAGAUGAACAAAUGCCUCUAGCUUUGUCACCAGCCAUCUCUACCUAUUACUCAUGCUACAUCAGGCGAAGAGGAAUCAGAGAAAUGUACGAUAAGCAAAUGAAUUGCAACAAAUCACAAGGCAAGGUGAAUCUUAGGUUAUAACAAUAUAAAGCAAAGAGGUUUAUCAAAAUGAUACAAAGCAAAGAAAAUCUUCCUUCACAAUCUACAUUUUAGUGGAAACUUGCUUUCAAAGAGCCAUCUAUCUACUGUUUACCAUGGAGGUAUAGAAAAUCCUAAUGCAAAUGUGCUCCAUCCUUAUCCGACUAUAAACCUUAACAUGUAUUCUACUAUGGAAUUAAAAAAAAAAAGGAACCUUUCGAUGUACGGGAGUCGCCAAUGGGGUGCCUAUCAAUGGGGCUUGGGAAGGCGACGGCGUCAGCGGCGUCCGCGUUCAAGAGUGGGGGGCGCUUCGCGGAGGAAAGAGAGAGGGAGAGAGCGAGCAGAGUGACCUUUGUUUGCGGAGAGGGAGGCCAAAACGCGAGCAAGGGUUCGUCGGUGUUGGGGUUGCCAGCAAGUGCGCUUCGCAAAGGAAAGAGGGAAAGAGCAGAGUAGAGGUCGUGAGAGGCAGGCGAAGGGGCGUCGGCGACGGCGUUGGAGUCAGGGUGACGGUAGAGGUAGAAGUGUCAGGGGCGAAGGCGGAGGUGGAGGGGCGUCAGCGUCGCGGUUCACUGGAAAAGGGCGUUGGCGGAGGUGGAAAGGGCGUCAAUGUCGGUGUUGCGAGUAACCAGCGGAGGAGAGAGAGCAGAGGCGUCGGCGGAGGUGGAAAGGGCGUCGGCGUCGACGGAGGCAACUGGCGGAGAGCCAUCAAUGUCGCGGUUCACUGGAAAGGGCGUCGGCAUCGCGGGCAACCAGCGGAGGAGAGAGAGAGAGAGAGUAGAGGAGGGGGAAGAGCAUAUGGAGAGCAGCACUUGCGUUUUGUUCCCCCCGCAACGGAAUGGAGAACGGGAAAAGAGAGAGUGAGGAGAGACAAGACGAGUCGACAAGUCGUAAAAGAGAGUAGAGGAGAGAGAGCGUCAAAGUGGUGGGCCCCAGGAGCGGCGCGCACAAAUUUUAAACCUUUAACGCCGUCGCCUAUGUAGAGCCACGUGUCAAUCACUGAAUGGUCUUACCCUACGCCUAUGUGGAGUGUAAGACCCAGCCAAUAUUUUCUCUUAGUUUUCAGUAAAGACGGAGGAUUGAUUUGACAAUACUAAUAAUAAGAAGUCAUUGAUGUUGUAAUGGCUGGCUUUUGACUUAGUCAAUAUUAACUAGUAAACGGAAAAAAAAAAAAAAAGUGGACUCAAGAAAAGGUAUACACGUUCAAAAGAGGCAAAUAAAGAAAAAAAAGAGAAGAAGAGAAUCAAAGGCGAAAAAGUAGGAAGGAAAAGGAAAAGGAAGAUGAGUACAUGCCAUGGCGCCCUAGGUUGCAUGGACACGUUACAUGUGUUUUCGUGUCGUGUCCGACACGCUCCGACACGUGUCGGACACGUCAACACGCUUGGACACACGUUGACUAUGUGUCGGAUUUGUGGCUCCCUUGGCAACUCCUCCGUGUCCAAGCGGACUUGGAUCGGGGACUCCGAGGAUGGCUCGACCUACUUUCCAAUCGAUGAAACUCAUUCCUCUAUCGUUGCAAGUGCAAACCAUUCAUCUCCCUCUGUCCACAACUGCAUCCCACACGACAUUGCUCGUCUCUCCCGCUCCGGAUUCGUCUACACCUUCCGCGUCACCAUGGGGCCCAAAUUCGUUGGCCUCCACUUCUUCCCUUCGGAUUACCUCAACUUUGGCCAUGCCAAUUCAUUCUUCUCGGUCAAGGCUGCUGGCUACACUCAGCUCCGCAACUUCAGCACUCUCCUCUUUUACGAUCACACCGGCUUCACGAGCUUCUGCAAAGAGUUCAGUGUGGUCCCGGACCACUCAUGCGGUCCUUUGAUUCCCUCCCCUUACAUGUGCGGUCCCGGACCACCCAAUAUUUUCUCCUUCCUAAGGCAACUGAACCUUCCACGAAAAGCGCACCCGGAAGGGCACAAAUCCCGUCCGCUGAUUUUCUUGUGAUAGGCUUAGCGACGACUUUGGUCUUCCGCUAAUCUCGUCACUAGUGCCGGUCAUCUCUUCCGCGCUCUUUCCUAAUUCCCCACGGUCAAAACUGGUUCAUCUCCGAGAACCCGCUCUCCUUGUGAACUUCAAUUCAUCGGUUCAACUGCGACCCUCUCUGUCGUCGAGCAGAGAGAUGAAGAGCAUGAAACCACCACUUCUAUUAUUCAUCUUCAUCUCCGUCUCGCUCGAAGCACUCCCGGUCUCAGUCACUGGCAACAACGUUGGCGCUUACCAUCCAACCGAUGACAUCACCGUUGACUGUGGCUCCAACACCAGCUCCCUUGUGGGUGGACGGAAUUGGAUUGGAGACGCCGCUGACCGUUCGGACUACUCUCCAAUUGAGAAAACUCACUCCUCUACCACGGCAGAGGCAAGCAGUUCAUCUCCCAGCAUUCCUGGCGCCGUCCCAUACCUCACGGCUCGCCUCUCCCGCUCCGAGUUCGCCUACACCUUCUACGUCACCGCAGGGCCCAAAUUCGUUCGCCUACACUUCUUCCCUUCGGAUUACCCCAACUUCCGCCGUGUUGAUUCCUUCUUCUCAGUCGAGGCCGCUGGCUACACCCUGCUCCGCAACUUCAGCGCUUCCCUCUUUGCUGAUUACACCCACUCCGUGAGAUUCUUCUCUAAAGAGUUUUGCUUAAGUGUCGGAGAGGACCAGAUAUUGAACAUAACGUUCACUCCCACUCCUGGUACUUCAGACGCGUAUGCUUUCGUGAAUGGAAUCGAAGUCGUUUCCAUGCCCGAAAGUCUCUACUACAACACCGUCGUCGACUCAACCGAGGGAAUCAAGGUGGUAGGUCUACCGUCGCCACGCACCUUGGAUACCACUAAAGCUCUCGAAGCGGUGAGGCGCUUGAACGUGGGAGGACAGUUUGUCGUUCCAGCUGAUGACACGGGAAUGUACAGGACCUGGGAAGCAGAUGAAGACUACGUGACUUCCUCAGACAUCGGAAUUUUGCCAGUUAACACAACUAUCCAACUCAAUUACAGUGAGCAAGUGCCAAAUUACACGGCUCCAGAUGUAGUAUACACUGUUGCAAGGACCAUGGGAACGGACAAAAGAAUCAAUCUGAGCUACAACCUCACGUGGUCCGUCGAGGUGGAGACGAACUUCUAUUACUUCGUCCGGUUACACUUUUGCGAAUUCCAGAUAGAGAUAAAUGACCCCUUAGAUAGGGUUUUCAGGGUUUUCAUAGAUUUACAAUAUGCGGAUGUCAUUAAGUGUAGCAGGAAGGGCGUGCCCGUCUAUAGAGAUUUUGCAGUAGCCUUGUAUGACAGCCAAAAGAAAAGAACCAACCUUUCCGUCGCGUUGGGCGCGCUUCCAGAUGGUUCUACUCUUUACUCUGAUGCCAUCUUGAAUGGCCUCGAGAUUUUCAAGAUCAGCAAUCCAGACAGGAAUCUCGCAGGGCUGAACCCCGAUCCAACUCCACCGGCAAGCAAAGCAGCAAAAAUUGCCAUCGUUGCUGGUGGAACUUUGGGCUGCACUGUGUUCUUUUUCCUGGCUUUCUUUCUUCACCGGCGAAAAAACAGAGCGAAGGAUUCGACCUCGAGCGACGGCACCUCAUGGUGGGGCCCGGUCUCCCGCUCGACGACCAAGUCAAUGAAGACCCAGUGGUCGUCCCUGCCGUUGGAUCUGUGCCGCUACUUCUCGCUGGCGGAGAUCAGAGCGGCCACGAACAACUUCGACAAGGUGUUUAUUAUCGGCGUGGGCGGGUUCGGCAACGUGUACAAGGGCUACGUCGAUGGCGGGGCCACUCCGGUGGCGAUCAAGAGGCUGAACCAGGGAUCGCAGCAGGGCCUCCAUGAGUUCAGGACCGAGAUCGAGAUGCUCUCGCAGCUCCGGCACCUCCACCUAGUCUCCCUGAUUGGGUUCUGCAAGGACGCGAGAGAGAUGAUACUUGUGUACGACUACAUGGCACGCGGGACCCUCAGCGACCAUCUCUACAACACCGAUAAUCCCCCACUCCCCUGGAAGCAGCGGCUCGAGAUCUGCAUAGGCGCCGCGUGGGGGCUCCACUACCUCCACAGCAGUGCCAAGCACACCAUCAUACAUCGCGACGUGAAGACGACCAACAUCCUGCUCAACGAGAAGUGGGUUGCCAAGGUGUCCGACUUUGGGCUCUCGAAGGUCGGACCCACGAGUGAGUCUAAGACGCACGUUAGCACGGCCGUGAAGGGCACCUUCGGGUACCUGGACCCGGAGUACUACAGGCACCAGCGGCUGACUGACAAGUCCGACGUCUAUUCCUUUGGCGUGGUGCUGUUCGAGGUGCUGUGUGCAAGGCCUGCUGUGAGCCGGAUGGCCCCAAUGGAGCAGAUCAGCCUGGCUGAGUGGGCGCAGAGUUGCUGCAAGAGCGGGGCCGUCGAGGAGAUCGUGGACCCGCACCUGAAGGGGUCUAUCACCCCCGAGUGCCUCAACAAGUUCUGCGAGAUCGCCAUGAGCUGCUUGCAGGACAAGGGGGCCAACCGGCCAUCCAUGAACGACGUUGUGUGGGGCCUCAAUUUCGCACUGCAGCUACAGGUGAGCACAGAGCUGGAAGCGAUGGAUCAUGUGGGUGUGUCAGUGCAUGAUAGCGAUGACAGCGACCAUGACGCAGCUUCGAUCAGAGGCAGCGGCAGCGAUGAGGCGUCCAACACCAGUGGUGGUUGGAAGAGCAGUAGGGAAACUGCGACGUCGACCAGAGCCAGAAGCAAUGAUGUUUGUGACGAGAGUACGACUAGUUACGACGCAGGGAAGUUGCCAUGAGAAAAUAUUAGGUGCUUAAGUGUAACGCUCCGUUAAUUGAUACGUGUUUUUUUAUAUUAUUAUUCUCUUUUAGCGUGUGGAAGCGUAAUCAAACAUUUAUUAAUAUUCCUUUUAACAAUUAAAGGCCUUACAAGUAUAAUCAACAUAUUUAUGCUUAUUUUAUUUAUACAACAUUUGAGUUCACAAUUUUAUUACUUUACAAGCAAAAAAACGAAAGUUUGGGUAGGGAGGGAGACCUAUCUUUUUUUUUUUUUUUUAGCAACUUGCGAACCACCAUACAGCCAGUGAUGUAAACUUGGGGGAGCACUAGAGCGGGGAUCCACCACCCACGACACUUCACUUAAGUCGUGCAAUGUGACAAGAAGGGGAAUUGAACCCUAGCCGUUUGUGUGGCCAGUGUGCGCCCUAACCAACUCGCCCACCACGGGGUGGGUGUGGGGAGACCUAUCUUUGUACUAUACUAUACUUCCAAAAAUCCGUCUAUAUAAAUGUCCAUACUAAAAUCACGAGUUGAUAACUUCUCUGCUUGCUGUGUCUCUAUCAUCAAGAUCGAAGUCUCUCGAUGGAUUGACUAACUCACCUUCAAGGUCCUGGUACUAGGAAACGAAUUGAAAAGGAACCCACUUCGUGAAAACCUCCUACAUCAACCCACACAAUAGAACUAUACUUAAUAUAUUUUAUUCCAGAUUCUAGUCAAAGCAUAUUUCAAAAAGACCUUCAUAACUUAUAAGGACUCUAUAGUGCAAAAGUUGAAGGGUGUCCAUUCUACAUGUUUGAAAAAUAAAAUAAAUGAACCAAAACUCAAUAAAUGAAAUCUUUAGUUUUAAGUUAAAAGAAUUCUUUUAUCACUUCAUUUGGCAUACACAAAAUGAAUGCAUAAUCAUCCGAUAAGUGUGAUAAAAACAUAAACAAACUCUACGUUUCCCGUUUUCAUUUAUCAUAGAAAUUGUUAAUCAAUAAUAUGUCCAUCCAGACUCAUGCAUGUGCACAUCAUGUUUCACACAAAUAAACACAUGACGAUACAUUUUAUUCAUUAAUAUUUCCUCUCGAACUUUCCUAGGCAUCCCAACCACUGGGGCAUUUCAAUUUCCAGGCAUCUUGAAAACUUUCACCACAAGAUAUCCCCAUCAUAGGGGCGUCUCAACUCCCGAGACAUCCCAAAACAUUCUCUGGAGCAUCCCAACCACUAGGACAUCUCACUGUACUAUACCAUGGGGUAUCGUUACGCACUGCUAUAUGGGUGACGAAAUCACAUUAAUAUAAUUUAAAGCCAUAAUAUAUGUAUACUUAUAAGCAUAUCACACAUAUCUCAACUCAAUUUAAUACAUUAACCAAAUAAUCACAUAUGAAAUAACAUAUAGUCAUACUUUAGUCGUUAAAGUCUGGAGAUCCAAAUGAGUACAUUCUGAGUCUGAACAUUCAACAUGAUCCAAACGAAUAAAUAUAUUCUAGAUGUAAAGUUUGAACAUGUAAAUGGGUACAUUCUAAGUUAGAACAACAAGUACAUUUCGAUCGUAAAAUCUUAACAUUCAAAAUGGCAAAUUCUAGCUCAAUAGAAGCUUCUAGAACAAAAGAACAGAUCCAAUAAUGAAUAGAUUUACAAAUGAACAGAUUCAAUAAUGGACAAAAUCAACAAAUAAACAGAUUCAACAAGAAAUAUAUUAAUAUUUGUAAAGUCAAUCUGAACCAGUGGAUAGAUUUAUUAAUAAACAGAUUCACAAGUUGGCAGAUUCAACAAGAAAUAGAUUCAUACUCAGUAAAAUAUGUCUAAACCAAUAAAUAGAUUUAUCAACGAACAUAUUCACAAGUUGGCGGUUUCAACAAUGAAUAUAUUUAUACUUAGUAAAGUUUGUCUGAACCAAUACACAGAUUUAUGAAAAUACAUAUUUACAAGUUGGUAGAUUCAACAAGUGAACAUAUUCAACCAAAUGAGUAGAUUCACAAAAGGUAGAUUCACAAAUAAACAUAUUCUGUCAUAGGAAAUUAUAGUAGAAUAAGUAAAACGAACAGAUUCUAACUAGUAAAAUUUUAGUAGAACAAAGUAGAUCGAAUAUGCAAUAUGUUAUCAAGAUAAAUAUGACAGAAUGAACCGCUUCUGACUAUGCAGAAUGAAACAAAGCGAAGAAGAAUGAAUGGGCAAUGAGUCAUUAAGAUAAAUAUAGCAUAACGACCAAAUUCUGAUUUCCAAGAAUGAAGUAGAAGGAAGCAGAACGAACAUGUAAUGAGUCAUCAAGAUAAAUAUGGCAGAACAACGAAAUUUUGACUACCUAGUAUGAAGUAGGAAGAAGCAAAAUGAACCCACAAUGGGUCAUCAAGAGGAAUAUGGCAAAACGACUGGAUCUAUAAUGAUGCAUAAAGAAACAGAACGAACAUGUAAUGGGUCAUCAAGAUAAAUGUGGCAGAACAGCUAAAUUCUGACUUCUUAGAACGAAGUAGAAAGAAACGGAAUGGACAUGUAAGAUGUCAUCAAUGUUAUUUAACAACUACCAUACCCAUUCAUACACAUCAAAGUUUCACUAUUUCAAUCAACUAACCAAGUUAAGUUUUAAAGACAUUUAGGCAACUUAAUAUCUAGAACCUUUACUUACCUCGAACGAACACAAACCGCGAGCCAUCAAUUGCCUUCACCACCGUAGUAGCUCUUAAAUAUGAAGUUUUAUUCUCUAAAUUCUUGGAUUGAAAAGUGAAAUAUAGCACAUGCAAGUUUCUAUUUGGAUUUUAGAGAAGUGAAAGGGGGCUCUACGGCAAGAUAAGAGGAGCUUAAUCAAAAUGAACUAAGAUAAUUUGAUGUUUUUCAUUGUUAGGUGUAACUAUGCAUGCUAAUCACCAACUUGAUGUGGCAUAAACGCAAGACAAAGUUCUUGCACGUGGCCGAGGGAAAUGUAAGAAGAAGUGACUCAAUUUGAAGUAAGCAUCACUUAUUCUAGGUGUCAAAAUUAGUGUUAAAAAAAAAUAUUGUUUUGAAGAAACACAUGGCCAUGCAAGAGUUCUUAUAAAGACAUGUGGCACUUAUAAUUUUAAUUAAUAAUUUUGUAAGGUAAAUAUAACAAGAGGAACGUAAUCGUCUUCUUCCAACAUUCAUUAGCAUAAGUUAACCACUAUUAUUAAUAAUUAAGUAAAGUCUACACAAUUUAUAACACCCAUCAACUAUUAAGACGACAAUAUUUUAAUUAAUACCGUUCUACUAUUAGAGCACACAUAAUUCAAUUCACACGUUGGACUUAGAAUGACUUAUGUUUAGGGAAAUUAUCUACUGCGUCCAAUGAAAUUUACAAUCCGAUGAAUUUUUCGGGAUCGCUUAGCAAGGUUUGGUUUGAUGGUGGUGGUUUUAUGUAUCAGGAAUGAUAAUGAAUUUGGCCCAUUUACUAUUUAAUACUCGAGCAUGUUCAACUACUCUGGAUAUACUGGUUAUUAACACUAUCCCCUUUGGAUAUUUUACGAUUUGUUUGUGUUAAUCUGGAAAUGUGGUUGGAAUAAGAUGAUCUUGGGCAUAUCAUGUAGUCACUGCUUUCGUUUGAUGCGAGGGGUUUGGAAUCAUAUAAUUUGUCUGUGAUAUGCUGUUUAAACACUAGUGGAAGUAUGGAUUUCAUUUGUUUGGAAUGUGGCAUUGUGAGGUACUGGUCCUUUCUAUCCUAUAGAUGCAAUGAUGGUAUGAAUGGGAGUAAAGUGGUUGUACUAAUAUGAUUCCCCCAAAAAGUGCUCUUCUCUAGAGUCUUAUCUUAUGUGGUAGAGUUGUGGCAUGCAGUAUGCAUAAUGCAUAGGUGAAGAGGCAUCUCGCAUGCUGGAGAAAGCUUUCUUCCUAUUGCAAUGUGGGAUUUCAAUUAGAAAUAUGCUUAUAUACAUCAAUACAAGAUAAGUUUCCAAGGUUUUAAUUUACUAUUCUAGAUACUGAAACUUACUUUGGAACAUUACAUGAGAUCUACAUCAUUAGGUCAAUGUAGAGUUUAAUGAAGCUGAGUCAAUUGGAGUGACAUCGCUUAUUUUCCUUAAAGUGCUGAGAAGUCAGGAGAACUUGAUGUUGAGUUCAUUGACAAUAGUACUAAAGUAACAGCAUGAAAUGAACUUAGAGCUGGAAGAUAAGAUUGAGAAGUUUCAUUUCAGGGCUAAUCAAUAUUAGAUGAGGACACAAGACUGCCACAGAGAGAAUUCUUCUAGCAGUCGCUGUCCACUGAAUUUCAAGGAAACAUCUUUAAUGGCUUAAUCUGUGCAGGAAUACACGUUAAUGUUAAAAAUGGAGAUUCCCCCAAUAUCUGACACUUCUCUGUGGGUUCUUUGGCAGCACAAAUGAUGCUGUCUUGGAAGAGAUGAAAAGAGAGUAUGCACUAAACCAAGAAGGGAAAGGCCCAACCAAGCCUUAAGGGACCCACAGAUCUCGCCUUCGGUCUGCUCGUGUAUAUGGGAAUCAAGCAGUUGUAUACUCAUGCCAUCUUCAGAUGAACUUUUGGGUUUCCAUUGGAAGAUUUUUCACAGGCACAUGUUGUCCAGAUUUUGGCGCAUUAGAUUAUCCUGUUGCAGCUUACCUGACCUAUGGAACUGAGAGAGUGUGUCCAAACCAGUUUUAGCCACACUCUUUAAUCAAGUGAAACCUGAAAAUAAUUUUUGCCCUCGAUCGUACUCUGUAUCAUGAGGACUUGUGUUUUCUUUUGUUCUUCCCUGCUUCGCUUCUAUUACCUUUGAGGCUGAGUUGCUGCUGCACAGAACAGGAUCUACCAUUCACUGAGUGAUGUACUGCGUAGGGCUAUGUACCGAUUUUUGGCUAAAUAAUCAUUGAUAAAUCUGCAUGAUUGUGUUAAUAUUCGGUAGAAGGUACAAAUCCUUCACUGUCCUAGAUUCAAUGUCAAACAAAGAGC
rnacentral:lncRNA from 1 species